GACUUUUGGGCGCCGUUGGGGUUGACGGUGGACCCGGUUCGCCGUUUUGGCGUCAGAUUGUGCCGAGGGCAUGUUACUUGUUGGUUGUUAGACCAGUUAGAGUCGAUUACUUGGACUUUGGCUUGACAGAGCCUAAUUGAGCUCGACAGAGAUACGCUGCAUACUCGAUUGAGUAGCGCCCACGAGUGCCACUCCGGAGACGGGCUUUGUACUUUCGCGUUGGUGUCGCUCAUGCCGGUUGAACUUGUUCUCCACCGACCAGUUAGUGUGGAGGUAGCUGGAUAGUCGCAACUGGGCAGAGACGGGUGUAUUCACAGUCCCCGGGACGAGUAUCUUUACAGUCCCGAUUGGAUUGGGUCAGUUUUGACAUUUCCUACAGUUGGUUAUCAUAGAGCAGGAUGGUGUACGGACUAGCAGCUGUAGAAUUCAUUCCAGCAUUUUACUUUUACUAUUGCUCCCUUUUGUAGACUUAGUGGGUGGACGGAUGUUGUUUUGGGCGGCACCCACUGAGGACUACUUGUUUUUAUAGUAGUUCUCACGCCCAGCUGUUACCCCUGUUUUGUAGAGCCACAGGUUUCGGCUGCUGCGCCUUCCGCGGAUCACGAUCGAGGCAAGGGCAUCGCGAGUUAGAGCCCUACCCAUCGAGCAGAGCUAGAGGCACCCUACUGCAGGUAGUUGUUUUAUUUCGAGCUUAUGUACAUAGUACUUAACUCGCCAGUGCGAGUAACUCUGUAUUUCGAUUUUUGAACUAUGUAUAUGAAGCUCAGUUUGUUUAGCUUUUGUUUACUCGAGCAGCUCUAUACUACUGUUUGUACUAUUGUAUGUUUACAGGUAUAGCUGUCGCUUCGUAUACAGGGAAAAUUUCUUUGUAUACGACGGAUUUGUUGGCGUGCCCGGGGAACGAGACAUCCGGGGCGUGACAAUACUCCUAUUUGUAUAGAUUUCUUUAUACUCAUAAGUUUUCGAUUGUUAGAUCUAUGCUUUUGACCAUUUUCAUCAGUAAAUCAUACUAUUCAACCAAUCACCCACUCAAUCCUAGAGGACCACUAUUAUCCUAAUUGCACAUCCAACGGCAAAAAAUUUAUUAGUAUAAAGGAGUCUAUACUCAUAAGAGUAUAGUACACCUAGCCUAUAUAUAUAUAUAUAGAAUUAGGUUACUAUAUUAUUAAUAGUACCAACCGCUAGCUAUUAGGUUUUCAGCCCUUAGAUGAAAGGAUGUGUUGUCAGGAUGAUAGUAGCCCCCUAGGGUUGAGGAGGUGGAUAGUUGAAGAGUAUGAUCUAACGGAUGAAAAUGACAAAAGGGGUAGAUCUAAUGGCAGAAAACUCGAUAGCACCAAAUGCUUGGUACUAUUAAUAGUAUAGUAGCCAGAUUCUAUAUAUAUAGGUAGAUCUAACGGUAGAAAACUCGAUAGCACAAAACGAUUGGAACGAUAGAUAGUAUAAUAGCCGGACUAGAAAUAUAUAUAUAUAUAUAUAUAUAUAUAUAUAUAUAUAUAUAUAUAUAUAUAUAUAUAGAGAGAGAGAGAGAGAGAGAGAGAGAGAGAGAGAGAGAGAGAGAGAGUCCGGCUACUAUAUUUUUGAUAGUACCAAGUACUUAGUGUUGUCGAAUUUUGUGCCGUUAGAUCUACCCCUUUGACUAGUUUCACCCGAUAGAUCAUACUAUUCAACUAACCACCCAUUCAACUCAAUGAAAUCACUAUCAUUCUAACCGCAUAUCCCUUCAUUCAAGGGCCGAAAACUUUAUUAUAAUUAAGUGGUUGGUACUAUUAAUAGUAUAGUAUUUAUUUAUUUAUUUUUUAUUUUUUUUGAGAGAUAGGUAGCAUGCUACUCGCUUCGUUUAUUUUAUUUAGAAAUAAACUUAGCUGAAAAUGUGAAUCAACUAGGAUUCGAACUUGGGUGUCAGGUACCAACUACCAAGCCCAUUGCCACUUGCUCUAGGGACGGUCGGUACUAUUAAUAGUAUAGUAGACUAAUUCUAUAUAUAUAUACAUAUAUAUUUCGAGCUUUUCGAGCCUAAUUCGAGCGAGCCCGGUAAUACUUAAGCUUGGCUUGAAAUUAAUUUCGAGUCUAAAUUUAGGCUCAAGCUCGACUUGAAAUUAAUUCGAGCCGAGCUCGAGCGAGCCGAAUAUUGAGCUGAACGCAAGUCAAAACGAGCCGGCUCACUUGUUUGCCAGCCCUACUUAUUGGGGUGUAUACAUAGCAUUGCUUGAUUGAUAAUGAGGCCUUUUUUUUUUUUUAUUUAGCUCUUUAAAUUUUAUUUUUAACAAAUGAUGCUAAUAUAUUUAUAUUUGUAUAAAUAAUUCUUUUCUUGUCACGCGAGGGCCUAAGUGGUAUUUUUAAGUUGAACAUGUUGAUUUAAUUAUCGUGUUUAAACACGGUGAUGAGAUCAAUGUGUUUCUUCUUAUAUUUGUUAUCGUUCCUAAGUUACAUAAAGGGACUAUAGUGUGAAUAUGAAUACGGUGAUCCAAUUAUCAUGUUUAACUUAAAAAUGCCUACAUGACGCUUGCGUGGCAAGAAAAGGACCAUAUAUAUAAAUAUAAAUUUGUUAAAAUUAUUUGUCAGAAAGAGCCAUUGAUAAUGACGAGGCCGGCGAAGAAUUCAAUUGAUCCUAAGGGUUCUUUGGUUCAACAUAAAAUUAUGAAAAUUAAUUUUUCAUAGGAAAAAUUUUUGGUAGAAAAUAUUUUUAUGUUUUGUAGUGUAUAGUUCAUAGAAAAGUAAAUUUUUAUUAAUAUUUAUUUAAUUGAAAGAAAACAAUUAAUAUUUAUUUUAUUUGGUGAAAAAAAUGAAUGAAAAAAAUUUUACGCAGCUUGAAUUUUCGUUAUCGUAAAAAAAACAGCAAAAAAUGAAAAUUUAGAAAAAAUAUUUUUUUCGUUGAAUCAAACAAGUAGAAAUUAAAAUAUUUUUCAUUCCGAAAAUAAUUUUUCUGUUCGUUUACGCUGAACCAAACCGCUCCCUAAAUAAAAUUCAAAUCCGAAUAACUAAUUUUAUAUUAUAUAAAAUCUAAAAAUUUUAAUAAUUUAUAUAUAUAUUUUAAAAGUUUAUAAUUGUUUUUAUUUUGAAAAUGUAGAUUUGCGCAUUACUUUGAAAUUUAGUAGAGAGAAAAGUUGAUGAGUAUUUUGUAUGUAUUUGACGAAUAUCAACAUCCAUACAGUAAACUUGAGCUUCAUUUGAUCACAAUUACUAUUUUCUAAAAAAAAAAAAGAAGAAACUUUACUUCCCCAAAUUUCAUGUACAAAUUAUCUAUAACUAUUACCUAUAUAUAUUAUCCUUUCUAAAUUUGUCAUAUUCUAACGUUUCCCGUUUCCUUCAUUAUGGGUACGGGUACUCCAUCCUGAACCGGUUCAUGUCCUCCACUUAUUUUUCUCUUUUUUUGUUUAAAUGAAAUCAAUUAUUAUUGAGUGUGGGCUUUCUCAAACCGGUUCAAUUUCUCUAUAUAUUUUUUUUCUUUUUUUACUCGAACCAAAACGGAUUUUUUUUUUUUUACUUGAACCGAACCGGUCACACCUCUACAUUGGGCUGAACUGUUCCUCUUCCACUUUCUUUUUCUGUUACCUUCCUUCAUAAGCAAAAUGCAUCUCACCCUUUAUCAUCGCGUCUUUCAUCAUUGUUUUCUCUAAUUAUCUAUUGGUCGCAUCAUAUGAAUUAUUAUGCUAGCUAAUAUUAACGAGAGAUUGCUCAGUAGCCGAAGACGUGUGAUGUUUGAUAACCAUUUCUAUAAACUAAACGCCAAAAUUAUCUUAAGAUAGAGAUGGAUAUAUUGGGGUGAUUUUAAAAGGAAAGAAAAAAAAAAUAGCACCAGAGUUAUCAAAAUAUUGGCGGCUACUCGUGUUUAAUUAGGAAGUAAUCAAACCCUAAUCACUCAUUCAUGCAGUUGAGCAUGAAUGGACAAUAUACCAAGAAGAAUAAACACCAAUCGCUCUCUCGUAAUUUGUCUCCUUCCUCCUCUCGCUCUAUCUUUGUCACUCCUACCUACUGUCUUAAAUGGACAAUUUUCAAACUUUUUUUAUUUACUCCGCGCUUAGAAGGUUUAUAUAAAAAAGGCAAUUGCUUAUACACUUCUGAAAAUUUUUCAAUUUUCUAAUUUAUACUUCUCUUAAAAGGCUAAUAUUAAAAUAACAUUUUUACACUUUAAGUUAGUUCAAAUAUAUUUCUAGAGUUAAAUUACCAAUCGUUGUUAUCUCUGCAAAAUUACUAUUUUGUCCUUUCAAACAUACUCUUCUACCAUCACUAGUUUUUUUUUAUUUGUCCUUAAAUUAGGGCAAAAGAAGUAUUUUGAUUUUUGAUCUUUUCAAAUAUACCUUUCUACCAUCACCAACUUUUUUUAUUUGCCCUAAAGUUAAGGAUAAAAGAAGUUUUUUUUUUUUUUUUUCUUUUUCUUUUUUUACCUUUGCUAGACAUUUAACUCACGUUUAACGCAAUAUAACUUGACGGCUAGCAACUGCGGUGGUAUUUUUGAAUAACGGAGGAACAUAAUAGGGAUAUAUUGGAAAUAAAAAAAAAAGAAAGGAUAAAUUAGAUAUUUUCGAAAUUUAGAAGGAUAUAUGGGCAAUUAUUCCUAUAUAAAAAUACUUUUUUAAUGUUCUAAGUUCUUUCUAAUAUAUCCGAGGAGUUAAAUUCUAUUAGUGAAACUCGUUAUCUCUGUGAAAUUACUAUUUCAUCCCUUCAAAUAUACCUUUCCACCGCAUAAACUUUUCUUAUUUACUCUUAAAUUAGAGGCAAAAGAAUUAGGUUAAAUUACAGAAAUCCCCCGUCAAAAUCCGAUUUUUCACUUUUUUCCUCUGUCAUUUAAAAACCUAUACUUUGCUAUUUUAUAAAAUGAAAAAUGUUCACCUCACCCCUUACCGUUAGUGAUCCGUUAAGGUUCCAUUAUAAAAUAUUUUUUAUGCCAAAAAUAUCCUCCGCCCUCUCUAUUAUUGCUGCGCCCUCGCCUACAUCUCCGUCCGCGCCCAUAAACACCCCCUCGCCCUCCUCCGCCGCCUUGCGUUCAUCCUCGUUGCCCUUGCCCACCUUUCCAUUCAUGCCCACCUCGAUUUCCUCCCUACUGUCGCCGAAAUGGAGGGGCGACGAGGGUGCAGGAGGACAAGGGGAGUAUGAAGAAAAUAGAGAGAAAUCGCGGCUGAUCGAGGCGCUAACCGUGGCCGAUCAAGGUGACGGAUGAGCAAGAUAAGAGCGGAGACGAAAAUGGUGAGAGGCAAAAUUAUCAUUUUGUCAUCAUAGUUCACACCGUACCCCCUGUGAAUAUUUUUUAUUUUGUAAGGGGGUAAAGUGUAGGGUUUUAAAUAACAUGAAGAGAAAGUGAAAAAUCGAAUUUUGACAGGGAGGUUUUAUGUAGUUAAGCCAAAAAAUUAUUUUGACUUUUUGCCAUUUCAAAUAUACCUUUUUUUAGAGUUAGUAUUUUUUUUUUUUUUUUUUUUGCUCGUAGGUUAGGGAGAAAAGAAGUAUUUUGAUUUUUUUUAAAUUUUGGUAGAAAUUUAAGUCAGGUUUAAUCCGAGAUAACUUAUCAGGUACUAACAGCAAAAUUAUUUUUGAAUAAUAACAAAAUCUAUAAGGGAUAUUUAAUAUAAAAAAGUAAAAAUAUAUAAAAUAUUUCAGAAGUUUUAAAAGGUAUAUAAGUAGUUAUUCCAAAUUCGAAUGGUGUCUGAGAAAGUUCUUGGACACCAUUAAGCGAGAUGAAACUCAGAGCAGCUGGAUUAUAUUAGCAGAGCUAAUUAAUUUCGAUAUUGAUAGAUAAAUUUAUUAAAUUUGAUAAUUACUUAGUAACUCAAUUUGAUCAGAUUUUAUAAAUAUAUUUUGCUGCGAUGGAAAAGAAAUAUGUUAGCAUUUCUUUCUUUUACAUAUUAAUGUUGUACUGAUUCACCGCCUCAUUAAUUGAGAUUUUAUUAAAAAAGUUAAAAAUAAAGAAAAUUUAUUUGAACUAUGAAUCAUUUUGAAUCAGCUAUUUAAUUUUUUUAAAUUUUUAUUUUACUAUUUAAUCUUUCAAUUUGUUUGAUUUUGAUCCAGUAAACAAUAUUUUUCAUUUCAAAAUUUAAACUAAUUAUUUAUUUUAAUAAAUUUAUAAUUGCUUAUAGAAUAGCAUAAAGUAUGUAAUUAAAUCUGUAAAAAAAUAAACAGUGUUUAACUUUUGAAGUCAAAUACCAUUGGCGGAUUGAAAUCAAACAAAUUGAAAAGUUGAGCACUAAAAUCAAAAUUAGUCGAUUCCGGUUCAGAUAAAUUCGGUACGUUUUUAUCAAAAAAAAAAAAAAAAUCAAAACAGUUUAGCUACUUAUUUGAUCCGAUAUAUAUGACAACUAUUAUAUUACAAAAUUUGGCCGCACCAUUCAUUUUAAUUGGGGCUGUAGUCACGUGAAUGAUGUUAGAUAUAUUACAAUUAAAUUUAUUAAAAUAGAUAAUAAAUUUAAAUUUUCUAAUAAAAAUGUUAUUAAAUGACUUAAAUUAAAUAAGUUGAAAUAUUAGAUAGCAAGAUUAGAAUUUUUAAAAUUAAUUUGAUUUCACAAAGUAAAUAAUAUAUAUAAUAAUAUAACUUUAAAAAAUUUUAUUUUUUUUUAGAGAGAAUGGUAGCAUGAUAUCCGCUUCAUUACUUUUAAAAAAAAAUUAUUUUAAAAUAUACAGUAACCUGAUAUCGAAGUAGGACCUUUCAUACGAACUAGUUGGAUACGGGAGAACUCUAUAAUUUCACUAAAAUUUAAUACUAGAUAUAGAUUUUUUUUUUUGAGAGAUAGGUAGCACGCUACCCGCUUCGUUUAUUUCAUUUAGAAAUAAAUUUAGCUGGAGAUAUGAAUCAAAUAUGAUUCGAAUCUGGGUCUCGGGUACCAAUCACCAAGCCUUUUGCCACUUGCUCCAGGGACGGUCGGUAUAUUGAUAUAGAUAUUGAUAUUGAUAUGUUUAGGGGAUUAUCAUGGCUAGCACGUGGUAGAUAAUGUCACGCCCCGGAUUACACGUUCCCCGGGCACGCCGAUAAAUCCGCCGUAUACAAAGAAAUUUUUCCUGUAUACGAAGCGACAGCUGUACCUGUAAGUCAAACACUACUACGAACAGUAGUAGAGAGCUGUUAGAGAAAACAGAAGCUAAACAAACAGAGUUUCAUAUACAUAGUUCAAAUCCAAAAUACAGAGCUACUCGCACUGGCGAGUUAAGUCAACUAUGUACAUAAACUCGAAACAAAACAUCUACCUGCAGUAGGGGCACCUCUAGCUCAGCACGUCGGGUAGGGCUCUAACUCGCGACGCCCUUGCCUCGAUCCUGGUCCAUGUCACUUUAUUCAGCUGCCGCGUGAUCCACAAUAACCUGAUGCGAACCAUCAUUGUCUUCUUUUACAAAUAACACUGGCACUCCCAGCGAGCACACUGGGCCUCACCGAACCCUCUAUCCAUCAAAUCCUGGAAGCUGUGCCAUUUAGCUCUCUUCAGCUUCUGAUACCGGCGCAUCCGAUAGGUAACUUUGCGAUUGGUCAGUUCCAGGAACUACAUACAAUCACAAACUCAAUCUCCUCUCCGGCAGGGCACGUCUCAAACUCAGGCGGGAAACACAUUUCGGAAACUCCGCGGACGACAGGAAAUUUAAUUCUCGAGUCCGGCGUCGACGCUGUAGGUACCUCACAGACUGGUCGCCUAAGAAAGCAAUUACACCCGUAGCUCCGCAUCUGUCGCGAGCCUCGCGAAGAUAUCAGGUGGCAAACAGCGUGCCUGCAGCCUUCGUGAAAGUAAACUCCUCCUGGCCGUGGCUGCGCGGAACGUCACCGUCCUCGCUCCACGUCGAUUAGUGCCUUGUACCGCGCCGCCAAUCAUACCGAGCCACAACGUCAAAGUCUGCAGCUGCCUAAGCACCAAACAGGAUCUCGGGCUUAUUGAUCCGACGACAUCCAACUGCACCGGACAUGGACGCAAUCAACACUCUGCAACCUGUAAAACAUGGUUCGGAAUCUGCACUCUCGGUGCCUUGUGACAAUGCCCCUAACUCUAGACAUGAACAAUGCAAAUGCUCUGUUAACAAAAGAAUGCCGAGGCUCCAUUAUCAAAAAAAAAGGUACGAGUACGAAUGCAGGAAUCNNNNNNNNNNNNNNNNNNNNNNNNNAAAGUGAUACUUGCCACCACUCGGUCGGCUGCUGUAGAGUCCUCCACCUGAGCUGCAUAGACUCUGCCACUCGGAGCCUGCUGUCGCCGCUCAUCCUGUCGCGGCGUGGACGACCUAUCCUUCUGGCGGUAACUUGGUGCUGCUCUUUAAGUCUGCUGGGGUGCUGGUGGAGCCGAAGCUGAUGAUGGUGCUGGAGAUGCUGCUCGGGGACAAGCUGCCCUCAUGUGUCCCGGCUGACCACAUCCGUAGCACCGGCCCUCCCUCUGCUCACACUGUCUGGGCCAGUGUGGUCCUCCGCAGAUCACACACUGCGGCGUCCUCUCUGGCUGUCCCCUCUGACGAGAAUCCCUAGAUCGCUGACGCCCCGAGAACCCACGACCCUGGGAACGCGAUCGUGGAGGCCUCGGUGGACGCUCUGCUACUCGACUGACCUCCGUCGUCUGGAGCUGGGCGCUUCCUGUCCUGACUCUGUCCCGGCCCCUGAGCCCUCUCCCGCAGCGACACCUCUCCUCUCUUCUCCCAUAAUGCCUGCUUAAUGGACGCAUCCAAAGUCCUCGACCUCUGCGCCCUAACAAACCUGAAAAGGUCGGGUCUCAAACCCUGCUCAAACAAGUAGACCCUAUGUGCCUCGUCUCUGGCCACGAACGGAACACAGUUCAGGAGCCUAGUAAACUCCCGAACAUAGUCCUGAACUGUCCGCUCACCCUGCUUUAUCCUCUUCAAGUCCUCCUCGAUCUUCUGUUUCAUGCUGUUGGGGAAAUACAUCCCAUACAGCAUUCUACAGAACUCAUCCGAACUCAGCUGCGUCGCCACCAGUCCCUGGUCUCGCCUCGCUCUCCGCCACCAAUCAUGUGCAUCACCCGACAGACAGUGUACUCCCAAAGGUACCUGCUCUCACUCUGGAACGAACAGAUCCUCGAAUAACUUCUCCAUCGCACUGACCCAUUCCUCAACAAUCCAGGCCUCAGUGCCUCUGCCAUCGAAGAUCGGUGGGUCAAAUCGACGAAAACGAGCUAAUCUCUCCUUCCACCGCUUCUGCUCGACCUCAGUCAACGGUACUGGCCCCCUAGCCGGCGCAACUGGCACUACUGGAACUGCUGCGACGGAGGAACUGCUGCAGCUGGUACGGUCACUGGAGUAGUCAGUGGUAGAACAGUUUGCUCUGGUACACUCGGUGCUGAACUCGGUGGCUGAGAUAUUCUCUCACACAACCUCUGCAACAACUUCCCCUGCUGCCUCGUCACCUCAGUCAGGGCAGCCAGCUGUGCACUCAGAUCCGAGGGUGCGCUAGCCUCAGGUCGCGCACUCGGCUCCACAACAGGGGGUGCACUCGCCUCCGGUCUGUCACCCUGCUCCUGUCGAGUACUCUGCUCCAUCUGCUCAAGUCUCUCAGGGGAUCCCGCACGAUCCCGCGCCAACUGGGCACGCUCUCGCAACGACGGUCGACCUCGGCGACGAUACAUAGCUGAAAGGAACAAAUCGGGGUCAGAUACAACACAACACUCUCGACCCAAUCAACGAAAGUCUGGAAGGCGGUCCCUGUUUUCUUCCAAAAUUAUGUCGUCUGCAGCCAACAUAAUUUCUCAGGCCAAAACAGGAACUCCUUCGGUCACUCGCCCACUCUAGGAGGAGUUAGAACAGCUAAUCAUUGACUUUCACAAUAAAUUACGCCUCUCGCGUCUUGCCUUCCUAAGGUUUGCCAGACUUAGGUUUCCUAGGUCCCAACGACCUAUAGCAAAGCUCUGAUACCAACUUAAUCUGUCACGCCCCGGAUUACACGUUCUUCGGGCACGCCGACAAAUCCGCCGUAUACAAAGAAAUUUUCCCUGUAUACGAAGCGAUAGCUGUACCUGUAAAUCAAACACUACUACGAACAGUAGUAGAGAGCUGCUAGAGAAAACAGAAGCUAAACAAACUGAGUUUCAUAUACAUAGUCCAAAUCCAAAAUACAAAGCUACUCGCACUGGCGAGUUAAGUCCACUAUGUACAUAAACUCGAAACAAAACAUCUACCUGCAGUAGGGGCACCUCUAGCUCAGCACGUCGGGUAGGGCUCUAACUCGCGACGCCCUUGCCUCGAUCCUGAUCCGCGGACGGUGCAGCAGCCGGAACCUGUGGCUCUGCAAAAACAUAGGUAACAACUGGGCGUGAGAACUACUGUAAAAACAAGUAGUCCUCAGUGGGUACCGCCCAAAACAACAUCGGUCACCCACUAAGUCUACAGAAGGGAGCAAGGAUAGAAGGAAAGCAGGAAGCAUACUCUACCGCUAUCAACCACUACACUAUCAUGCUCUACACUAACCAACUGUAGGAAAUGUCAAAUCUGACCCAAUCCAAUCGGGACUGUAAGCAUACCCGUCCCCGGGACUGUGAAUACACCCGUCCCUGCCCCGUUGUGACUAUCAGGCUCCAUCCACACUAACUGGUCCGUGGAGAGCAAGUCCAACUGGCAUUAGCGACACCAACGCGAAAGCACAAAGCCUGACUCCGGAGUGGCACUCGUGGGCGCUAUCCAACCGAGUAUGCAGCGUAUCUCUGUCGAGCUCAAACAGGCUCUGAAAAGCCAAAGUCAAGAAAUCGACUCUAACUAGUCUAACAACCAACAAGUAACGUGCCCUCGGCAUAAUCAGACGCCAAAAAGGCGAUACGGGUCCACCGUCAACCUCAACGGCACCCUACAGUCCGGAACAGCCUGAACGACCCUGUAAAAUCUCCUUGGCGAAAACAGCACGAGUGUAGAUAUACUCUAAACUACCUGGAGUACUCGUCUCGAAGAUACCGCGACAGUACAAUUUAAUAACGGCUCCUAGAGCUAAAUCAGGCAGUUUAAUCAAGUGACAGGUCUAAAUCGCAGGUUUUCUCCUAAUUCAAUUUCCAAGUCCAACAUGUAUAACCUAUUCAAUUUAUUACCACAUGCUCCAAAUUCAGAUAUGAAAUCUACCAUUUAAUCCAUAAAUUCGAGCUAGAAUAGAUUAUCCAAAAAUCGAAACUAUACAUGUCGACGAAUGUGAACUUAGGAGUAAAACCGAUGUAACCCACCUCCAAAAAACUAAUCCCUGGCAGCACGAAACCCCCUCGGCUGCGACACCACCUGCUGGGUUGACCAAAAACGCCCGAGUCUCGAAAUCGAGCGAACUCCAAACUAAAAACACCAAAAUUUCUCAAUUCAGUCUAAAAUCCACGACAGCAGAGAAGAGAGGAAUUUCGACCUAGCUAACCUUCACCAAAAUUCGCAAGUAAGGGCUUCGUGGAUUCCUCUCGCAGUCCUGAAUCCAACGAACCAAGUCUCGUCGAAAUCCGAUGCUCCUACGUCGAGAACGAGCUAAAAUACCAACAGUCGACGAUGAAAUUCAGCAAACAACAUCUCUCCGAGUUGAAGUAGUAAGAACUUGCCCAAAAAUCCAAGGAAAGGCUGAAUUACUCACCUCGACAGCGAUUAGCACCGGCGCGACGUCAAGAACGGCGAAGUCGCACGCUCGCCCGGUCUCCUCGCGAUGCCCCGGCGUCAAAUACGUGCUCGAACGAUCCCGCGGCGCGACGUGGGCGACAAAACACCAACUAAGCUCCUUCCUUGCCUUCAACCGGAUGGGAGAGUGAGAGGGGAAGGAGAAGCACAAGUAAACCCUCUCUCUCUCAGCUCACAGCAGCCUUUGUAGAGAGGGAGUUGGUGGGAGAUACAAACGAGGUGGAGAAAUUACCUAAUUACCCUGUCACCUACCCCCUUGUACCGGUACACGGGCUCCUGUACCGGUACAAGAGCCAACCCGAGAGCAGUUGAGCCAUUGCGCGAUGGUUGUACCGGUACAGCUACACUGGUUGUACCGGUACAGCAAGCAGAGAAUGCUGGUGUUUUGCAGAAUUCUUCGCGAUAAGCUGCCCUCGCGUCGCACGGAGUUCGUUUUACGUCUAUUUGACGUCAACGCGACUCGGACUUGUCCCGACACUCUCCAGAGCUGUCGACAAGCCUCCACAGUCAGACACCAGGGAUCUCACAGAUAAGGACAUAAAUCAUAUAAUGCUUUUGUGUAAUUAGUCCAAACGUUGAAUCAAGUCGUGAGUUCUUAGAAUUUAUUUUUGAGCAAUGUUAUCUGUAUAUCAAAAAGUAAAGUGUAUAUUUUACUUUCAUUUUAUUCAAGUGUCAUUAGUUUUUUUCUUGCAUCAACUUUUUUUUUUUUUUUUACUAAAAAUUAUUUAAAUUUUUAUAAUUUUUAAAACUAGGGGUGUAGAACCUACACCUUUUUCUGCAUGUGCAAGUAAAAUUUCUCUUUAUCUUUUUUAGAUGAAUUAGAUAUUACUGCGAGCUGAAUCUUUCAACCGCUGACCCAGUCGAAGUUCUCCCUCGAGAAGUGUGUAAGGAUGCAGAACGGCUACAAACGAUGACAUUCGAAGUUUGCGCCCUUCGACGGAUCAAGUGAUUGGGCUGAUGAGGGAUCAGAUCAGCCGAGUUCGUGUGAGAUCCCUGCGGUUCUGUGGUGGAGGCUUGUCGGCAGCUCUGGAGAGUGCCGGGACAAGUCUGAGUCGCGUUGGCGUCAAAUAGACGCAAAACGGACUCCGUGCGACGCGAGGGCAGCUUACCGCGAGGAAUUCUGCAAAACAACAGAAUUUUCUAUUUGCUGUACCGGUACAACCAGUGUGGCUGUACCGGUACAACCAGCGCGCACUGGUUUAGCUGCUCUCGGGUUGGCUCUUGUACCGGUACAAGAGCCCGUGUACCGGUACAAGGGGGUAGGUAGAGGGGCUUUUUGGUAAUUCCAAGCCUCGUUUGUAUCACACCACUCCACCUACUUCUAUAUACAGGCGUAGAGAGCUUGAGAGGGAGUGUUCUUGCUGGUCCUUCUUCCUCUCUCCCUCUCUAGCUUGGUUCGACCGUGGAGGAGUUCGGUUCGAGCUCGGAUUCGACACCGACGUCGCGCCGCGAAGCCGUUCGGGGAUACGGUUGGGAUCGUAGCGCUGCGAGGAAGCUAGGCGAGGGUGCGUUUUCGCCGUUCUCGACGCCGUGUCGCUGUCCGAUUAGCCUUUGAGGUGAGUGUUCCGUUGCAUUGCUUCAAGUAUUGACAUUUCGAGCUAGGUGCUGUUUGCUGAUUCCCAUCGUCGACCGUUAGUAUUUCAGCUCGUACUUGGCGUAGGAGCAUCGGAUUUCGACGGGAGUUGGUUUGUUGGAUUCGGGACUUCGAGAGGAAUCCACGAAGCCCUUACUUGCUAGUUUUGGUGAAGGUUAGCUUGGUCGAAGCCCUGUUCUUCUCUGCUGCUGUGAAUUUUGGACUGAAUUGAGAAUUGUCGAUUGUAGAGCUUGGAGUUAGCCCGAGCAUUGGACUUGGAGGAUUCCGGUUGAUCCAGCAAGGAUCAUUUUUGGUUCGAGGCUUCGUUUGCUGCCAGGAUCUAGCAUUUUGAGGUGGGUUACAUCGGUUUUGAAUCCUAAGUUCUAAUCGUCAAUAUGUAUAAACUUCAAGUUUUAGUAUAGUCUUUUCUAGCUCGAAUUCAUGGAUUAUAUUAUAGAUUGCAAAUCUGAAUUUGGAGCAUGUGGAAAUAAAUUGAGUAGGUUAUACAUGUUGGACUUGAAAUUUGAACUAGGAGAAAACCUGCGAUUUGGACCUGUCACUUGUUUAAACUGCCUGAUUUAGCUCUAGGAGCCGUCAUAAAAUUUGUACUGUCACGUUGACGGUGGAUCCGUAUCGCCUUUUUGGCGUCAGAUUGUGCCGAGGACACUUUACUUGUUGGUUGUUAGAGCAGGUUGAGUUAGUUACUGGACUUUGGCUUUCGAGAGCCUGAUUGAGCUCGACAGAGAUACGCUGCAUACUCGGUUGGGUAGCGCCCACGAGUGCCACUCCGGAGACGGGCUUUGUGCUUUCGCGUUGGUGUCGCUCAUGCCGGUUGGACUUGCUCUCUACGGACCUGUUAGUGUGGAGGUAGCUGGAUAGUCGCAACUGGGCAGGGACGGGUGUAUUCACAGUCCCAGGGACGGGUAUGUUUACAGUCCCGAUUGGAUUGGGUCAGAGUUGACAUUUCCUACAGUUGGUUAGUGUAGAGCAUGAUAGUGUAGUGAUUGUAGCGGUUGAGUGUACUUCCUACUUUUUCGGCUAUCCUUACUCCCUUCUGUAGACUUAGUGGGUGGACCGAUGUUGUUUUGGGCGGUACCCACUGAGGACUACUUGUUUUUACAGUAGUUCUCACGCCCAGUUGUUACCCCUGUUUUGCAGAGCCACAGGUUUCGGCUGCUGCGCCUUCCGCGGAUCAGGAUCGAGGCAAGGGCGUCGCGAGUUAGAGCCCUACCCGACGUGCUGAGCUAGAGGUGCCCCUACUGCAGGUAGAUGUUUUGUUUUGAGUUUAUGUACAUAGUAGACUUAACUCGCCAGUGCGAGUAGCUCUGUAUUUUGGAUUUGAACUAUAUAUAUGAAACUCAGUUUGUUUAGUUUCUGUUUUCUCUAGCAGCUCUCUACUACUGUUCGUAGUAGUGUUUGAUUUACAGGUAUAGCUGUCGCUUCGUAUACAGAAAAAAUUUCUUAUAUACGGCGGAUUUGUCGGCGUGCCCGGAGAACGAGACAUCCGGGGCGUGACAGUUCGUACCUUUUACUACUAAAUCGGUUUGGCUGUAUGAGCCGAGUCAAGAAUUGCACAGUAUUUUUGGGUCGACUGAAGAGCUGAAUGCUUAUAAAUAUUACUUAAAAGUUGAAAAUUCGUUCAAAAGAGGGUAUGCCAGUGCGGCGUACAGACUCAAGAAAUCUAACUUAAAGACUGCUCUCACGAAAAACAGUAAAUGUUAGGAAGAAAGAAAGGUUAAAAGUAAACUGCUCCUAGAAAAUAAGGAAAAUGCGUAGAAUUGAAGUGGUCUUCUGUUCGCAAGGAAACAAGAUAUCUCUUUCAGGCGUUAUCUGUUUAUUUAUACCCCGCCUGUUCUUAUUCGGUUAUCUACAUGAUCAGCUAUUUCCCUACUUUCGUGGGCCACUACAGGCCGAUCCCAACUCAUGAAACUGUCUGCAGUUUGUUGUGAUUUGUUCUUUGUUUCUGGUGCACCAAACAUCCGAUAUCCUUAGCUUUGCACCAAACACACAAACUGAAAAAUUCAGUUUGCGUUCGGCUCGUUUACUAAAUGAGCGAUUCGAUCUUGAGCUCAUUUCAAGCAAAACAUGAGCCGACUCACAAAUAACCCCUAUGCCCAACACAGCCUACGCAAUAGGAAGGGAAGAAAAGAUAAGGGUGAAAGAGAAACUGUCAUGUGGCAAAUUUUAUGAAAAAUAAUGUAAAGAUAAAGAUAUAGAUAUAGAUGUAGAUAUUGAGCUCUUAUUCUGAUAGCAUGUUAAAUUAUGUGAAACAGCGAUUACUCUUCGGAAAGUUAAACUUUAACGAUAUUUAUAUAUGUUAUAUUUAAUAAUACUGUUAUAUAUGGCCUAGAAUAUUUGAAGCAUCUAAAAAUUAAAUUUUGUUAUUUUUUAACUUGUAAUAAAGUUUAUCAAACGAGUAAAAUCAAAAUCAAACGACCUCUUAAAAAUAAAAGAUCAGACUUUUUUUAGUUCAAGUUAGAGUUAUGAUAAAGUCCGUGAAGGCCGGUACGUUAGACAUAGAUUUUAUGGAGUUUUUAUUUCUAAUUCUAUUUUUAUUUUUUUUGGAUGUAACAUCCCAAAAGGUGGCACGGUCUGAUUGUGUUGCUCUGCAUCUUACGGUCAACUGAAAAAGACAAGAAUUCUCUGGAAAUCUACGGGGUGAGUGUGAUUUAUAUGAAGGACCACCAGUAAGAAGGAAAUGAUUCUGAAGGCGACAUAUAAUAAUACUAGCAAUGUACCAGCACUUUGUAGUGAGUAUAAUUUUUAAGUUCAGAAUUAUUAUAUUGUACAUUAUGUAAAGUUACUUAAUAGAGUCAAAUAAAAAUACUGAUUUUUAUAUAUAUCUCCUAUUUGGAGAGAGAGAAGAGAAUAUUAAAUAAAAAUUAAAGCCAGAGAGAGAGAGUGUGCACUUUCAAACUUUCGGAUAUAGUAUAUUUUACUCAUAAUAUGAAAAAAUAAAAAAUAAAAAUUUUUAAAAAUAUAUAAUUAUUAAAUUCAAGUUUAAAAUUAUUUUAAAUAUUAAUAUUUUUGAGAGAGAAAAGUGGCAUGCAUAUUUUUCGGUAAGAGAAAAAAAAAGAGAAAAGGUAUAAAUAUUAAAUUAAAUAAAAAUUAAGUAAGAGAGAAAGUACAAUAGGGAUUUAAAAUUUUAAUUUUUAAAGUUAAAAAUUUGGGAAUAAAUAUUAUAAAUUUUAAAAUUGUAAAAUUUUAAAGUUGGAAUUUGAAAAUUAAAAUUUAAAAUUUCGAUAUCCAAAAUUUAAAAUUUUAUAAUAUAAAAUUUUAAAACCAUAUAUAUAUAGUAUUUGAUCAAAGAGCUAUUAGUAAUCAAGGAGUAUAUCCGAGGGCUUGAAACCUAGAAGUAAAAAGGGGUGAUACUUCUAAAAAUAUUCUAGCUCAAUUAUAUAUAUAGAUAUAGAGCUAGGCUGGUAUACUAUCGGUAGUACGGAAGCCUUUGUGGUACCAAGUUAUUUUCAAUGAUGCGGAUUCCAAAUCGAUAAUCGGUUCCGUUAGACUUGAUCUACAGUAUUGAAAGUAUUUGAAAACUAAUAAUUUUUCGGCAUUAUUUAUCUAUCAAACGAGAAGUCUAAAAAUAAAUAGCUGAAAAUAAAAAUCUCAUAAAAAGUGAUGAAAAAAAAUAUGAAUUUAAGAUCAGAGGUACUGGUCUUAUUCUAAAUAGUGAAAAGAAUUUUUAUAAAAAUUUCAUCAGAUUUGAAUUAUUUUAUACCGUUAAAUUGAUAAACGCAUCAAAUCUACCAUUAAAACUGUCAAUUUUGAGACCUUUUGAUCACUAGCCAAAUUAAGUCGAAAAAUUAUGAAAUUUAGUUUCUAAAUAACUUUAAUAGUGUAGAUCAAGUCUAAUAGAGCCAAUCGUCGAUUUGGAAGCUGCGUCAUUGAAAACAACUUGGUAGUACGGAGGUUUUCAUAUCAGAUAGCAUACGCUCUCUUCAUUCUCAUCAUCUCUCUCUUCUCUCUUCUAUUACUGUCUCUAUAUAUAUAAUUAUCUAUAUAUUUAUAUUUAGAAGAUCUUAAUAUAUAAUAUAUAUAUCUAUCUGGCUGGGAUACUAUCGAUAACAUGAAAUAUUUGGUGCUAUCAAGUUUUCUGCCGUUAGAUUUGCUUCUUUUAUUAUUUUCAUCCAUUCGAUUAUUCUAUUCAACUAACCACCCACUCAACCCUAGGCCGUUUUCGCUAUUAGGAGCACGAAGGCUUCCGUGCUCCUAAGCCGUUUUUGUUAAUGGAGUUUUCUAAUCGACGAUCGACUAUAUCACCAAUUUUUGUAGGAUUUUUAUUUUCAGCAGUUGAUUUUGGACUCUUACGAUUGCUAGGUAAAUAAUAUCCAAAAAUCACAAAAUUUAUUUUCUAAAUACUUUAAAUAUACUAAAUCAAGUCUAACGUAACUAAUCGUUGUUUCAGAAACUUCAUCAUCGAAAACGGCUGAGGAGCACGAAGGCCUCCGUGCUCCUAAUAGCACACGAGACCUACUCUCUCUCUCUCUCUAUAUAUAUAUAGGGAGAGAGAGAGGAGGGAAGCAUGGUUUAUGAUACACUAGGUGCAUCGAAAAUAGCCCGGGGACACGUGACAAUACAACAACAUUAGUAUAUGGACUUUAGUAUAUAUAUAUAUAUAUAUAUAUAUAUAUAUAUAUAUAUAUAUAUAUAUAUAUAUCUUGAGUUUUGCUGUGGCCUACGUGGCUGCUUCUCAGCGCCCCCCUCUCUACCGUCCUCAUUGGCGCCUGGCCUGCAUAACGUGGGUUCUCGGAAGGGCUACGUGUCGCCCUACCCGCGUCUCUCAAACCGUCUCUCGAAUCCCUCUCUCCCGAUCCCUCUCUUGCGAAGCCUAACCCUUGCAGAUCCUGCAGGAUGCGGGGUGUUGUCGCUCCCCCCGUACGUGCGGGCGCACAGCGUGCCGGAGACCUGGCUUCGCCGGUGUGCGCCGUGCCCCAACUCCUCUCUCUACGAUGGGCAAGGCGCCUGGCGCGGGUCAUGUGCACAUGGCAGAACGGGCGGGCGCGGGUGCGGGUGCGGGCGCCAGGUGUGGGUCGCACGCCGUUCACAUGGCAGGGCCUCCCUGGCUCUCUCUCUCUCUCUCUCGCGUGCGCGCGAGGGGUGCGGGUCGCCCGCACAUAGCGGGCCGCCCCCCCGGCUCUCUCUCUCUCUCUCUCUCUCUCUCUCUCGCGGGCGUCGCGGGUCGCCGGCUGUCUCCCCCCCUCUAUCUCCCCCACUUUUUCUCUCCCUCUCCCCACCCCCUGGGCUCCCUCUCUCUCUCUCGCCGGGCUGGCGCCUCCCGAAUGGGCGCAGCAGUAGGGCGCCGGCGCGUAGUGACCAGGCGCAAGCGGGUGGGCGGGUUGGUGCGGGGAGCUCGAGUCGGCCCGGACUACCGGCGUGGGGGUGGCGGGCGAGGCGAGGGAGGAGCGUGGGCUCGUGCGAGUUGAGAGUCCAAGGGCAUGGGGAGAGGGGAAUAGUGUAUUUUUUCAACUCUUCAAAUUUUCCUUUUUUUUUUAAAAAUCUAUUCAAUUUUUUCUUUUUUCAAUAUUAAAUUUUAAAAUAUAUAAAUAAUUUUUAACAUAUAUUAUUAUUUGAUCAUUAAAUAUAAAUUUUAAUUUUAUAAUUAGAUAUCAGAUUCCUGCUGGCCGGCUCCGGCUGUGGCGGCCUAUCGUCGGUGGCCGGGCUCGCGCCGCUGGGUGUGAGGUGGCAUACUCGACGGUGCCGGGCGGGGAGUACGGCGAAACUAGCGGCGGGAGGGGUGGGCUGGCGGGGAUUGGAGCGCGCGGGGAUGUCGCGCAGCGCGGCACGUCCGGAGGCCGCGAGCGAUCUACUGGGUGCGAGAGGGUGGAGAGGAUGCGCAAUCCAUUUGGGAGUGGGAGAGAUCGGGAGUUCCCUAAUUUUACAAUUUUACAAUUUGUAAAAAUAUAAAAUUUUAGGUUUCAAAUAUUAGAUUUUAAAUUUUAUACCCUCCCCUCUCUCUCACUCUCUCUCUCUAUAUCUAAAUUUAAAAUUAAAUAUUUAAAAUUUAAACUUUUUUACUAUUUGAGAUUUAAAUUUAAAUUUAAAAUAUAAAAUAGGAAAAAUUAAAAUUUAAAUUUUAACAGUUGGAAUUGAAAUUGCAACAUUUGAAAUUUAAUAUUUGAUUUUUUUAAUUUCAAUUUAUAAUUUAAUAUUUAAAAUUUUGAAUUUUAAAAUUUAAAACUUAAUAUUUAAAAUUUUAUAUUUUACCUUAAUUGCUAAAACUAAAUGUUACGUCCCGGAUUCCUCGUUUCCUCGGGCACGCUAAUAGACCUACCGUAUAUAUAGAAAUUUUUUCUGUAUACAAAACGAAACUGUACAAGAACCUGAAACCAAACAUACUAUAACCAGUAGUACAGAGCUGAUAGAAAGGAAAAAAACAUAUAUAAACACAGUGGUGCAAUACAUACAUAGCAUCCAGGUACAAACAUACUUACUUCAGUAAGGUAUAACAUCCGAAUGUAAAGAACCAAAAACUACAACUACCUGUAGCUAGUACUCCCCUAACUCUGCGACUCGUCUGGAAGGGCUCUAAUUCGCAACGCCCUUUCCACGAUUAGUCUCGGUAGUAGCAGCAGCCGGAACAGAAGGCUCUGCAAAAGAGGGGUAAUAAAUGGGCGUGAGAACUACUGCAAAAACAAGUAGUCCUCAGUGGGUAUCGCCCUCAACUCAUAGGCUCACCUACUAAGUCUACAGAUGUCUGCUCAAAAGAUAAUAAGAGAACUAAAAACAAUCUACAGCUACAUGCUACUAUACUAUCAUGAUCCAACACUACUAUCUGUAGAAUAAGACAAGCUCUGACCCAAUCUCUUUAGGGACUGUAAACAUACCUGUCUCAGAGAUUGUGAGCACACCCGUCCCUAGGACUGUGAGCACACCCGUCCCGCCUGUCAAGGCUAUACAGCUACCUCCACACUAAGCAGUCCGUGGAGAGCAAGUCCAGCCAGGACAUAACGACACCAACGCAAACGCACAAAACCCAACUCCGAAGUGGCACUCGUGGGCGCUACUCAACCGAGUAUGGAAGCGUAUCUCUGUUGAGCUCAAUCAGACUCUCACAAGCUAAGAUCCAAGUAAACAGGGUUCAACUGGUCUAACAACUAAACUCACGUGCUCUCGGUACAAUCUGAUGCAAAAACAGCAAUCUGGGUCCACCGUCAACCUCAACGGCACCCGACAGUCCGGAACAGCCUAAACACUGCUGUAAAAAUAAGCUCGGCAUCUUAGCAUGAGCGUAAAUACAUUCUAUACUAUUCUGGGUAUCCACCGCCGAUAAACUGCAGUGAUACAAAUAAACUAUAGUUCAUAGAGCUGAAUCUGGUAGUUUUAACAUAUGACAGUGUAGAAGCGCUAGUUUUCUCCUAAGUCAAAUUCAAAUCCAACAUGUAUAAUUUAUUAACUUACUACAGCAUGCUGCAAAUUCAGAUUUCAAUUAACAUACUAAUCGAUGAAUUCGAGCUAAAAACAGGAUAUACAACUGCUAAAUAUAUAUAUGUUGACUACGCGUACACUUAGGAGGAAAAUCCGAUGAUUAACCCACCUUAAGCGCUAAAUCCAUGGCAGCGAGGAGUCACCGGAAUCCCUGUCAAUCUCUGCCACAACCAGCAACCAAACAAAUCCAAGGUCUACACAAAAAUCCACCAAAAAUCCAUCAAUACUUCAAAAAUUCAGCACUUAAGCUAAUAUCAUCCAAUUCCAAUGUGAACUUUACCUUCCAAAGCUCAAAUCAGAUGAAGGAAGGCCCCAAAACCAGUGGGCUGUGCUGGAGUAUCAAGCUCUGGUUCACAAUCCAGCUCCUUCAAAGAAUUGCUCCAAGAAAAUCACAACAAAGUCAAUUUCAGCUCAAACCACCAGCAGUAGAGAAGAAUACGAAAAUGACUGAGCUAGGCUUAACCAAAUUCUGUCAAUUUGGACUCCACGAAUUUCUCUUGAAGUCUAGAAUCCAGCAAACCAAGUUUCGUGGCAAACGGAGUUUUUUACGUUGCACACGAAUCGAAACACCAAAAGUCGCCGCUGGAAAACUGCUAGAACUGCAGCCUUCUAGUUGAAAGUGCACAAAUUGGAGGAAUUGAAGCAAUUUGAGGUGCUAGAUGCAAUUCUAAGCCUUUAUUGUGAAGAAAGGAUGAAAAGGGUUCACUGAGGGCGUACAUAGCCUAUUUAUAGGGAGGUGAAAAGAUAAGGUAAACCCAAAGAACUCCAAACACAAAUCUGCUGCCCCUACAGAAAUCCCCACUUUCGGGCGUCCAAAACAUACAUCUGGGCGUCUGAAAUCUCCAGGCUAUACAAAAGCUUACCAUUGGUUCCUCCACUGCGGUGUGCUGCGCCCAUAACCGGCUCCGGCGGACCUCACCUACCACUAGCCACGCGUCAACUCAAAUAAUAUUCACGAGGUGAACUUUCGGACCCACAACCGGGUGCCCGAAACUAAGAUCCGAAUUGGCUUCCAGUUCAGUUCAAACCAGCACUUAAAUUCUGGGCGACCCAAAUUUGGUUAUGGGCGUCCGAAUCUGGCAAAACUCUAGUUUUGCUUAUUUGAGUGCGCCGAAUCCAUUUAUGCAUCCAUUUUGUACAGAAACGAUUCUGACUUAGUCUGACACUCUCCAGAUGUGUCAACUAGUCACUAGUACUGUAGCCAAUCCUAUCCAAACCUCUGAAACACUAUACUAAAUUUUGAAAGUUUAUUGCUUUAAAUUUUAAAUUUUAGUUUCUAAAUUUUAGACUUUAAAUUUUAUAUUCAAAUUAUGAAUUUUAAAGUUUAAAAAAGUAUCUCUCUUAAUUUGUGCGAGGAAACAAAUUAUAGAUGAGUUCUCAGUGUAACCGUAAACCAUAUUCCUACUCAAAAACAAUCAUCAUGAAUUACAUAAAGCAAACACGGACUCAUACCUAUCCGCCCUGAUGAAAAGAACCACACUUUGAAGGAAAUACAGAAAAUAGAAUGACACAAAAUCCAGCAACAUUUGUCACAAAUGUCCACAGAAACCGAAUUUAUUAUCAACAGAAUAGAGUUCAUCAUUGCCAAAUAAAUGGAAUCUUUAUAAAUUAAGCUUUCUUGACAAACCCAAUUCACUUCCCACAUCACAUCUUCCGUGCAACUCAACAAAGAACCCGUGGAUAAUCAGUGAAUCUCCCAAAAAUCUGAUUUUCAUAUUAGAAAGAAUAGAUUUUUUUUAAAAUUCUCUCGGGCAAUUCCUGCGUAACCCCUUACCCUCAACAACGCAGCUGAAUCAUCUCAAGAUAUUUGAUACAUACAAAAAGGUUCAAAUUAGCUGAACUCUGAAUUUUCUACCUGAAUUCUGAAUUGGGAAUUCAGAAAAGUCUAUAUAAAAUUAAAUAUUUUAAAUAUAGAAACUGAAUUACGAUAAAAUGUAUUUUUUAAAAUUUAAAUUGUUAAAUUCUAAAUUUCAAAUUGCUACAUUAAAAAAAAAGGGAUUUUAAUUUCGUAUGUACAAAAUUAAAUUUUUAGAUAAUUAGAUAUUUUAAAUUUUAAAUAAAUUACAUAAAUUUUUUGCCGCGAAGCGCGGGCCUUCACUAGUAGUAAUAAAUUUCUCAGUAAUACCCGGCCACAUUGUGCUUCCAGCUGCAUGAAAUAUCUGUUAUAGAAAUAAAAAAAAAUCUAAAAUAUUUUUGGUGAGAAAUCCAAUAUAUUCAUUUUUUAAUUUUUAGAAGUUUAUCCAGUAGCUGGAAUUGCCGUGCAGUUCUAAACACUCCAGGCCAGAUAAAGUCUGAAAACAUUCACCAUUCUCGGAUUGAAAAAGUAGGCCGCGUCUUCUUUGGCGAGAGGUCACGAAACUUCGUGACAUAAUCCAAAAAAUUAUGUUGUUGUCAUCUUGUGGACUAAAAUGCAUAUAAUAAUUGGUGGAAGAUGUGGAACUGCAUAUUUUAUUAGUUUGAAAACUUAAUUUUAUAUAUAUAUAUAUAUAUAUAUAUAUACAUGUUUAGUGGCUACAUACUACUUCCUUUAAUAAGUUAUAAUAAUUCUAAACAUCGUUUUCAAUGGUCAAUUCUCCACCCCGCCAAAUUAAGUAUAUGAAAUGGCUUGCAAGGGCUCAAUUUAUUAAAAUAUAAGAUAAGUUUGUGCAAAUCCCUCAAUUUUAGGAUCUCAACUUCAUAAUUAAUGGCGUAUAUAAAUAUUGCUUUAUGGUGCACUAAUGCUUCUAAAUCUUUUAGUGCUUAUGUUGCUGAAUCUUUUAGCAACAUAUUAAGAAACUAUUACGGAUGUUGAGUAAUUAGUAACACUUAAUAGAUGUCGUAAUAUAUAUUAAAAAAAUCUAAUAAGACAUUUCCUACACGGUGGUGUAUAUAAUUUAGGAAGAACUUCAAAUACCACCUAUGUGGUUUCACACUUUUUUACUUUAGUACUCUAUAGUUUAAAGUGUAUCAAUUUAGUUCGCUGUUAUUUUAUUUUUAUCUUUUUUAUUAUUGAUUCCACUAAUUUUUUUCGUUAAAUCAGUGAUAAAGUUACAAUUAAAGGAUACUAAAGUAAAUAUUCGAUAAACCUAGGUGAGUUAUCUGAAGUUUUUUUGUACAUAAUUUAACGAAAUAUUAACGAAAAAAUUGACGAAAAAAUAAAAAUAAAACCACAGGAUACUAACUUGAUACGUUUUAAACCACAUGGUACUAAAGCAAAAAAGUGUAAAAUCAUAGGAGUGGUAUUUGAAGUUUAUCCUAUAAUAUAAUUAAUUCUUGCAUAGAUAAAUUGUACUAAUUAUUUCUGAAUAAAUUUUUUAUUAAUAGCUUUUAAAAUUAAUUAUUUUUUGACCAAUCACUCCAAUUACAGUUGAUACAAAUGAUUCGUACUAAAUAAUAAAUUAUAAUUUCAAUAAUAUAAUUUAGCAAACAUCAAAUUAAUAUAUACUAUUGACUUAAAGAGACUAGUCUCCUGCAUUGUGGCAGGAGGCCAGGCUAGGCCAAGUCACGUUCGAAACAACGGGAGGACGGGUUAGGCCAAGUCAUGUUUCAAGUGGCGUGAGGCUGGGUGGGCGGCGUCACAAUCAAGACUCAUGGACGCUAUGUUUAUACGCUUUAAGUGAAUUGAUUACGUAUUUCUAACAGUUUGAGUUUUUUAAAUAAAUGGUUAGAGCCAACGACUCGACAAGUGGUGCAUCUUGCCAUGUAGCAGGAGAUCUGGUUGGGCCGAGUUGUGUUUGAAGUGGCGUGGGGCUAGUUGGACCGAGUCACAAAUGAGACCCGUGUACACUGUGUCUGUAUACUUUAAAUGAAUUGAUUUGCGUAAUUUAAAUUAUUAUAUACAUUAGAUAUUUAAAAACUUUCAGCAAAUUUGAGUUUUAUAAUCACAUCACAAACAAUUAAUACCAAAAAAAUCUUAUCAAAUGAUAUUAGCAUCUCACCAACAACUAUACGAUACAAAAGAGAUAUCAUCAAAGCAACUAUNUUUUUUUAAAUUUAAAUAUGAUCUUAAAUUUAAAGUUUGAAAUUUAAAAUUUAAAAUUUUGAAUUUAAAAUUUGAGAUUUUAAAUUUCAAAGUUAAAAUUUUAAAUUUAGAAAUAUAAAUUUAAAAAUUUUAAAAUUCAAAUUCAAAUAUAAUAAGUGGAUAAUAUCAUUAUUUUUUAUUUACAAAACCCAUUAUCUUUCUUAUUCUAUCUUACCUAACCAAACGCUAUUUUUUUUUAUUCCAGGAAUAACCCAAUUUUCAUCCAAACGCAAAAUUGAUCUAAUCCUCGCUUAUACCUCAAUUUAUACCUAUCCCUGGAAUAGCCACUUUUUUCUUAUCCCCGAACCAAACGAUACCUAAGUGAAUUGAUUAUGUAUUUCUAACAGUUUGAGUUUUUUGAAUUAAUGGUUAGAGCCAACGACUCGACAAGUGGUGCAUCUUGCUAUGUAGCAGGAGAUCUGGUUGGGCCGAGUUGUGUUUGAAGUGGCGUGGGGCUGGUUGGACCGAGUCACAAAUGAGAUCCGUGUGCAUUGUGUCUGUAUACUUUAAAUGAAUUGAUUUGCGUAAUUUAAAUUAUUACAUACAUCAGAUAUUUAAAAACUUUCAGCAAAUUUGAGUUUUAUAAUCACAUCACAAACAAUUAAUACCAAAAAAGAUCUUAUCAAAUGAUAUACAAAAGAGAUAUCAUCAAAUCAACUAUAUGAUACAAAAGAGGUAUCAUCAAAUAAUAUUUGUAGGCAUAGCCUUAAGUGUUGCUAAGAAAAUGUUGAUAAAUUUUGACUUUGUUGUAGUGUUCAUUGAUACUUUUGUAACUUCAAUUUUUUUAAAAAAAUUAACUUUUAAAAGUAUAUUAUGUUAAAAUCUUUUAUUAAAUUGCGAGACUCAAUUAGACAUUUUCAGAUAAUUAAUUAAUUUUACAAAUUUAAAUUUAUUUGGUCAAAAUUACUUAAUUAAUAAAAAAAUCAAAAGUUGAGGGGAUCUUAAUAAAAAGAACAAUACUAUCUAUAUAUCCCCAAAAGGGUGUAAAUCUUACAUUCCACUCAGUGAAAUUUCUUUCUCACUCUUAUUGAUAUAACGGGCGGAAAAUUCUAACCCAUAGGAUGGUGGGAUGUAAGAUAUCACACUCCAAAGUGAAUUGCACAAGUAAUAUUUUUCAAAAUAUAAACAUAUAAUUUUCUAAUAGCAUAAAUUUUCAAAGAGAUAAACGAUUGUUUUCAUAUAGUAUUAGAGUUAUAGGUCAUAAAUUUUAGUGUUUAGUUCAGAUAAAAAAAUAUUUUACUCAAUAUUAAGGUAAGAGGUUGUAAGUUUAAAUCUCUCGUUCGGACUUGCAAAUAUGUAUAAAGCAUAUUAUGUAUUUAAAGCUUUUCUUUGACUCCUAUAUCUUAAGGUAGAUGUGUGUGAGAAACGUUUGGGAAAACUUCAAAAUAAUAAAUUACGAGAAAUAUGGAAAGAAAUGUGUUUAAUUUUAUGUAAUUUAAACUUUAGUAUAUAUAUCUCUAUGAUUUAUGGUGCUAUAUUAAUUACACUAUUAAAUCACGUAGUAAUUAUAAUUGGUAAAUUGUAAUGACCUAAAUACGUCGGAGAGAAGAGGCAUGACGAAUAGUGAGAGGCGGUGAAGGAGCGCCUUGUUUAUUUCGUUUUAGAAAUAAACUUAGCUAGAAAUGUGAAUUAAUUAGGCUUUGAAUCUCGAAUCUCGGAUAUCAACUACUAAGCUUUUUGCCACUCGCGCUAGGGACGGUCGGUUAGAUACCCGAGGGUUAAUUAAAAGAAUCAGAAGCAAAGGCAUAAGCAGACCAGCGCAAUAUUAGAAUUGUGGCACGUAGUGGGCCAGGCUCACUUUGUCCUGGACUAUGUUUUUAUAAUUUUCUUUUUUUCUUACUAUUCCAGCAUUACAUAAGGUGUAAGAACUGUAAUUUGGGAUAUGAAAAUUAUUGGCAACUGAAUCUUUCCACUCUUCUCUUCUCAAUCUCCUUCUCAUAUUCUUCUUUAUUCUCUCAAUUCCUCUUCCUUUUCCUUCCAAAUUCUCUUCGAGAUUACUUUUCCCUCACAAUCCCAUCAUUCCUUGCCACCAGCUUCAGCAAGAAUCAUCAUUGAUUAUUGCAAGGGCAGGGUCAUUAUAUAAAUUAAAAAUUCAAUCUAACCGUGAAAAAAGCAAGUUAUAUAUAUAUAUAUAUAUAUAUAUAUAUAUAUAUAUAUAUAUAUAUAUAUAUAUAUAUAUAUAUAUAUAUAGUCGGCACAUUCUAUGAUAGUUUUACCAGCCUUUGGCUACUAUAAGAGUUUUCUACGUUAGAUCGUAUCCUGUGAUCAUUUCCACGCGUUAGGUUAUACUAUUAAAUCAACACCCACUCAACCCUAGGGACCACUAUAUUCCUAACAUCACAUCCUUUCAUCCAACGCCAAAACUCAUUGUAUCAAGGGCUUAGUACUAUGAUAGUAUUAGGAUGCAUAAUUCAAUAUAUAUAAUAAUAUAUAUAUAUAUAUAUAUAUAUAUAUAUGCAACGAUCCGACCCACUAGCAAUAAUAACUCAUUGGGCCCAAACCACCGGCCAAAAUGCUUAAGUCCAUUAUUAUUACUAGGCGUGUAGGCCUCAUAUAAACUGAUCACUUAUUGGGAGUGUUACAAAAUUCCCCCUGUUUAGACCUGACGUCUUCGUCGGGUCCAAACCAGUCACAGACAGAACAGACCAGGACCAUUACCAGGCGAUGUGAGAUUUUAGAGGUGACUCUACGGGUUCAAAGAGGUGGCUCCCACCAAACCGUUAGUGAGCAUUUCGUCCCGCAUAAACUUAGUUUUUCACACUUCCGCCCGUUGGUAUGCGGCUCUGAUAACAUUGCAACGACCCGACCCACUAGCAACAAUAACUCAUUGGGCCCAAACCACCGGCCCAAAAUGCUUAAGCCAGUUUUUAUUACUAGCGUGUAGGCCUCAAUAUAAAUUGAUCACUAUGGGGGCGUUACAUAUAUAUAUAUAUAGAGCUAGCUGGUUAUUAUCGGUAGCACGGGAACCUCGUGCUGCCAAGUUGUUUCAAUGAUCCCAAUCCAAAUCACAUUCCCUCCAUUAGACUUGAUCUACACUAUUAAAAAUAUUUAAAAAACUAAAUUUCAUAAUUUUUCGACAUCAUUUGCUAGUGAUCAAAGGUCUCAAAAUUGAUAAUUUUAAUAGUUAGAUGUUGAUGCAUUUUGUCAAUUUUAAAGGUGCAAAAAAUCAAUUCAGAUGAAUUUUUAUAGAAUUUUUUUUUACUAUUAGAGUAAAGAUCAGUACUCUUAUAUUAAAUUCAAGUCUUCUAUCAUCAUUUUAUGAAUUUUAUUUUCAGCGUUCAAAAUCAACCGCUGAAAAUAAAAUCAUACAAAAUAUGAUGAUAUACAUUAAAAUUUUAGAUCAAAAGUUAUUGAUCUUGUUUUAUACGGUAUAAAGAAUUUUUAUCAAAAUUUUAUGUGAUUUGGAUAUUUCUACACGUUAAACUUGCAAACGGCUCACCACGGCUGUUAAAAAUUAUUGAUUUUGAGCCCCUUCGAUCACUAGCAAAUGAUAUCGAAAAAUCACAAAAUUUAUUUUCUAGUACAUCAAAUACUCUAGAUCAACUCUAACGAGCUGAUCGUCGAUUCGAAAGUCCGAACAUUCGAAAACAACUUGGAAGCACGGAGGGCUCUGUGCCUUCCAAAGCCAUCACCAGCUCACUCCAUAUAUAUAUAUAUAUAUAUAUAUAUAUAUAUAUAGGCUGGGGCUACUAUACUUUUAUGAGUAUAGACCCCCUGGUACUCAUAAAUUUUUAACCGUUGAUUGAUAAGAUGUGUGGUUAAGAUGAUGGUGGUUCCCACUUAGAAUGAUAGUGGUCCCCUAGGGUUGAGUAGGUAGUUGGUUAAAUAGUAUGAUCUAACGGGUGGAAAUGAUCAAUGGAAUAAAUCUAAGAGCCGAAAACUUAUGAGUAUAAGGGAGUCAAUACUCAUAAAAGUAUAGUAGCUGGACUCAUAUAUAUAUAUAUAUAUAUAUAUAUAUAUAUAUAUAUAUAUAGUAGGUCUUGUGUGCUAUUAGGAGCACGGAAGCCUCCGUGCACCUAAGCCGUUUUCAAUUAUAGAGUUUCCGAUUCGACGAUCGGCUCCAUUAGACUUGAUCUAGCGAAUUUGAAGUAUCUAGAAAAUAAAUUUUGUAAUUUUUCGAUAUCAUUUACCUAGCGAUUAAAAGGGUCAAAAUCAACAAUUUUUAAUGGCUGAUAUAUAACGUUUCCAAGUUUAACGGUGUAAAAAUAUUCAAAUCAGAUAAAAUUUUGAUAGAAAAUUUUUUAUACUAUUUACAGUAAAAUUAAUAUCUUUGAUCGAAAGUUUUAGUGCUAUAUCACCACUUUUUAUGAGAUUUUUAUUUUCAGCUGUUGAUUUUGAACACUUUUGAUCGUUGGGUAAAUGAUAUCGAAAAAUCGCAAAAUUUAUUUUCUAGUUACUUCAAAUACUCUAGAUCAAGUCUAACGGAGCCGAUCGUCGAUUCGAAAAUUCUAUCAUCGAAAACGGCUUAGGAGCACGGAAGCCUCCGUGCUCCUAUAUAUAUAUAUAUAUAUAUAUAUAUAUAUAUAUAUAUAGUUCGGCUACUAUACUCUUAUGAGUAUAGAGCCCUUUGUACUCAUAAAUUUUCUGCCGUUAAGAUCAACCCUUUUGAUGAUUUUCGUCCGAUAGAUCAUACUAUUCAACCAAUCACCCACUCAACCCUAAGGAACCACUAUCAUUCUAACUGGGGACCACCAUCAUCAUAACUGUACAUUUUUUCAUCCAACGGCAGAAAACUUAUAAGUACAAAAGUCUCUAUACUAUAUAUGCUCUAUACUAUAUAUAUAUAGGCUAGGGUUACUAUACUCUUAUGAGUAUAGAUCCCCUUAUACUCAUAAAGUUUUAACCGUUGAUUGAUGGGAUGUGCGGUUAGGAUUAUGGUGGUCCCCACUUAAAAUGAUAGUGGUUCCCUAGGGUUGAGUAGGUAGUUGGUUGAAUAGUAUGAUUUAACGGGUGGAAAUGAUUAAUGAAAUAAAUCUAAGGGCCAAAAACUUAUGAGUAUAAGAAAGCCAAUACUCAUAAAAGUAUAGUAGCCGGACUCAUAUAUAUAUAUAUAUAUACAUACAUAUAUAUAUAUAUAUAUACAUAUAUAUAUAUAUAUACAUAUAUAUAUAUAUAUAUAUAGAAUCAGUUCGGCUACUAUACUCUUAUGAGUAUAGAGCCUUUGUACUCAUAAAUUUUCUGCCGUUAAGAUCAACCCUUUUUGAUGAUUUUCGAUCCGAUAGAUCAUACUAUUCAACCAAUCACCACUCAACCCUAAGGAACCACUAUCAUUCUAACUGGGGACCAAUCAUCAUAACUGUACAUUUUUUCAUCCAACGGCAGAAACUUAUAAGUACAAAAGUCUCUAUACUAUAUAUGCUCUAUACUAUAUAUAUAUAGGCUAGGGUUACUAUACUCUUAUGAGUAUAGAUCCCCUUAUACUCAUAAAGUUUUAACGUUGAUUGAUGGGAUGUGCGGUUAGGAUUAUGUGGGUCCCCACUUAAAAUGAUAGUGGUUCCCUAGGGUUGAGUGGUAGUUGGUUGAAUAGUAUGAUUUAACGGGUGAAAUGAUUAAUGAAAUAAAUCUAAGGCCAAAAACUUAUGAGCAUAAAGAAAGCCAAUACUCAUAAAAGUAUAGUAGCCGGACUCAUAUAUAUAUUAUAUAUAUAAUACAUAUAUAUUAUAUAUAUAUACAUAUAUAUAUAUAUAUACUAUAAUAAUACAUAUAUAUACAUAUAAUAUUAUAUAUACUAUUAUAGGAUUGGAGCCAUUGUCCUAUCAAGUCGUUUCGAUUGAUCGGAACUUCAAAUUGAUAAUCAGCACCGUUGAAAGUGAUCUACACAAUUAGAAAUGUUUAGAAACCAAAUUUUGUAAUAUUUAAAAUCAUUAUCAAGUUCAUCUUAAGAGUUAAAAAAAUGAACGGCAUAAAUGAAUAACCUUCUUAAAAUAGAGGUUAGACUUUCUCAAUUCAUAAUCAGAGUUAUCAAACAUUAUUUAAAUAUUAUAAAGAAUUUUCUAUCAAAAAUUCAAGCAAUUGGAUUGCUCUACACCGUUAAACAAGCAAAGGCUCAUAUAGGCCGUCAAAAUUGUCGAUUUUACGACACUUUGAUCACCAUAUAAAUAAUUUUUAAAAUUUUAAAAUUUAGUUUCUAGAUAUUUUCAAUACUCUAGAUCAAUUUCAACGGCUGCUGAUCAUCGAUUCGGAAUCUCGAUCAUCAAGAACAAUUUGAUAGGACAAGUGCUCCUAUCCUAUUAAUAGAAUAGUAGCUCUAGCCUAUAUAUAUAUAUAGAGUUGUGCUGGUAUGCUUAUGGAAGCACGGAGGCCUCCGUGCUUCCAAGUCGUUUUCGAUGUUCGGACUUUCGAAUCGACGAUCGGCUCCAUUAGAGUUGAUCUAGAGUAUUUGAAGUACCUAAAAUAAAUUUUGCGAUUUUUUGAUAUCAUUUGCCUAGUGAUCGAAGGGGCUCAAAAUCAAUAAUUUUAACGGCCGUGGUAGCGCGUUGCAAGUUUAACGGUUAGAAAUAUCCAAAUCACAUCAAAUUUUGAUAGAAAAUUCUUUACACCAUAUAAAACAAGAUCUAACUUUGUUCUAAAAUUUUAUGUCAUAUCAUCAUAUUUUGUAAGAUUUUUAUUUUCAGCCUUUGAUUUUGAGCCACUUCGAUCACUAGGCAAACGAUAUCGAAAAAUUGCAAAAUUUAUUUUCUAGAUACUUCAAAUAUCUAGAUCAAGUCUAACGGAGGCCGGUCGUCGAUUCGAAAGUCCGAACAUCGAAAACAAAGUGGAAGCACGGAGCCCUUCGUGUUCAUAAGCAUCCUAGCGCACUUAUAUAUAUAUAAGCAUCCUAGCCGCACUAUAUAUAUAUAUAUAUAUAUUAUAUAUAUAUAUAUAGAGUGAGGCUACUAUGCUAUCGGAAGACGGAGCCUUCCGUGCUUCCAGCUCGUUUUCAAUGUUGCGACUUUCGAAUCGUCGAUGGCUCCGUUAAACUUGAUCUAGAGUAUUUGAGUACCUAGAAAAUAAAUUUUAUUAUUUUUCGAUAUCAUUUGCCUGGUGAUCGAAUGGGCUCAAAAUCAAUAAAUUUCAAUGGCCGUAGUGUGCCGUUUGCAAGUUUAACGGUGUAUAAAUAUCCAAAUCACGUGAAAUUUUGAUAGAAAUUUCUUAUACUAUAUAAAACAAGAUCAAUAUCUUUGAUUUAAAAUUUUAAUGUCAUAUUAUUACAUUUUGUAGAUUUUUAUUUUCAGCGUUGAUUUUAGCCCAUUCGUNNNNNNNNNNNNNNNNNNNNNNNNNGUUAUACUAUUAAUAGGAUUGGAGCCAUUGUCCUAUCAAUCGUUUCGAUUGAUCGGAACUUCAAAUUGAUAAUCAGCACCGUUGAAAGUGAUCUACACAAUUAGAAAUGUUUAGAAACCAAAUUUUGUAAUAUUUAAGAUCAUUAUCAAGUUCAUCUUAAGAGUUAAAAAAAUGAACGGUCAUAAAUGAAUAACCUUCUUAAAAUAGAGGUUAGACUUUCUCAAUUCAUAAUCAGAGUUAUCAAACAUUAUUUAAAUAUUUAUAAGAAUUUUCUAUCAAAAAUUCAAGCAAUUUGGAUUGCUACACCGUUAAACAAGCAACGCUCAUAUAGGCCGUCAAAAUUGUCGAUUUUACGACACUUUGAUCACAUAUAAAUAAUUUUUAAAAUUUUAAAUUUAGUUUCUAGAUAUUUUCAAUACUCUAGAUCAAUUUCAAGGCUCUGAUCAUCGAUUCGGAUCUCGAUCAUCAAGAACAAUUUGAUAGGACAAGUGCUCCUAUCCUAUUAAUAGAAUAGUAGCUCUAGCCUAUAUAUAUAUAUAGAGUUGUGCUGGUAUGCUUAUGGAAGCACGGAGGCCUCCGUGCUUCCAAGUCGUUUUCGAUGUUCGGACUUUCGAAUCGACGAUCGGCUCCAUUAGAGUUGAUCUAGAGUAUUUGAAGUACCUAAAAAUAAAUUUGCGAUUUUUGAUAUCAUUUGCUCAGUGAUCGAAGGGCUCAAAAUCAAUAAUUUUAACGGCCGUGGUGAGCGCCGUUGCAAGUUUAACGGUGUAGAAAUAUCCAAAUCACAUCAAAUUUUGAUAGAAAAUUCUUUACACCAUAUAAAACAAAUCAAUAACUUUGUUCUAAAAUUUAGUGUCAUAUCAUCAUAUUUUUGAAGAUUUUUAUUUUCAGCCUUGAUUUUGAGCCACUUCGAUCACUAGGCAAACGAUAUCGAAAAAUUGCAAAAUUUAUUUUCUAGAUACUUCAAAUACUCUAGAUCAAGUCUAACGGAGCCGGUCGUCGAUUCGAAAGUCCGAACAUCGAAAACAAAGUGGAAGCACGGAGCCCUUCGUGCUCCAUAAGCAUCCUAGCCGCACUCUAUAUAUAUAUAAGCAUCCUAGCCGCACUCUAUAUAUAUAUAUAUAUAUAUAUAUAUAUAUAUAUAUAUAUAGAGUGAGGCUACUAUGCUAUCGGAAGCACGGAGCCUUCCGUGCUUCCAGCUCGUUUUCAAUGUUGCGGACUUUCGAAUCGUCGAUGGCUCCGUUAAACUUGAUCUAGAGUAUUUGGAGUACCUAGAAAAUAUAAUUUUAUUAUUUUCGAUAUCAUUUGCCUGGUGAUCGAAUGGGCUCAAAAUCAAAAUUUCAAUGGCCGUAGUGUGCCGUUUGCAAGUUUAACGGUGUUAUAAUAUCCAAAUCACGUGAAAUUUUGAUAGAAAAUUCUUUAUACUAUAUAAAACAAGAUCAAUAUCUUUGAUUUAAAAUUUUAAUGUCAUAUUAUUACAUUUUGUAAGAUUUUUAUUUUCAGCGUUGAUUUUGAGCCCUUCGUUUACUAGGCAAAUGAUAUCGUAAAAUCAUAAAAUUUAUUUUCUAGGUACUUCAAAUACUCUAGAUCAAGUUUAACGGAGUCGAUCGACGAUUCGAAAGUCGCACAUCGAAAACGAGCUGGAAGCACGGAAGGCCCCGUGCUUCCGAUAGCAUAGUAGCCUCACUCACUCUCUAUUAUUUAUGUAUAUAUAUAUAUAAUUGAGCUCCUUAUUUUCAAAAGUACCAAGUUAUUGGUGCUUGUAGAUUUUUAGUCAUUGGAUUAGAGAUAUGCGGUUAGGAUGAUAAUGGCCCUCUAGGGUUAAGUGGGUGGUUGGUUGAAUAGUAUAAUCUAAUUGUUGAAAAUGAUCCGAGAGUAGAUCUAACGGUAAAAAACUUACAAGCACCAAGUACUUGGUGCUUUACAAGCACCAUAGCUGGACUAUAUAUAUAUUGAGCUAGAAUACUCUCAAAAUCACCAAGGGGGUGGUCGUUUGAGUUCUAACCAUUGGAUGAGAGAUGUAGGGUUGAGAUGAUGGUAGUAGGUGGGAUAGGUGGUGGUAGUUGGAAUAGUUUUUGAUUCAAGGGGUAUUAGUAAUUAAGGAGUAGAUCCAAGGGCUAGAAACUUAGAAACACCAAGGGGUUGUACUUAUAAAGGUAUUCUAGCUCAAUUAUAGAGUGCGUCUGGUAUGCUUCUGGAAGCACGGAGCGCUCCAUGCUUUCAAGUUGUUUUCGAUGUUCGGACUUUCGAAUCGACGAUCGGCUCCGUUAGAUUGAUCUAAAGUAUUUGAAAUAUCUAGAAAAUAAAUUUUGCGAUUUUUCGAUAUCAUUUGCUAGUGAUCGAAGUGGCUCAAAAUAAAUAACUGAAAAUAAAAUCUUACAAAAUAUGAUGAUAUGACAUUAAAAUUUUAGAUCAAAGUUUUGAUCUUGUUUUAUAUGGUAUAAAGAAUUUUCUAUCAAAAUUUCAUAUGAUUUGAAUAUUUCUACACCAUUAAACUUGCAAAUAGCUCACUACAGCUAUAAAAUUAUCGAUUUUGAACCCAUUCGAUCACUGGCAAAUGAUAUCGAAAAAUCACAAAAUUUAUUUUCUAGGUACUUCAAAUAUUCGAGAUUAACUCUAACGGAACCGAUCGUCAAUUCGAAAGUCACAACAUCGAAAACAACUUGGAAGCACAGAAGGCUCCGUGCUUCCAGAAGCAUACCAGCCCACUCCUCAUUAUAUACUAUAUAUAUAUAUAUAUUUGAAGUACCUAGAAAAUAAAUUUUUGUGAUUUUCGAUACCAUUUGCCUAGUGAUCGAAGGGGCUCAAAAUCAAUAAUUUUAAUGGCGUGGUGAGCCGUUUGCAAGUUUAACGGUGUAGAAAUAUCCAAAUCAAGUAAAAUUUUGAUAGAAAAUUCUUUAUACCAUAUAAAACAAGAUCAAUAACUUUGAUCUAAAAUUUUAAUGUCAUAUCAUCAUAUUUUAUAAGAUUUUUAUUUUCAGCCGUUGAUUUGGAGCCACUCCGAUCACUAGGCAAAUGAUAUCGAAAAAUCGAAAAUUUAUUUCUAAAUACUUCAAAUACUCUAAAUCAAGUCUAACAGAGCCGAUCGUCGAUUCAAAAGUCCCAAUAUCGAAACGACUUGGAAGCAUGGAGUGCUCCGUGCUUCCAAAGCACACCAGGCGCACUAAUAUAUAUAUUAUAGGCUGGGCUACUAUACUCUUAUGAGUAUAGACCUCCUUCUACUCAUAAAUUUUUAACCGUUGAUUGAUGGGAUGUGUGGUUAGGAUGACGGUGGUCCUACCUAAAAUAACAGUUGUUCCUAGGGUUGAGUCGUAGUUGGUUGAAUAGUUAUGAUCUAACGGGUGAAAAUGAUAAAUGAAAUAAAUCUAACGGCCGAAAACUUAUGAGUAUAAGGGAGCCAAUACUCAUAAAAGUAUAAUAGCCGGACUCUCUCUCUCUCUCUCUCUCUCUCUCUCUCUCUCUCUCUCUCUCUAUAAUAUUAUAUAUAUAUAUAUAUAUUAUAAUAUAUAUAUAUAUGAGUAGGUCUCCUGUGCUUCGAAAGUACGGAGGCUUUCUGUGCUUGUAAGUUGUUUUCGAUUAUAGGACAUCCGAUCGACGAUCGCUCCAUUAGGCAUAAUCUAUGUUAUUAGAACUAUCUAGAAACCAAAUUUCAUAAUUUUUCGACAUCAUUUACUAAGCGAUCAAAGGAUCUCAAAAAUAACUAUUUUAACGGCCGAUGUGGCACGUUUUUAUGUUCAACGGUGUAGAAGCAUCCAAAUAUUAUGAAACUUUAAUAAGAAAAUUCUACUUAACAUCAAGAGCAAGAAUAAUACUUCCGAUUUGAAAUUUGAGUCUUUAUUACUGUUUUUUAUAAAGAUUUUUAUUUUCAGCCGUUCAUUUUGAGACUACUCGUUCACUAGGCAAACAGGAGAAAAAAUUAUAAAAUUUGUUUCCAGAUAGUUCCAAUACAUAGAUCAUGUCUAACGGAAACGAUCGCCGAAUCGAUGUUCCAUCAUCGAAACAACAUUACAAGUACGGAGGCAUCCGUACUUUCGAAAGCAUAGGAGCCUAUAGCGCUCUCUCUCUCUCUCUCUCUCUCUCUCUCUCUAUAUAUAUAAUAUAUAUAUAUAAGAAGGAGGGAGAGAGAGAGAGAGAGAGAUUUGUGCUGGAAUGCUUAUGGAAGCACGGAGGCCUCCGUGCUUCCAAGCCGUUUUCGAUGUUCGGACUUUCGAAUCGACGAUCGGCUCUAUUAGACUUGUCUAGAGUAUUUAGUACCUAGGAAAUAAAUUUUACGAUUUUUCGAUAUCAUUUGCCCGUGAUCGAAGGGCUCAAAAUCAAUAAUUUUAACGGCCGUGGUGAGCCGUUUGCAAGUUUAGCGUGUAGAAAUAUCCAAAUCACGUGAAAUUUUGAAUAGAAAAUUCUUUAUACUAUAUAAAAUAAGAUCAAUAUCUUUGAUCUAAAUUUUAAUGUCAUAUCAUCACAUUUUGUAGUUCAGAUUUUGAGCCCUUCGAUCGCUAGGCAAAUGAUAUCGAAAAUCGCAAAAUUAUUUUUCUACAUAUUUCAAAUACUCUAGAUCAAGUCUAACGGAGCGAUCGUCGAUUCGAAAAUCCCAACAUCAAAAACAACUUGGAAGCACGGAGGUCUCCGUGCUUCCAUAAGCAUACCAGCACAACUCUCUCUCUCUCUCUCACUAUAUAUAUAUAGAGCUAGGCUCCUAUGCUUUCGAAAGUACGGAUGCCUCUAUUUAUAACAUCCAGUGGAAUACUAUUAAGGUUCUUAUUAAUAGUUUAUAUAUAUAUAUAUAUAUAUAUAUAAAAUACAAAACGACGCAUUUUACUAUUUACAAUGUUUUUUUUGCUAUCAAGUUUUUAACCCUUGGAUGAAAAUUGUAAGGUCAGGAUGAUAUUAUCGGUUAGAGUUGAGUGGUCCCCUAGUGUUGAGUGGUUCCCACUGGAUUUAUAGUAUUUAAUCCCAAUAGUUAGAAAUAAUGAAAAGAGUGAUCCAAAGGCCUAAAAAACUGAUAGUAAUAAUAGAAUUUUGCUACUAUAAGUAGCCAGUCCAACUCUCUCUUCUCUUUCUCUCUCUCUCUCUCUCUCUCUUCUCUAUAUAUAUAAUAUAUAUAUAGUGAGGCUAUUAUGCUAUCGGAAGCACGGAACCUUUCGUGCUUCCAGCUCGUUUUCGAUUGUUGCGACUUCGAAUCGUCGAUCGGCUCCAUUAAACUUGAUCUAGAGUAUUUGAAGUACCUAGAAAAUAAAUUUUAUGAUUUUUCGAUAUCAUUUGCCUAAUGAACGAAGGGGCUCAAAAUUAACGGCUGAAAAUAAAAAUCUUAUAAAAUGUAAUAAUAUGACAUUAAAAUUUUAAAUCAAAAUAUUGAUUCUUCGAUCUCUCUUCUUGGUUUCGUUCACUAGGCAAAUGAUAUCGUAAAAUCAUAAAAUUUAUUUUCUAGGUACUUCAAAUACUCUAGAUCAAGUUUAACGGAGUCGAUCGACGAUUCGAAAGUCGCAACAUCGAAAACGAGCUGGAAGCACGGAAGGCUCCGUGCUUCCGAUAGCAUAGUAGCCUCACUCACUCUCUCUCUCUCUAUAUAUAUAUAUAUAAUUGAGCUCCUAUACUUUCAAAAGUACCAAGUUAUUGGUGCUUGUAGAUUUUUAGUCAUUGGAUUAAGAGAUGUGCGGUUAGGAUGAUAUGGGCCCUCUAGGGUUAAGUGGGUGGUUGGUUGAAUAGUAUAAUCUAAUUGUUGAAAAUGAUCCGAGGAGUAGAUCUAACGGUAAAAAACUUACAAGCACCAAGUACUUGGUGCUUUUACAAGCACCAUAGCUGGACUAUAUAUAUAGUUGAGCUAGAAUACUCUCAAAAUCACCAAGGGGGUGGUGCGUUUGAGUUUCUAACCAUUGGAUGGAGAGAUGUAGGGUUGAGAUGAUGGUAGUAGGUGGUGAUAGGUGGUGGUAGUUGGAAUAGUUUUUGAUUCAAGGGGUAUUAGUAAUUAAGGAGUAGAUCCAAGGGCUAGAAACUUAGAAACACCAAGGGGUUGGUACUUAUAAAGGUAUUCUAGCUCAAUUAUAGAGUGCGUCUGGUAUGCUUCUGGAAGCACGGAGCGCUCCAUGCUUUCAAGUUGUUUUCGAUGUUCGGACUUUCGAAUCGACGAUCGGCUCCGUUAGAUUUGAUCUAAAGUAUUUGAAAUAUCUAGAAAAUAAAUUUUGCGAUUUUUCGAUAUCAUUUGCCUAGUGAUCGAAGUGGCUCAAAAUAAAUAACUGAAAAUAAAAAUCUUACAAAAUAUGAUGAUAUGACAUUAAAAUUUUAGAUCAAAGUUAUUGAUCUUGUUUUAUAUGGUAUAAAGAAUUUUCUAUCAAAAUUUCAUAUGAUUUGAAUAUUUCUACACCAUUAAACUUGCAAAUAGCUCACUACGGCUAUUAAAAUUAUCGAUUUUGAACCCAUUCGAUCACUGGUCAAAUGAUAUCGAAAAAUCACAAAAUUUAUUUUCUAGGUACUUCAAAUAUUCGAGAUUAACUCUAACGGAACCGAUCGUCAAUUCGAAAGUCACAACAUCGAAAACAACUUGGAAGCACAGAAGGCUCCGUGCUUCCAGAAGCAUACCAGCCCACUCCUCAAUUUAUAUACAUAUAUAUAUAUAUUUGAAGUACCUAGAAAAUAAAUUUUGUGAUUUUUCGAUACCAUUUGCCUAGUGAUCGAAGGGGCUCAAAAUCAAUAAUUUUAAUCGGCGGUGCGUGAGCGUUUGAGUUUAACGUAUCGUUAGUGAAAUUAUCCAAUGCAAGUUAAAAUUUUGAUAGAAAAUUCUUUAUACCAUUAUAAAACAAGAUCAAUAACUUUUGAUUCUAAAAAUUUUAUAUGUAUUUAUCAUCAUAUUUUAUAAGAGGUUUUUAUAUUUCAGCCGUGACUUUGGAGCCACUCCGAUCAUAGGCAAAUGAUAUCGAAAAUAUGCCUAAAUUUAUUUCUAAAUACUUCAAAUACUCUAAAUCAAGGUUCUUAACAGAGCCGAUCGUCGAUUCAAAAUGUCCAUAUUCGAAAAACGGACUUGGACAUGAGUGCUCCGUGGCUUCCAGAAAUGCAGCACCAGCUGCGACAUAUAUAUUAUUAUAUAUAGGCUGGCUACUAUACCUCUUAUGAGUAUAGACCUCCUUCUACUCAUAAAUUUUUAACGUGAUUUGAUGGAUGUGUGGUUUAGAGAUGACGGUGGGUCCCCACUAAAAUAACAGUUGAUUCCCUAGGCGUGAGUCGAGUAGCUGUGUUGAAUAGUAGUUGAUCUAACGGGUGAAAAUGGAUAUAUGAAAUAAAUCUAACGGCCCGAAAACUUAUGAGUAUAGGGAGCCAAUACUCAUAAAAGUAUAAUAGCCGGACAUCUCUCUCUCUCUCUCUCUCUCUCUCUUCUCUCUCUCUCUUAUAUAUAUAUAUAUAUAUAAUAUUAUAUUAUUGAUAUAUAUAUAUAUAUGAGUAGGUCUCCGUUGCUUCGAAAGUCGGAGGCUUCGUGCGUCUUGAUAAGUUGCUUUUCGAUUAUAGGACAUCCGAUUCGACGAUCGCCUCCAUAGGCCAUAAUCUAGUUAUUAGAAACUAUCUAGAAACCAAAUUCAUUUAAUUUUUCGACGAUCAUUUUACUAAGCGAUCAAAGGAUCUCAAAAUAACUAUUUUAACGGCCGAUUGUGGCACUUUUUAUGUUCAACGGUUGUCAGUAGAAGCAUCCAAAUUACAUUAUGAACUUUAUAGAAAAUUCUACUUAACAUCAUAGAGCAAGAAUAAUACUCGAUUUGAAUUUGAUCUUUUAUUACUGUUUUUUAUAAGAUUUUUAUUUUCAGCCGUAUCAUUUUGAGACAUACUGUUCACUAGGCAAAACGAACAGUUAAAAAUUUAAAAUUUGGUUUCCAGAAUAGUUCCAUAACAUAAUCAUGUCUAACUGGAACCGAUCGCGAAUCGAUGUUCCAGUCAUCGAAACAACUUAUAACUACGGAGGCCAUACCUUCUUCGAAGCAUAGGAGCCUAAGCCGUCCUCUGCUCCUCUCUUUCUCUCUUCUUCUCUAUAUAUAUAUAAUAUAUAUAGAUGAUAGAGGAAGACGAGAGUAGAGAGAAGUUGUGCUGGAAUAUAGCUUAUGGAAGCCCGGAGGCUCCGUGCUUCAAGCCAGUUUUCGCAUGUUCGGAUUUCGAUAUCGACGAAUCGGCUCUAUUAGACUUGAUUCUGAGUAUUUGAGAAGUACCUAGGAUAAUACAUUUUACGAUUUUUCGAUAUCAUUUGCGCCAGUGAUCGAAGGGCUCAAAAUCAAUUAAUUUUAACGGCCGUGAGUGAGCAGUUUGCAAGUUUAGGCGGUUUUGUAGAAAUAUCAAAUCCUGUGAAAUUUUGUAGAAAAUUCUUUCAUAUCGUAUAUAAAAUAAGAUCAAUGUCUUUGAUCUAAAUUUUUAAAUGUACAUAUCAUCACAUUUUGUGAGAUUUUUUUUUCAGCGAUUGUUUUGAGCCCUUCGAUCGCUAGGCAAAUGAUACGAAAAUCGCAAAAAUUUAUUUUCUACAUAUUUCAAAUACUCUAGAUCAAGUCUAACGGAGCGAUCGCGAUUCGAAAAUCCCAACAUCAAAACAAUUGGAAGCACGGAGGGUCUCCGUGCUUCCUAAGCAUACAGCACAACUCUCUAUUCUCUCCUCUCUCAUAUAUAUAGUAUAGAAGCUUAGGCUCCUAUGCCUUUCGAAUAGUACGGAUUGCCUCUUAUUUAUAACAUUCCAGUGGAAAUACUAUUAAGCGUUUUACGAUUAAUAGGUUAUAUAGAUAUAUUAUAUAUAUAUAAAAAUAAGCCAAACGAGCAUUUUAACGUAUUUACAUGUUUUUUUUGCCUAUCAAGUUUUUUAACCCUUGGAUGAAAAUUUGGUAGGUCAGGAUAGAUAUUAGUCGGUUAGCAGUUGAGUGGUCCCCUAGUGUUGAGUGGUUCCCACUGGAUUAUAGUAAAUGAUUUAAUCCACAUAGUUAGAAAUAAUGAAAAGAGUUGAUCCAAAGAGCCGUAAAAAAGACUGAAGUAAUAUUGAAUUUUGCUACUAAUAGUAGUCCCAGUCAACUCCUUCUCUCUCUUCUCUCUUCUUCUCUCUACUCUUCUCUCUCUCUCUCUAAUUUUAAUAUAUAUUAUAUAUAUAUAUAGUGAGGCUACUUAUGCUAUGCGAACACGGAACCUUUCGUGCUUCCAGCUCGUUUCGAUUGUUGCGACUUUCGAAUCGUCGAUCGCGCUCCAUUAAACUUGAUCUAGAGUAUUUGAAGUACCUAGAAAAUAAAUUUUAUGAUUUUUCGAUAUCAUUGCCUAAUGACGAAGGGGCUCAAAAUUAACGGCUGAAAAUAAAAUCUGUAUAAAAUGUAAUAUAUGACAUUAAAAUUUUAAAUCAAAUAUUAUCUCGUUUUAUUAUAUAGAAUAAAGAAUUUUAUCCAAAAUUUCACGUGAUUUGAAUAUUUCUUCACCGUUAAACUUGCAAACGGCUCACUACGCCAUUGAAAUUUAUUGAUUUUGAGCCCUUCGAUCACUAGGCAAAUGAUAUCGAAAAAUAAUAAAAUUUAUUUUUCUAGGUACUCAAAUACUCUAGAUCAAGUUUAACGCGAGCGAUUGACGAUUUGAAAAUCGCACAUCGAAAACGAGGUGGAAGACGGAAGUCUUGUGCUUCCGAUAGCCUAGUAGCCUCACUGCUAAAAUAUAAUAUAUUAUAAUAGUAUAAUUAUUAUAUUUAAUAUAUAUAUAUAUAUAUAUAGAAUUAGGCUGGAAUACUAUUAAUAGUAAAACACUCUUUUUGCUAUUAAGUUUUUAAUCCUUGGAUGAAAAAUUGUAAGAUCAGGAUGAUAUCAGUCGGUUAAAGUUGAGUGGUCCCCCUAGGGUUGAGUGGUCCCCACUGGAUUAUAGUAUUUAAUCCAAUGGUUAGAAAUAAUGAAAAGAGUUGAUCCAAAGGCUAAAAAGCUGAUAGCAACAAUAGGAUUUUGUUACUAAUAAUAGCCUAGUCCAACUCUCUCUCUCUCUCUAUAUAUAUAUAUAUCUAUCUCAUUAAAGGGUGAACCCUUAACCUCUUUGCGGCAUUCUUCGUGAUUUCGGGUCUCUCCCUUAACCCCUUUCCUGCGUUCUCCGUGAUUUCGGACCUCCCGCACCCUACUCUCUCUUACCCUCUCUCCUUUUCUCUCUGAGAUGUGGGGCUUAUUCUUCUCCACACCCUACUCUCUCUUACCCUCUCUCCUUCUCAACGAACCCUAACUCUCUCUCUCUUUCUUUUCUAGCCGCCUCUGCAGAUUUUUCGGGAUUUCUCUGUCCCUCUCAACAAACCCUAGGUUCGCCUAGGCUCUCUCCACCGACCUCCCCUGUAGGGGUCGUACCUUACACCGCUCAACCGCAGCUUCACCAAACCGAAUUUUCGGAUCGUGGGUCCCAUCGAGCGCUAUUUUUUUUUUUUUACCCUGUAGACCUCUACCAUUCGCCUCCCCUCUCUCUCUCUCUCUCUCUCUCUCCGUACGCCUCCGCCGCCUACGCGCCGCCUCCGCCUCUGCCUUAUACUACUUUCCCCCACCCCAACUGAGGAAGGGAAUCGAGCUCGCUCUCUCGAGCUCGCGCUCGCGGAGUAAACCCUAGAUUUUUUAUCCGUUGAGAUCGCGGAGAGCAUGGCCGGGAUCCGCGUCUCCAUGGACGUCGGAGGCGACGGGUUCGCCGUGAUCGCUAUCUCCAACACCCCCGUGAACGCGCUGCAUCCCGCGAGUAAUCACGAUCUACCCCUGUUUUUUUUUUUUUUUUUUGGGUGUUCUUAUUUGAUGUAUGUGGCUUAAUUUGAGUUGAGAACCCGUGAUUUGUGAUCUGUAGGUUUUUUUUCCUAUUUUUUUAAAAAUUAUUUAUUUAUUUUUUCUGAUUUUUUUUUUCAUGGGAAAUGAGCUCGAGAGCCUACUGAAUUAUAAUUUUUAUCUAAGUAAUCAAUUUAUUGCAAAAUUUCUCAUCUAAGUAAUCAACCUGAGCUCUUUUCCCAUGAACCUCUCUCUCUCUCUCUCUCUCUCUCUCUCUCUCUCUCUUUUUAUUUUGGUGUCCAUAUUUGAUGUUUGUAGCAAAUUGGAGCGGAGAAUCUGUGUAUGAUGAUCCGUAGUUUUUUUUUCACAAUUUUUUUUUUCUAAUUUUGUUCAUGGGAAAAGAGCCCGUGAGCCUACUGGAGUAUAAAAAUCUUUAAAAUUUUCAACUAAUUAAUCAAUCGAUUGUAAAAUUACUCAACUCGACCUUUUCUGUUGUUGCAGUCAAACGCGUUAUUCUCAGGUGACAGAAAACUUAGAAAUUUUUUUUUAAAAAAAUUCUAAGUUUAUUAAGGAUUUGUAAUAUGGCUCGGUUGAGGUGAUCUAUUAAUCUGGCAGAAGUUUCAGGUGGUGAUUUGAUAUAUUUUCACUCUAAGUUGACAGUUUGCUGACACUGUUUAGAGCUCUUGACAAAGUUCAUAAUAGGUGGUUGGUUCAUUGAUUGUUGUUUGGUGGUACAUUUAAAUGUUUAAAACGUAGGAUUGUAAUCGGCCCAGAGUUGCCUUUGUAAGCAUCCGCCAUACAAUGUCAAGAAGCUGCUCUCUCUUUGUCACUGCCUACUUUCUUUAUUCUCUUUUGGUAGUAAAUAGGUUGGACUAGAUUCAAUUGUGUGCUUUUAUCACUACUUAGCUGCAACAGAGAUCUAAGUUGUAAAGAAAACAAGAUUUUUCUAUGCAAGUAAAACCGAUUUAAAAUGUUCGGGUAGAGACACCCAAUUUGCCCACAGCUUCAAAAUGUCCACACCGACUAUUUUACUUAAACGAAAAACAUAAAGCUGAUUUCAAACACAGGCCCAUUUUGCCUAAUUUGUCCGAAACUUUGAGAUUUCCUCACCCCAGACUAUUUUACUUAAAAAUAAAAAAAAAAAUCGAUGGAGAUGAACUCCUUUCCUUCCACCAAAGCUGCUCCACUGCUAUUUUACUUAAAUAAAAAUAUAAAAUUAAUUUAUAAUAAAACAGUAAUAAUAGUAAUGAACCCUAAUAAUAUAAUAAAACUAUUUCGGAUGCAUCUUUUUGAAUCUUUUAAUAGGAUGCACUUUAUCGAUACAAUGCCAUUAACAUAUGGACAACUAUUUCUAAUUAGCAUAUGAACAAUUUUUAGUAUUAUACAUAUUUAUGAAAGUAUUAUACUUUUGUUCUUUAAUAUUUACAAAUUUAUAUUUAUUGUAGAUUUUUUUGCCCGCCGCGAAGCGCGGGUUCUUAACUAGUAUAUAUAUAUAUAUAUAUAUAUAUGCAACUUGGAAACUGUUAUUUUAGUUUCCGUUCAAAGAUUAAAAUGAUGGUAAAAUCAAUUAGCACUGUUGAGAUAGAAAAAAUAUCACAUUUACCAGAAACAGAAUGUUCCUCUUACAAAUUAUCAUAUAUCAAAAGAGAACAUGAAAAGUAGACAGAAUAUAUUAGAAAAGGUGCCGNGCAAUCAUGAGGUUAGGGUUUCGGGCUUUGUUGAGAAUCAAUCCUUAGUUCCCUUACUUGCGUGUGAUGUGACGUGUUUUUGUUUGGACCAGUUUGCUUAAGCUUUUGGGUCGGAACUGCGAUUUUGAAGUUUGUUUCAAUCUGGAUAUUAAACUUCAAAUUUUGGUUUCGAUUGAUUCACUCUGCUACGCUUCAUUUGAUUUUUAAUUUUUCACUUUUUCUUUUUUAAUAAAGAGAUGAUGAUGUGAUGGCUGAUGCUGCUGUUGAGAGUGAUUCGGCUAUUACAUCAUCUCAAGACUAUAACUAUUCAAUUUUUUGUAUCAUCUUAGAGAGGUAAUUUGACAAUUCUCAUCAGCAACCGCAUCAUCUUCGAGAGAUGAAUUAGUACGCCUCUUCUCUCCUACAGAGUUUAUCAGAGUGAUUUGAUUGAAACUGACAUUAAAACAGGCCAAAGAUUCGAGAAAAAUUGAAACUUUGCCGUAGGUUGGUGGUGACAUUUACACCGCAACCACCCCGCCACUUUAUUUUUUAUUUUAUUUUAUUUUAUUUUUUUGUGUUUGUUUGAGCGCCACUAUUAGAUGAUAAUAACAGGAUCCUUUUGGUACCCAGGAUUGGAUUGGACAAAGAUAAGAUGAGAGGCCGAUAUUGUGGAAGAGUGAGGUUUAGCGACUCGUAGGUGUCGGGGGUUUUGAUGGGUAGGGACUAGGGAUAUGUUAGGACAAUAUUUAAAUCCAAUCUGAUUCAAUCCCCAUCUCUUCAGUGGUGGGAUUUGUAGUCCCACCCGAAUGAGAUUACUGGACCGACUAUUGUAUGAUGUUCCCUUCUCUUACAACUCUAGGUGCCGCUUAUCCUUAGGCUGAUCCUAUCCAAUCCAAUAUUGGGUACUGGUGGUCCACAAAUGAUUUUAUUUAUAUAGCAAGCUGUAUGUUAUGACCUAAUUUUCGAUAAUAAACUUAUUCAUCUAAAGUGGUUUGCACCUGUCCAACUAGCAAAUAAGUCCUUCCUGAUUCAUCUUUGCUGUAGUUUUGAUUAUUUUUAGUUAAACAUACGCAGAAAACUACUUAAUAGUUAAAACGUGUUGGUAACAGUAUUGCGGACUGUUUUAUCGAUCUAUUUGGGUAGAAUGGCGAUGAAUUGAUGAGAUUUUACUUGGCAGUUUAUCUAAAUAUCAAUUAUGAAAGGUGAAAAUCUAGAAAAUAGUUUGAGCUAAUUAAACAUGUUAAGAACCAAGAGUUUAGCUGAAAUGUCAAAAGGGAAUGAAUAAGUUCAAUAAUAACAAAUUUUCUCUAUUCAUUUCCCAUGCUCCAUGUUUACUAGUCGCAUCUCCUGCUUCAUCUCAUAAAUGUUUUUGCUUAUUUCUGGACAAAUCUACGAAGCUGCAUGUGAAAUUCGUUAUUUGUGCCUUGCUGUAGUCUGAAAUAGUAUUGUAAAAGCUUUUCCUUGCUAAGCCUUCCCUAACUAACUGUUUUUCAAGGAAAUUUAAGAUUAUAAGUUGUUGAAAUGGUAAUAGAGAUGUCCUGAAUAUUGUUUUUAACUAGAUGAAGAAAAGCUUUGGCCAUGACUUUAGUUAAACACCGAGUUAAACCCUGAACAUGGUUAUGUGUUGCACUUACUGUGUCUCUCUGAAUAUUUCUUUUCCUACUUUUCAUAUUUCUGAAUUAAUAUGUAUAUCAUGCUACUUUGAGUUUGAGUGCUAUUAAGAACUUACAUCAACCUCUUAAUUUGCUUUUCUCAAUUUUAUAUGGAACCAAACAACAACGCGCAGUUUUUCUCCAAUCCUGCCCCAUGGAGUAACGCGCGCACUCCUACAAGUCUCCUCGAAAGUGUUCCGCAUCGAAACCACCGGCAUAGUAAAAACCGUAUAAAGGCCUCUUCUUUGGGCUUCUUCUAGGGUUUCGCACCCUGGAGGUCGGGGGUAAUGGAGAGGGGAGUGAGGAGAUGGUUGGUGAACAUCUCUACGUGGGAUCCCUCCGAGCGGCGCUUUGCCUCUCUCGCUUCUCUUCUCCCUCCGCAUGAGCGCCCUGCAAUCAUGAGGUUAGGGUUUCGGGCUUUGUUGAGAAUCAAUCCUUAGUUCCCUUACUUGCGUGUGAUGUGACGUGUUUUUGUUUGGACCAGUUUGCUUAAGCUUUUGGGUCGGAACUGCGAUUUUGAAGUUUGUUUCAAUCUGGAUAUUAAACUUCAAAUUUUGGUUUCGAUUGAUUCACUCUGCUACGCUUCAUUUGAUUUUUAAUUUUUCACUUUUUCUUUUUUAAUAAAGAGAUGAUGAUGUGAUGGCUGAUGCUGCUGUUGAGAGUGAUUCGGCUAUUACAUCAUCUCAAGACUAUAACUAUUCAAUUUUUUGUAUCAUCUUAGAGAGGUAAUUUGACAAUUCUCAUCAGCAACCGCAUCAUCUUCGAGAGAUGAAUUAGUACGCCUCUUCUCUCCUACAGAGUUUAUCAGAGUGAUUUGAUUGAAACUGACAUUAAAACAGGCCAAAGAUUCGAGAAAAAUUGAAACUUUGCCGUAGGUUGGUGGUGACAUUUACACCGCAACCACCCCGCCACUUUAUUUUUUAUUUUAUUUUAUUUUAUUUUUUUGUGUUUGUUUGAGCGCCACUAUUAGAUGAUAAUAACAGGAUCCUUUUGGUACCCAGGAUUGGAUUGGACAAAGAUAAGAUGAGAGGCCGAUAUUGUGGAAGAGUGAGGUUUAGCGACUCGUAGGUGUCGGGGGUUUUGAUGGGUAGGGACUAGGGAUAUGUUAGGACAAUAUUUAAAUCCAAUCUGAUUCAAUCCCCAUCUCUUCAGUGGUGGGAUUUGUAGUCCCACCCGAAUGAGAUUACUGGACCGACUAUUGUAUGAUGUUCCCUUCUCUUACAACUCUAGGUGCCGCUUAUCCUUAGGCUGAUCCUAUCCAAUCCAAUAUUGGGUACUGGUGGUCCACAAAUGAUUUUAUUUAUAUAGCAAGCUGUAUGUUAUGACCUAAUUUUCGAUAAUAAACUUAUUCAUCUAAAGUGGUUUGCACCUGUCCAACUAGCAAAUAAGUCCUUCCUGAUUCAUCUUUGCUGUAGUUUUGAUUAUUUUUAGUUAAACAUACGCAGAAAACUACUUAAUAGUUAAAACGUGUUGGUAACAGUAUUGCGGACUGUUUUAUCGAUCUAUUUGGGUAGAAUGGCGAUGAAUUGAUGAGAUUUUACUUGGCAGUUUAUCUAAAUAUCAAUUAUGAAAGGUGAAAAUCUAGAAAAUAGUUUGAGCUAAUUAAACAUGUUAAGAACCAAGAGUUUAGCUGAAAUGUCAAAAGGGAAUGAAUAAGUUCAAUAAUAACAAAUUUUCUCUAUUCAUUUCCCAUGCUCCAUGUUUACUAGUCGCAUCUCCUGCUUCAUCUCAUAAAUGUUUUUGCUUAUUUCUGGACAAAUCUACGAAGCUGCAUGUGAAAUUCGUUAUUUGUGCCUUGCUGUAGUCUGAAAUAGUAUUGUAAAAGCUUUUCCUUGCUAAGCCUUCCCUAACUAACUGUUUUUCAAGGAAAUUUAAGAUUAUAAGUUGUUGAAAUGGUAAUAGAGAUGUCCUGAAUAUUGUUUUUAACUAGAUGAAGAAAAGCUUUGGCCAUGACUUUAGUUAAACACCGAGUUAAACCCUGAACAUGGUUAUGUGUUGCACUUACUGUGUCUCUCUGAAUAUUUCUUUUCCUACUUUUCAUAUUUCUGAAUUAAUAUGUAUAUCAUGCUACUUUGAGUUUGAGUGCUAUUAAGAACUUACAUCAACCUCUUACGUAAAUAGGUUUGUAAAGGUUGAUGACAGGAAACGAGCACUUGUCAGUCGAUUGCUUCAGUAUGUGCUCGUGCGUGAAGUUCUUGGUAUUCCAUUUGACAAAAUAACCUUGAGCCGUACAAUUGAGGGAAAACCCUAUUUGGUAUGAUUUGCUUAAGUUGUUAUAAUUAUGAACCUGGGGUUGAAAUCUGCUUUUAUGGGAUGAAACACAGCUUAUCAUUAUCUCAUUGUAUAUUACUGUUGAAUUAUGAUAAACUAUUUAUUUUCUUUGGAAAAUAAACAAGAGACCAUUAAUUAGAAAGGUCUGUUUACCCCUUUCCAUUUCUACAUCGUACAGCUGCAUAUAUCUACUUUGCUUACCCUUGGGAAUGCAGUAUAUUUCUAUGCCGUGUAGCCUUCUUUGACCCUUUUCACUCUGUGCAUCCACAAGUUAUUUACCAGCAAAAUGUAUUCUGUUGGCUGAUUUGGUUCAUAUGGCAAUUAAGGGUUUCCGUUAGCAGAAUAAUGAAGAUAAUGUGGUAUUUCCAAACUUCAAUUUCAAUGCAUCACAUCAUGGGGAUUAUGUUGGCAUAGCAUCUGAGCCACGCUGUCUUGUUGGCUUGGAUAUUGUUAGUGUUUCCAAGCCUCAGAAAGAAGAAGUUUUAGAGUUCAUUGAUAGCUUCUCAUCGUACUUCACAGUUUUAGAAUGGAAGAACAUCCUUCAAUCAAGCUCUUCUGAUGAAAUCUUGAUCGAGUUCUACAGGUAGUUAUGUAUCUUUUGUUGUAAAGGCAUAAGCAUUCUUGAUAUCCUUAUUUAUUAACAAGGGGAUAUAUUUAUAUUUCUUCAUGUCCAUAUUGCAACAAGUAAUAAGUAAACUGUAUAUUAACAGUAUAGAAGAAAAGAAUUUCUUUUCAUCCUUCAAACAUGCGUCUGUUUCAACACAUUAAUAUGUUUGUAAAUAAUUGUAUGUUAUCAUUUUGUGAUAUUAGAUUGUUAUUGCUCAUGCUGUAGAUACUGGUGUCUCAAAGAGGCGUUUGUAAAAGCAGUAGGUGCUGGAUUGGGCUUUGGAUUGCACAGAUUGGAAUUCCAUCACGCAAGGUGGACAAAUAUAUCUGUCUGUAUAGAUGGAGCAGAAUCUAAAGAUUGGAGAUUUUGGCUUUUUGAACUCGAUGAGAGGCAUUUGGUCAGUAUAAUGAAUGGCCAUAAAAUAUUGAGACCUAAAGUUUAGCUGUUUUCCAAAUAGGCACCUGAGCUUUCAGUUUUGGUAGCCAGGCCCCUUAAACUUUAUCAAAUAGUUUGAUUGGCUCCUCUCCUCAAUUGAAGUUACUAAUCAUACAACCAUUUGGAUUGCCUGCCUUUUACAUAAUUUCUAAGACUUCAAAAUAUAAAAAGAAAAACCUAAUUUUCUCUUUCAAAUUUGAUAAUUAAGCGUGAAGAUUGAAGAAUAGCGUGGAACUUCCUUUGAUUUUUGCUUGUAUAUAUAUAUAAAAAUAUAAAAAAUAAAUUUUGAAUAUUCUGAAACUUUAUAAGAUUAUAUGCAAGAAUAUGACCAGAACGGUUACGGUUGUAUUAUUAGUAACUUCAAGUGAAGAGAGAGGCUUAUUGAACUAUUUGAUAAAGUUUAGGGGGUCUCUUUGUCAAAAUUGAAAGUUUAGGCUACUAAUCAUAAAAAGAGCUAAAGUUCAAGGGGUUUCUCUACACUAUUCCCUAAACUAUUUCUGUAUCCUCCGUGCUCUUCUACAUUGAUCUUAUAUGCAAAGAUGUUGUUUAUCAAAAUACUAGUUAAUCUGAAAACGUCCUCUCUUGAAAAGGUCCUCUCUACAUUGAUCUUGAGAAGGUCCUCUCUACCUUGAUCUUAUAUGCAAAGAUGUUGUUUAUCAAAAUACUAGUUAAUAUGAACGGGGAGGGGCCCACUUGUAAAAUGCUUGCAACAAGAAUAUUGAAGAAAAAAGCUAUUGAACUUAAAAUGUGAUUGGUCACAGGCAUCUAUAGCAAAAGGACAUCCAAGGGAAGCCGUUGAGACAUAUCGACAAACAUUGACGAAGGUGGACUUUGAGGAGGGGGAGUUCCAGUGCGCUCUUCAGCUUCCAGAACAUGGUUUCACUUCAUUUACAGUUGAUCAACUAGACCCAAAGGAAAAUUAAUGAUGUACAUCUCUUCAACCAAUAGUUUGCAACUGUACAUUCAUUUGAGUCCUUGUAGUUUGGUAGGGAUGUGAGAAAGUAUCCAGUUCAUUGGAUUUUAAAAUUUAGGAGUCAUCACAGGCCAAUCAAAUUCACUGCGUGAGAUUUAUAAAGUGACAAUAUUUGGAUGACUUAUCAUAGUUCCUACAUGGUAUCUUAGACGAUCCGAGGAUCAGUGAUUUUUAAUUUCUCGAUUUUCUGUCAAAUUUACAAUUAGUUCAUGAAUUUGGUUCUUGGAAUAUUUCUUCAAAUAUGAAUCUGAAUCCUAGAGACCUGGUUCUUGGAAUAUUUCUUCAAAUAUUUCUUUGAUCUCUCCCACUUGGUCUCUCUUAACUACUUUUGCUCUAUUCUGGUUUCUACUGCUCCUAAUAACUUUUAAGCUCUCCAAGGAUGGGUUUUGAGCUGAGUAAGGAGCAGAGCUCUUGGAGGAACCUCACUUGUGUUCUAUCAAGUUAGAGCAUAGUAGAGGUAAGAUUUGAUCUUUUGGAGAUAUGUAUUAAAAGGGUUUUUAGGAUGAUUUCCUUAGUGCUAAUGGUAUUAAGAGAGUUUUAGAGGCGGUUAUGUUAGGGUUGAAUCUUGACUGAGAAUUUAUAUAUGAAACCCCCUUGUUUAGGGUUGGUUUGAGAAUAAGAGAGCUUAGAUUGGGACUACUACGAGUUUCAACAUUAUUUGGUGCGUACCGGUAUGCCAAAAGUGGUGAAUUAACUUUUUGUCUUCUUACGCAUGUUUCUAGCUAUCUUUUGAUAUUCCAUUGGCAUGAAUAUUUAUGUUUCUAUGUUGCUCAUUCAUUUCUUGAUAUAUGAACGUAUAGAAAAACAUCUUAGUAUUUGAGUUAUGGUUCAUGUUGACAUUUCAGAAACCUAAUUACUAGUAUAUUUCAUAUGCUACUUUCUUUGAGGUGAUCACUAUGUCAUGAAUUAUGUGGACUAAUCGUGUUAAAAAGAGAAUGAGAUCAUGUGAAGGUACCAAGCAAAACGAAGAAUUAUGAGAUCUUGUUGAUCAUGACAUGUGACUAUAGCCUGCAAGAGUUAAAUUAUGCUCAACUACUUAUUUCCUCGUCUUAGGGUCGUGCCCCCACAAGCUGGCCCUCCGGAGGUGUAGCCAUGCGGCUAUGCUAUUGUUCGAGCUGUCUAUAGUUGAGAUCCUUUAUGGGUUCAUGUGCGAUUAUUUGAUGUCCUACUAGGCAUUGCACGGGAUUGUUUGAUGUCCUACUAGGCAUUGCGCGGGUUUGGCCGAACUAUGGGAGCGUCGUUGGGAUUGGGUAGUAUGAUGUUUGUUAUCUAUUACCAUACUUGAUGCACGAUAGAAUAUGUAACCUCAUUCUUAGUAUUUAGGCAUAAUAGAAGUAUAGUAGUGAUGGUUUAUUAUACUUGUCAUUUUGUUAUUCUUUCUAUAGCUUACAGUAUUGAUACCCGAAGUAGGCCUAGUGGCAUAGGUUGCCGUUAUUGGCUACUGUACUCACCGAAAAAUAUUUUUCAGUAGUUCUCACAUCCCUGUUGUUGUUUUUCUUUCACAGCCAUCGUCGUCGGCAGGUGAUCGUGGCAAAGGUAUUGCAAGCUAGGUAGCACCCCGUCCUGGACGAGCUCUAGUGGAGUGACUGUUAUGUUGGUGGGACUUGCUAGUUGUCUAUAGAAAGUGGGUGUAAAUAUUAUUUUCUAGGUUGCAGCUAGCGCUGUAAUGUGGGCCGUGCCGGGCCGAUACGGUCCACACGGUCCACAUUUAGCUGGGUCGAAACCUGCNGGACCCCCGGCCCAGCACGGCCCCCCGGUCUGGAUGGCACGGGCCUUGCCAAGCCGGCCCUUUUUUAUUUAUUAAUUUUAUUUAAAAAAUAUUAAAAUUUUAAAAAAUAAAUGUAAAAUUAUUAUUUUUUAAAAAAUAAUAUAUGAGUGAAAAAUUUUCAAAUUUUAAAAUACAUUUAUAAAAAUAUUAAAAUUUUAAAAUUAUUUAAAAAUUUUAAAUAUUUUUUGGACCAAAAUGCCCUUCCCAAUAGUCAAAUUAGUUACAAUCUUAAUUUUUCCCAAUAUAAUGUUAAGUAAAAUGACAGAAAUGCUCUUAAAUGGGCUAGUUUGAAUAUGAAGAGAGAAAAACAACUUUUCUCCUCUCCUCUUCUUUACAUUUACUCCUUCCAAUAUCCUAUUUUUUCUCUCUUUUAUUUAGCAAUGAGAAGAAGGAUUUUCCUUCAAAUUGAAGGGAUUUUGGAGGAUACUUUUGGAAAAGGAAAUCCAUUUUCAAGUUGAGACCCUAGCUAGAGAACAAAGUAAGUAGAUCUUUAGUUUUGUACUUUGUGAAUAUCAAAGGAUAAAUAUUUUGGGUUGCAUACACGUUUUUCUAUUUUCUUUGAAGGUCCCAAGCUAUUCUUUAUGGAUUGGAUAUAGUUUUGGAAAAUUUUGUAGCAUUAUAUUCACUUAUUGAAGCUCCAAAUAGAGGAUUUUUGCCUUAUUACGGGAUUUGAUUGUAAUCUUAGGGUAUGGACCCUAAGAGGCCGAAAUGAGGAUUUUGAUCAAUAAUUUUUAGUUCUUUCUAUUUGAAUUUGGGGGCCAAUGCAUGAUUAUAUGAAUUGCCUUUAUUUUUGAGAGGUUUUGAUGAGUUACUUGCAUGUUAUGAGGCUCCAAAAUUGGGAUUUUAAUCAACUACGAGAUUAAACUUUUGUAGUUGAUUUUAAGAGUUUAGAAUCCUUAAAUUAAGAUGUCAAUCAUGUUCAAAUAUAUUGGGCAUGACUGUAUGAUUGAGCUAAGUUGUUUGAUUAAAUUUAAACCUAGUUUGUCAAUAUUUCGACCAAUUAUAUAAGGUUUGAAUGAGUUAUUUUAAGGUUUUUAUCUAUUUUGGAAGAGUUGUGGGCUCCCGAAAUAGGGACUUUUGUUCUAAUCCGUGGAUAGAGCAUAAUAGCUGAAGUGAUGGACUUGAAUAAAUCUAAAUCAUUUGUGAUUAAGAUAAAAAUAAAAGAUUAAUGGAGAUACUCAUUAUUUGUAUGUUAGGUACUUCGAACGCGCACGUCGGAGCUCCUACGGCUGAACCUUCUACGUCUUAGAUCGGUUUUUUCUUAUUUUGGGGUGGAAUCCUUAUCUAUAGAUGAUGAAUCUUAGUGAUCCUCUUAUCGUGCAUGCAUAUAUAUAUAUAUUGCUAUUGAAUGUUUGUAAUUCUUGUUGCAUGCUUAAUUAUUGCUCUAAGAACUUAUGCUUUCGUUGUUUAUUCUUUGGUUCAUGAUGCAAUGGAAUUUGAUCUUAUGCUCUAACAUGUGUUUUGUUAUCACAUUGUACUAGUAGAGGAUAUGCAUUUGUAUUGGAAGAUAGUAUAAUCUUAGUUAUUUGUUGAUUUCAAAAUAUAACAUCAUUGUUGAGACAUUGACCCUAUUUGGAUUCGCCUCUGUGUUUAUGAUGCUCCCCGGGCCAUCUUUGAUGGCUCCUUAUGAUGAGGGAGUUUGAGUCUGAGAAGGUGUGAGUGGGUUACCAGUGGUAGUCACUUCCCACGCGGUAAGCCCUUUGCUCCUCGGGUUAAGAUUUGUUUUGCACCCGAGGCCAGAGUGCCGCGCUUACGCAUUUACUUGAUUGUAGGUCGAGUUGGAUUUUUGUUGGGCCUUUCUAGUUGAUUAUACUUAUCAUGUGAUGUCAUCAUUUAUUUGUUGAGUAUAGUUGCAAUUGUUGAUUGUAAUGGUAGAUUCAUAUGUAUGUUUAAAAAUUAUUCAUAACUCAUUGUUUAUUUUUUCAUUAAUCACAUACUAUUAAGUCCAGUGGGGCUUGUUGUCGCUAGACAAGCUUUUAUUGGGAACUAUUGUUAAUAGUUCUUAUUAUGUGGAUAUUACUAAUUUUACAGGUAUGACCUUUGAGAUGGGAUCGGGCGAGGUGACGACUAUAGUCGCCCCGAUAGCGAAAGCAUCACGGAGGUGUAACAGCUGCAGACCCGCCACAUAAUUUAAGAUUGAAAGCUUAAGUAUGUUCUGCAUUAAUAUCAACAUCUUUAUAAUGUUAUAAAUUUUUACAACAAUUCACAAUUUCAAGCAUUCCAAAUUUAUUAAUAUAAAUUGGUUACCAUAACACUAUUUAAUUUUAAGCACAAAUAAAACUUCUAAAUGGGUUAUGCCCUCAACUUAACAAGUAGCAAGUUUGUACAAUUUAUAGUUCCAAUACAAAAGCGUACCCUCUACUAGUACAAUGUGAUAAAAAGAAAUAUGCUAGAGCAUCAGAUCAAAUUCUAUUGCAUUAUGAACUAAAGAAUAAACAACGAGGGCAUAAGUUCUUAGAGCAAUAAUUAAGCAUGCAAAAAGAAUUACAAACAUUCAAUAGCAAUAUAUAAAUACGCACAUAUAAUACUAAGAGGACCACUAAGAUUCAUCAUCUAUAGAUAAGAAUUUUAUCUCAAAAUAAGAAAAGACUGAUCUAAGACAGCAAUAGGAGUUCUGAUGUCCGCAUCCGAAAUAUCUAAUAUAUAAAUAAUAAGUAUCUCCAUUAAUUUUUUAUUUUUUUUUCUUAAUCUUAAAAGAUUUAGAUUAUUCAAGUCCAUCACUUCAACUAUUAUACUCUAUCAUCAUAUUAGAACAAAAGUUUCUAUAUCGGGGAGCCCAUUAACUCUCCCAAAGUAGAUAAAAAUUUUAAAAUAACUCAUUCAAGUCCUAUAUAACUUAUAUAAGGGUUUGGGAUGCUUAAUUUUAACAAACGACCACCUAGCGAAAUGUUAUACCCUCUAAAAUCUAGCCGGAAUAUUCCAACCCGAGAAUAGAAUAAAUUGGUCGAAAUAUUGACAAACUAGGUUUAAAUUUGAUCAAACAACUUAGCUCAAUCACACAUUCAUGCCCAAUAUAUUUGAAUAUGAUUGACAUUUCAGUUUGAAGAUUCUAAACUCUUAAAAUCAACUACAGAAGCAUAAUCUCGUAGUUGAUCAAAAUUCUAAUUUUGGAGCCUCAUAACUUCCAAGUAACUCAUCAAAACCUUUUAAAAAUAAAGGUAAUUCAUAUAGCUUCAAUAAAUGAAUGUAAUGCUAUAAAAUUUUUCAAAACCAUAGCCAAUCCAUAAAGGAUAGCUGGGGACCUUCAAAGAGAAUAGAAAAAUAUGCAUGCAAUCCAAAAUAUUCAUCUUUUGAUAUUCACUAAAGUACAAAACUGAAAAUUUACAUUGUUCUCUAUCUAGGGUCUCAACUUCAAAAUGGAUUUCCUUCUCUAGCCGCCGCCUCCUAAAUUCCUUCAAUUUGAAGGAAAAAUUCUUCUUCUCAUCUCCUUCUCUUCUUUCCAUUUACCUCUUCUCCCAAUAUCCUAUUUCUCUUUUAUUCUCAUUGGGGAGGGUGUUUUGGUCCAAAGGGGAUCAAUGCCCAUCUCCCAAGGGUGUGGCAGACUCUUGGGAGGGCCGCAAUGCUGCUAAACCCAACUCCCAAAGCAUUGGGAGUUGGGGACGCAGGGGGCCUUGGGAGUUGGGUACAACCCGUGCACUCCCUGCCCGGUCCCGGCUCCGGCUCGGUAGACAUGGCCCACACAGGCCGGGCCGUGCCGGGCCGGAGCCUCCCCUCAAGCCCCGGCACGGCCUAGACCUGUGUCAGGCCAGGCCGCGCCCGGCCACUGAGCCACGAGUGCUAUAGUACUCGUCCCAUGCCUCCGCCCAGCCCAAUCUCGUGCCGCCCGACCCGUUUUACACCUCGAGUUGCAGCCGUAUAGUUGUGACACUUAUUAUGCUAGUAUAGUUAUAUUUUGAUUCUAAUAAAUCAACUCAUACAUUUUCUUAUACAUGUUAUUGUGUAUAUGAGAUGAUUGUGUUGGCCGGGUUACGCUUCAUGUUUCUGUGCAUAAGGUGGGUCUAUUUGCGUCCUCGGAGAAAUUGCGCUGUAAUACGAGGCAUGACAAGAAAAUUGGAAUGAUUGUAUAAGAAUUUGAUAGUUUGUUUUAUAUAUUAUAUUUUAUUUCUUGAACGUCAGCCAAAUAUUUUCCGAAGUCUACAAAUUUUUUUCAAACUCUAAAAACUUUUCUACUUUCAGAAUUUAAUUUUUAAUUUAAAAUUGGUGACUAUAUGUGGCGCAUUGAUAACCAAUCCAAAGAGAAUGACAAAAUUGAGUGGCUCACUGUGUGGUGAGAAGGAAUUUUUGUCGCAACUAUCCUCUUUGAAUUCUAAUAUAUAGCAGCACCAUGAAAGGGGGAAGUGACAAAAUUGACUGGUCUUUUUUUCUUUUUUCAUUUCAAUUUUCUUAGCUCUGGGUGGUGCAUCAGUUUCAUUAUUGCCCAUUGGAUCAUUUUUAUCUGGUCGUGUCUGAAACUGCCAGUCUACAAACUUCCUGCAAUGAAAAGACAUUUCAGAUCUAAAGAUUAUAGAUAGGCUAUAGACACAAGCUCUCCAAUUGCAGAUAUUUGUCAGGUGCACAUUUGCUGUUUUGGUUCUAGGGCAAUUUAGAAUCUAAAUGGUGAGAGCUUUCAUUUAAAACUUAACACUUACGUGAUGGUAACAAGUGCUGUAAUUCAUGAAGCUUUUUCUUUUUAGACUCGGAAAAUAGACAGAGCUAAGCAAAAUAGUGCUUCUACAUACAGUUUUAUUCAAACGACACUUUCUGAUAAAAUACAGCUAGGCCUCAAGGAAAACCUGAUACCUAAAUUGUACCACACGAAUGAUGAAGCUGCUGCUCCACAACAAUCUCCUGAUUCCUGCUUCCGCAGUCCACUCUAAGAUUACUAACUUCCAAGUACUGCUUAUUGAAGUAUAUGAAUGAUAUCAUACAAUAGUUGCAUGAAAGAGGACAGAUCUAAAAGACUAAUGUAUUCCACACAACAACAUUUACAUUGGGAGCUGCUCCAACAAUCUUCGACUAUUAAGCACUGCGUUUAACUUACCUGCGCACUAGUAACAUCAACUAAUCCUUUCCCCAGCUGUUCGCUGCUGCCGCCUUCCCCUUUGAACUCUAUUGCUUCACCCAACACAAAAUCACCAACACUUGAUUCGAAUAUUUCAUGUUCCAAUUGUCGAAUGAAAUCGGGCUUCAACUCUGGGUUGGUAUUUUCGAGAGUAGGUUCCGCUGGGGGAUUGGAUAUUCUUGGUUUCUUGCUGGGGAAAGGGGUGUGUCCCAGGCAAUCCUCUAAGUUCGACGAGGAUGCGGAUGCGUUCUUGUUGCCCUCGUUGCCCUCAGAGGAUUUAACGGCGCCGUCGAGCUUCUGCUGCUCCUCGAUGAUCUUCUGUAGGUACCGGCCCUGUGCUUCGAUUCUCAGCUGCAACUGUUUCUGUACCUGAGAACAUAAAAAUCAAAAUGUGUACUUCAGGUAACAAUAAGCCGAUGAGGUUCUCCUUCGUUUUUGUCAUCUUUCUUUCUAUUACCUUGCCACCUGCCUACUGAUGACAAAUGCAAUCCUUCAUUUCUUCUAAGCAUGUCACAUUGACUAAACCACAUAAUGGGUGGCGAAACACUUUUCUUUUGUCUUGUAGAAUCUUCCAGAUAUUUUAAAACUUGACCUACUAAUUCACUAGGCAGUUCACCUAUAUGUGAAAAAGGUGCCAAAGCAUUUUAAGGGCCCCUCAGGAUCGUCUUUGCGACUCAACAAUAAUUUCCAAGUGACAAGGGAAACAACCUUAUAGCAGCGAAGCCUGAACCACAGAUAUAAAGCUGAAAUCAUGCUAUAGCGCAUGCAUUUUAUAUAAACUUUCCUCAUAAAGACCACAAACGAAUAAGAACAGCAAAGAGCAUUUUUCCCACAAAAAAUUCACCAGAGAUGACAGAAGAAAAGAAGUAGCCUAGCUUAAUGUUUAAACCCUCACAUGUAGUGAAUAACAUAAGAGAAAAACUAGCUAGCUAAUCCACAAACCUCAAGCUGUUCGUUCAGCCGCUUCUGAACCUCCAUUUGCAUCUUCAGAGCUUCAUUUAUUUGUAUUUCUCUGGAAAACAGAGAACCUUAAAAUGUUGGAAACAUAAUGUGCUGCAUUCAACAUCUUAUGAAGUAUGAAACUUUAGAAGCUGUACAAUAUUAAAAUAACAAAUCAUUCAUAUAAAUACUAACGAAACCAACUAGUAACAAGUAUAAUAAUCUUACACAAGACGCAUAGAAUUGUAUUCUUUCAGCUAAAAAAUAUUGGCCACAAUGCCGAUGAGCAAACUAAACGAUGGAAACCACCAGUAACAUAAAACUCUUUGAACAAGUUUACAAGUAAAUGCAACACAAAAGCUUGCUUCUAAUUAAGAAAAAGCUCCAUUUCUGUCUCAUAUCUAUCCUGAGAUAUGGAAAAGCAGUAAAAUAAUUUGAUUAAUCCAUCAUCAAUGAGAGAUGUUACUUACGGUGCAGAGUCAUUGCCAGAAAGAGUAUCACCAGAAUCUUUCGUCUCAUCCUUUGAGCCUACAACGAAAAUCAUCUAAAAAUCUGAGGAAGAAUUGAGAAAUCAAAAGAGCCCACUAGAAGCAUAUAUUGAGUGAAAUAUAAUAGGCUUUACCAUCAGCUGGAGAUUCGGGUAGGAACUUUGCAAGGCGAUACUUCUACAUGAGUACAAGUAAUUAUCAGCUAUCAUUCGGUAUUUUAGACAUCAAAGUCUAAAACCAGUGGUCAUUACCUGUAAAUGGCUUUUUACAUGAUAGAUGGUGAUGCCUGGUACACCCAUUAUUCUCAAAACCCCUUUAGGUGUAGCUCCUGAAGCAACAUCCACAAAAAUAUAAUAGUAAAUGUUUUCAUUGUGAAAAAUGAACACACUUUCUUGAAAUUUCACCAACCCCUUAAAAGAACAAGAUUAGAAACUUUCCAGACAACAAAUGAUAUUUCAUGCAUUAGAGACACUCCAAUAUCAGUCCAAAAAUUGCUGCAAUUCCAUGCCUAUUUUAGAAAUUUAGAGUUCGGAUACCACACUUGAGUUUGGUGAACUUCAAUACCCAUUUCAAUCGCGUCACACCAACAGACUUUCUAAAUUUCCCUUGAGGAUAACAUGGCAACUAAUACAACAGGAAUGUCAUCUUCAACUAUAUGCCACAUCAUCCUUACAUUUGCUGAUUCAUGAUGAUCAUGAAAUGACAUGGUACCUGAUUUAGUUACCAUGGCAUUGUCACAUCAUUUUUUGAAGAGGACGUAACAGCUAAAUUAGCUGCCUCAACAAGUCUCCAACUCUCCAAUAUGGAAACUACAUGGAGUUUGACAAAGUGUCAUGGUGAAAACAGAUUUAACAUCCAUUCCAUCGAUUGAAACAAACAGAAGUUAGGCAACCUACUAAAAUUUCACAUAAGUUCAGCGAGCAAUUGUGUAAUGUAACAAAUUAUCUUUGGUUACAACUCUCCACCGUGGAAACUAAAUGGAGUUUGAAUAAGUGACAUGAUAAAAACAGAUUAAACAUUCAUUCCAUCAAUUGAAACAAACUGAAGCUCAGCAGCGUAUUAAAAUUCCACCAUUAGUCAGCAACCAAAUGUGUAAUUUAACAAAUUAUCUUUGACAUAGGUCCUUCCGUAAAAAUAAACAGAGUGAAGGUUGCCUGAUGAAAAGCACUCAAAACGGAAUCACAUAUACACCUUUUUUUGUUUCUGUUUCUUUAUUUGGAUUUCAAAAACAUUGAAUCCACCAUAGAACAUUCAUGUUAGCCUGUUGUUCAAUAAGUAGUUUUAACUAAUUGACUACCGAUUCCAGAUAAUUGGAAUCAGCCUGAACAAAACGCAAACCCCCCAGUCAUGGUGUUUCCCUUUCACAGGUAAAGUUAUAGAUGCACUUUACCCUUCUUUCUUUCCCCAACAAGAACCAGACACCAAACACAUACUAAAUGUAUUUACUAACAAAGUGAAAUGAAACUGAAAGAGAGCAGAGAAUACUUUAAGAAUAAAAGCCUCUGAUUCUAGAGGAUCCAGAUUCUCAUACAUCACAGCUCAAAUUCAUAAUGGUCUGUAAGCACCACCAAUUACCAUGAAAUUUCACAUCUAACGCAACAGAGCAGAUCACUAUAUGAUAACGUACUGUUAAUAAUUUGUACUAUCAUGUUGAUCAUUCAGUCAUGAAUAUGACAUUGAUGAAUAGACCAUUUCGAACUUUAACAUCUACAAAAAAAAUAUUUAUACUCUUACUAGAUAUGGGACUUAUGGAAUAAUUAUGAUGUCAGUGGAUUGAUCUACCAUAAAGAAUGUGAUUUUUUCAACAACUAUUUCAGUGCUUACACACAUUUAGGACUCUUUUGCCUCCACUAAAUCUUUAGCAGAAGUGCUUCAUGAGUAGAGCUAAUGGACGACUUAUUAAAUUCCUAUAUCAUAUUUUCUAAAUACUGUGGCAGCCGAAAAUGGAAGUUUCAAACCAGCAUUUGCUCGAGGCUCAGAAGCUUGUUUUGGCUUCCCUCUAUGCUUAGAAGUUCUAAAACAUUCUUUCACUAUACACCUGCUUUCUUCUUAAGUAUAGAAGCACUUUUAAAAGCCAGGCAAAGUUAAAAGUUAACAUUCUUCAGAUCUCAAUUUCUUUUAGGCAUUCAUGACAUCUGCUGACGCAAUUGUAUCCUCUCAUCCAACAUAUUUUGGAGUUCCAGCUGAAAUUCAGGACCGGAAACCAAAACAUUUUGAUCUUGACAGGUGGCAAUUCAAAGCACAGGUUCAGCUUGCAGAAAACCAUGGAAAAUGUAAAUGUAUCACUUUCACAAGCUAUAUGUUCCGGAUAAUUAAUGCUGCUACUUAAACCACGAAUUUUUAGACAAUGCUCUACUAAUAUUUAUCAAGAAUCCAAAUGAAUAUCUAUGUAAUUUUGAUAUCCACUUCACUGUAAGGCAGUUCAGUGUUUGACAAUGGAGUUUCAGGACAAUGGCAUUUAAGUUAUUUUUUCUUAUUCAGGUGUGGAUAUUUUGAGGUUAAAUCUUUGCCAAUUAUUAUCAAUGCUACUAGCUAAAGUUGCUUUUUCCAAUUUUAAACAAUAUGAUAUAAUAAAAUUUGGACUACAAUAAGCAAAAAUUUCUCAUAAGGAUAUAACCAGCAACAUGUGUAAAGGAUGUAAUGCACUUGAACAGUUGAACUUUAAACUUAAUGCAUAAAAGAAGGAUGUCCAGAUGCUAAAAAACUUGGGUCCUACAAUCAAUUUGUUGUACAAUACCAACGAUAUUACUUGCUUGCAAGAAUCAUUAUGCACUCGACUAAUGAAAUUGGUUCCAAAGCUAACCAGCAGAUAAAGCAUUAAACAUCAUACAACUCAAUCUAUCAGGAUAAACUCUCCAACGCGGACAACUCUACAUAUCCAAAUUUUAUACAAUUUUAGGGAACUAUCAUAGAGACUUUAUGAAAUAUUAUUAUUAAAUUCAAGCAUUAAACAAUUACUACUGGAAAUACCCACUAUCUGGUCCACCAAGUUGGGUGAUUGCAUUAACAAAACGGUCGUGAAGAUCUGAAGUCCAACGCAGCCGUUGCUUGCCACCCCCCCCUGAAUUAGUUGAAUUGUUCAAACUGGAGCCAUCCAUAACUGAAACAUUUCCAGUUUGCUCACUGCCUUGGGAUUUGUGGGGAGCCAUGUGUAAAGUAGAAAAUUUCUUGGGAUGGUACAUGGCAAAUACCCUGUAAACCAAUCCAUGUUUCAGAUUAAACAGAAUUUCAAUAAAAUAAAACAAAAGGUGAAAUACCUGAGGGACUUUAGUACAGCAAGAUCUUCCAUUGCUUUAGUAAUAAACCAAUUAACAUGCUAAAUACAGUUUCAGGAAAUAAACCAUAUUAAUCUUGUCACACCAUUCAUAAUUAAGUCGCUUCACUACAUGAAAGAGCAUACAAUUAGCAACACAUGAUUAUAACUUUCCCUCGAUGAAUUAGCAUGCUGGGAUAUGUUAGAAAAGAGAGAAGAAAUGAAGAGCAACACAACAAAAAGAAAAUUAGAUAAAUGCUCUGAGGAUUUGCAAAACAACACCAGAACCGAAACGUAGCACAGCAAAAGAUAUUGCUCAUAGAAACAAACAAGUCAAAACCUUAAGUGCACAUACUUCUAGUAGGAAACAAAAAAAAUGGUCCUAAAAUUGAGAAACUAAAACAUUAUCCAAUCGAAAUGAGUGAUGUUAUUAGCGAAUCUAAGUUUGACAUUGACAACUAGUUUCCUUCGAUCAGGUGAUUAUUUACUGACGGAAUUUGACAGAUUCAAUAAAUUUGAUCUCCCCGUAGUAAAAUUGAAGCUGUUAAUAUAUAAACUAUGAAUAAUUCCUCAAUUAUCGAACAUAAUUCACCUCAAAUCCAUCAAAAAAUAUAACAAAAAACAACAAUUUUUCACAAGAACCAACCUCUCAAAAAGCGAUCCACAAUCCCCCCACUCUCUCUCCUUCACGACCUCCCAAUUUUCUCACUCUCCAAGCCCCAUCCAACCACCCAACACCAAAACCACCUCCCAAUCUCCAUCGCCCACACACCGAGUCCCCCACAAACCCCGCCCAAAUUCGACGUUUCGCAAUCACAAAAAAAGCAACCAGUUCCCCUUCUAAGAACCCAAAUCGGAAGAACCCAAACCGAGAAUUAAUGCCGCGGGGGCCAGGGUUUCCAAACCGAGGCAAAGAGCAGGCCCCUGAAAGGGGAAGGAGCAGGUGAGAAGAUCGCGAGGGGAUUAGGGUUAGGGUUUGGUCGCGCACGGUAUCGGUGCGGAGAAAUCGAGGAGAAUCGGGGGAUGAGAGAGAGAGAGAGAGAGAGAGAGAGAGAGAGAGAGAUUUAGGGCUUCAUGGUCGUGUACUCGUCGCUCGUGCCCCUGGAUUUGGGGAGGUGAUCAAAAUCGCGUUCGGGAGGAUCCCAUUGUGGUCCAUGGUAUCGUGUUCCGUGUCCCGCGAGAAUAUUCCCUGAACCAGGUGCAUCCGUACAAAUCAUGGACCGCUCUUUGCUUAUUAAUAUCUCAAAUUAAAAAAAAAAAUAUGAAGUUCCAGUUAUAGAUCGAAUACUUGGUAGUAAUAACAUUGUUUACUUCGAUGGAAUAUUCGAAUAGAUUAUUAAUACUGUUAAACAUGAUUUAUAUUUUUAUUAGGAUGAUAUAUAUUGAAGGGCAUUAUGUGAUUUAAAAAAAAAAAAAAAACAGAACUUGCAAUCGAGUUUCUGCCUUAUAAAACUGAGUAAUUAUGAAACUAUUCGUGGAAGUUUAGAUCUAAAAAGUAUAGAUUACAAAUUUGAAUGAUAUGAGACUGAGUAACGCAGGAACUAUUCUUGAAAGUUUAGACCUAAUGGUACCAUUUGGUUCAGGUAUAAGCAAGAACUAGCUAUUACAGGGAUAGGUACAAGUAUGGGGAUAAGAAAAAUAGCGUUUGGAUGAAAAUUGUGUUGUUCCCGAGGAUAAGAAAAAUAUUAGAAAAUUUUAUAUAGAAAAUGGAUGUGUUGGUGGGGAUAACCGAGAACUACUAUUCUCGGGUAAAAAAUUAGCGUUUGGGUAUAAAAGGAGGGAUAAGGGCCUAUCCCUAUCCCUAUUCCCAAACCAAACGGUAAGUAUAGAUUAUAGAUUUGAUAGAUUUGAUGAAGAUUUAUUUGUAGACGCACGGUAAAAAUGUAUAUACGGAGACUCCAACACCAGACAAUUUUGGAAUAUGUUUAUAGAGUGAUAUAUUCACACUCUCUUAAUUUUCAUUUAUUUUGAUAUAAGUUAUUUCAGUUUGCUUGAAUUCACAGCGGCUCCAUUAGCUACUUAUCAAGCAACAUAUUUGAGGUGGUGUCAACAAAAAAGAAGUGAAAUUCCCAAAUAGCCUCUAAAGUUUCGGGGGUUUAUUUUUAUCUUCAUAGCAUUUUGGUAAAGCUGUUCAAAAUAUCCGAUAUUCCCUACCCAAUUCAGACCCUACCCGGAUCAUACCGAGACCCGAACUAGACCUAAUAAAAAAUGAAUAGUAUACGAGUAAAAAAAAUUAUCUAUUAAGGUUUUGGGUAUGGGUCUAGAUAGUUUAUACCCAUCCCCGAUUUUGACAGACCCGAACCCGACCUUUUAAUGGGUAGCGUCCGAAAGAGUUUCCAAACUUGGACCCGCACACGGAUCCUAUGAAAUACUUGAUAGUAAACAAAAAAAAUUGAAGUUAAGGGAUUAAUUUUACUAGGAUUUAUAGAUGAUGGGUAACUAUUUAUUUUCAUCCUUGUGAAAAUCCUAGAUGCUUUAUUUACUCCUUUUUUUAUUUUACUUAUUUUUUUAAUUCUAGUUGUUUACUGUUUUAAUCUUUCUUUCGAACGAAUUUUUGUUGGAUUGGGUGCAACUAAUUAGAAUGCAAGUUUUCUAUAGUAAAAGGUUUAUGGUUUGUCCAUAAAUCGUUUAAUAAAGUCUAUAAAAAAUAUAUGUAUACAGGCAUUCGUACCUGAUAUAGACCCGACCAGUAUUCAGUCUUAAGCAGAUAGUAUACGGAUAGUCACUAACGAGACCCGCUCAAAUAGAUCCAAUGAAUAUAUUAUUAACUUAAGUAUCCAAGUCCAAACCCGAUACUAAACUAAAUGGGUAGGGUAUAUAUAUAUAUAUAUAUAUAUAUAUAGUAGAGCUACUAUGUUAUCGGAAGCAUAUAGGAUCUGGUGCUUCCGAUUUUUUGGCCCUUAGAUCAACCCUUUUGAUCAUUUCUAACAUUUGGAUUAAUAUUAUUACUUUGUGGGGACCUCUCAACCCUAGGGGUUCUACUCAAUCCUAGGGGGACCACAAUCAUCCCAACCGUAUAAUUUUUCAUCCAAUGAUUAAAAAGUUGGAAGUAUCAGAUCCUCUAUACUUCCGAUAGCGUAGUAGCUCUACACUAUAUAUAUAUAGAGAGAGAGAGAGAGAGUUGAGCUAGAAUACUAUCGAUAGCAAACAGGCUCUAUUGCCACCCAUUUAUUUUGAUGAUGGAGCCUCCAAAUCAACGAUCGGCACUAUUGAACAUGAUCUAUACCACUUGAAGUGUUUAGAAAUCAAAUUUCAUAAAUUUUCGAUAUUGUUCUCUUAUUCAUCGAGUUGACACAAAAAUAAACGGCUGAAAAUGAAUAUUAUUUAAAAAAUGAUGAUAGGAGUCUUGUAAUCAAGAUCAAGAGUAUAGAUUUUGUUUUAAAUAGUUUAAAGAAUUUUCUAACAAAAAUUCAAUUGAUUUGAAUAUCUUUACGCCGUUAAACGAGAAAACACCUCAUAUCGACCAUUAAAAUUACAAAUUUUGAAAUCCUUUGAUCAUUAGGCAAAUGAUGUCGAAAAGAUUUGAAAUUUAAUUUCUAAACACUUCAAGUGGUAUAGAUCAUGUUCAAUGGUACCAAUCGUCGAUUUGGAGGCUCUAUCAUCGAAAACAAAUGGGUGAUAACGGAGCCUGUUUGCUAUCGAUAGUAUUCUAGCUCAACUCUCUCUCUCUCUCUAUAUAUAUAUUUAUUUCAUUUUAGGAUACGAAUAUAGUAUAUCAACUAUCCAAAUCCGACUCGGUCUACGGACACCUUUAAAUUUUGGAUGACCUACGAGCUUUGGUGAAGGGCUUGAUGUGUACUUGGCUGAUAGUAGCUCAGUUGCCUUGUAGGGCAUGCAUCUUUUACUAGAAUUGAUUCUUAGUCAUUAAUUGAGCGCAUUAGAAUCAAAUUUGGGUAAAUUUCACCACUGGUCCCCCAACUUUUGGUUUUGUGAUUCACAGAAAUAUGGAUAAUCCAGGCGCGCUUUGGGCUUUGGGGUGUUUGGUAAAUUUGAACUAGAGCCCAUUGCACUCAUGACUUCUCGGAACUCGGCACUCGACAUCACCCGUUGUUCUCACAAAAUUACGACUCCAUAUUGUAUCGUAUCAUACUGUGAUAUACUGGACCUGUGACACUUCGUAUGUGUAGUUAAGCUGUAUUCUUGUGUAUGUAGCGGGCCUGUUGACGUCGUAACCCAAUCUUCUGCUAUAAUCCAGGACGUCACACGUACAGUGCAAUAUGGAAGUUGAGAUAAUUCUUUAAGUUCGAGUCUUGAAUGUUCAACUUAGGAAGUUCGAGGCAAAAAUGAAAGUUUGAGUAAGAUUCCAGGGACUACAAACCAGUGCAAUUUAUGAAUCAAACUAAAAUAUAAAUGAAGUUAGGGGAUGAAAUGUCCUACAAACUAACUAAUUAGGGUAAAUUAUAUUGCACGAUUAGUCCCAGAACUUCUGGUUAAUUUUUGUUCUGGUCGUCGAGCUUUUAAGUUUGACAUUUGAGAUCUUUAAUGUUUAGGGCCAAAAGUUUAGGGACAAGUAUAAUUAAUAUAUCCAAAUUAAAUUGUUCAACUAUCUAACCUGACAGAGAUGUAUAAUUAUGUAUGAAAUCGCUUACAUGACAGAAUUUUACUAGUGCGAAAAUUAAGGAUAUUUUGAACCUUCUAUAUAUGAUGCAGAAAUUUUGAGCAUUAAACAUUUGGGUCGCCGCAAAAUCAUUAAAUUAAUUCACAGCGAACUCGGCAGUAGCUAAAUCAGUAGCAGCUGUAGGAGCAGCAGUGCAAUAUAUUGCUUAAUCAGCAAUUAGCUGUUGGAGGAGAUGAAGAAGUUUAGUUCCGGCAGCAACAGCUGCUAUUUUGUGCCAAAAUUUCAAACUUGCACACAUUAGGUUAAUUAGAUGGGAUGAUCCAAACGGAAUUAUUUCCGUCGCACGUACUAUCUCAAACUUGACCUAAUUUGAUAAGUAAAUGUCCUUCGUAAUUCGACUGCAGGAAUGUAGUAUUAGGACGAAAUGCCGUCUGAGAACCGAUCGAAAAAAGCCAUGCUAUAGAUAAUGCUGAUCUAGUAUUCUAAAUUUCUCCUCCCUUUUAUUCUGUUGUAAUUGCCAAGCCACAUACCAAUGUAAUUUCCCAGUGUAGAGCUUGCUUGUCUAUUAAAUGAUAGAGUGAAGAUGAGGUUUUAGAAAGUCUUGCAGUUAAGAAGUACCACAACCUACUUCCAAAAUUGUACAAAGAUCAGCAAACUAGUGGGUGUGUACUGCAUGCUGAAGCAUACUUUGGGUUGCCUAUUAAAAAUGCUUACACUCUUCUCAAUAAUAUUUUGUUACUAUUAAUUAUUUACCAUUUCUAAUACAAUCAGCUAAGUGGUUGAUAGUUGGUAUUCGAGGUUCAAAGUUCGAAUUGUCUAAUUACUUCAUAUUUCCAACUAUGUUCAUUUCUUUCUUUUUUUUGAGAAGCGGGUGGUAGUAUACUACCUUUCCCUAAAAAAAAAAACUGAGUUCAUUUCUAAGAAAAUGAACGAAGCGUAUCUUAAGUUAUUCUUGACUCUUUUGCAUGAUUAGCGCAAAUAAAGUUGGGAGCAAAACAGAAAUGUAGCGCCUGGAUUUUAAUAUUUUUGUGAUCAUAUUUAUGAUUAUUGUGUGACCUCAUCACUUUCUUAUGGAGAAAUAUUAGUUAUUUUGCUAGCUAUACUACUAACGUAUUUAAGAUUUGUUAUUCUGGGUACCUCAUAGAUAUUGAAUGCUUUAAGGCUCUAUUUGGACGUUAGAAUUAAUUAUUCAUGAUAACUUAUUUAGUAUAAAAAUUUCCUCACAUGAUUGUAAAAAGAAGUUUAAUUUUUACUCCUCAAAAUUUUUUUAUAUUUAUGAUUUGAAAGGAGAUCAUACUUCACCAAUAAAAUGAUUUAUUUUAUAAGAAAAAAAUAGGCUUGAAAACCGAAUAUAAGCUCCAAUCACUAUAAUAAAAAUCUUGUUAGGAAGAUGCUUUGUAGAAGACAUUUGGAGAAAGUGUCUCCAAGCAUUCCUACGUUAUAGCAAAUGUUGACACUUCAAAAAAAUCAUCAUAUAAAUAGGCUAUUAUAUCAAUCCAAUUUAUUGAAUGAUAAACUUAAUUAAUUUCUAAAUUUCAGGCCUUAAUUAAGAUAAGAUAUAGGAAUAUAGGAUUUCACCGGCGCACCGAUCCGUGGACCGGGUCCACGCGUAAUUUCGCGCGCGCGUGCGAAGGGCGGAGUGAGUAAGCUGUGGCGUUUAUUGUGGGUACCGUUUUGGAUAACAUGUACUUGAAUGAAUGAAACGGCCGUGGUAGUGGAGUGGAUUUUGGAAGUACUUUGUUGGACAUUGGCGUCACCUUCGAAGUUUGUGCCGGGAAAAUAAAAGAUCGGAUGUUCGGACCAAUAGAAAAGAAGCCCGCAGUGGGCCCCACCCGGUCCAGUUCCGGUCUAGGCUCUUACUAUGCGCCGGUUCGUUUGUUAUAGAUCUAUGGCUCCGGUCCGCUUUUUUACUCUCUUUUUUUUAAUACUCUUCGAAACUUCACAAAUAUUUUAUUUAUCUUUAUUUUUUUUUCUUUUUAAUAUACUUCUUAUAUGUUCCUUUGUUAUUCCAAAAUAUUUCUUUAGUUAUCAUCCGUUAAAUUAACUUGGGUUAACGUGAGUUAAAUAUCUAAUAGAGUUUAAAAAAAUUAAAAUACCUCUUUUGCCCUUAACUUAAGAGCAAAUAAAAAAUAUUGGUGAUGGUAGAAAGGUAUAUUUGAAAAGAUCAAAAAUUAAAAUACUUUUUGUACUCUAAUUUAAGGGUAAAUAAGAGAAAUCAGUAAUAGUAGAAGGGUAUAUUUGAAAAGACAAAAAAUUAAAAUACUUUUUGUGCCUCUAACUUAACGACAAAUAAGAAAAAUCAGUGAUGGUAGAAGAGUAUAUUUGAAAGGACAAAAUAUUAAUUUCAUAUAAAUAACAGCUAUUGCUAACAGUUCAUUAAUAGAGAUUAACUCUAAGAGUAUAUUUGAAAUAGGUUGGACGUAAAAAAGGUAUUUUCAAUAUUAACCUUCUAAGAGAGAUAAAUUAAAAAGUUGAAAACUUUUCAGGAGUAUAAAAGCAACUGCCCCUUAAUUUAUAUCAUCGCAAUUUAGCAUGUUUAUAAAAAAAAUUAUAUUUAACUACUCUAUUGUUGAAAAAAUUAUACUUAGACUAUCAUCUAACUUUAUUUUUGUUUACUAUAAGAACGUAUUGUUAAAUAAGAUACUAUUCUUUUCAAAAAUAUUUUAUUUUACUAUCCUAUUUGACAAUUUUUUUUCGGAAAUAAAAAUAAAAUCAUAGAUUAGUUAAACAUAACUUUUCAAUUUAUUGGUUAGAAAAGUGAAAAAGAGCUAGACAGCAGGGGUACAAAUUAAGGUUUUCGCAAUUUGAGUUUGCUAAUAAAUUCUGCUCUGAACCUUCUAAAUAUUAAACUCUAUACUAAAAGUGAAACCAAACGCGUUCCGUCAUUAAGCCAUGUUGUCUUUUAUUAAGCAUGGAGUUCUAGUUCUUGUCGGUAUAUUAUUUUCUUUCUCACUCUCCACCUCUCUUUCACAUGGGCACUCUCUCUCUUCACAUGGGGUAUAUGUAUGUCUCUCUCACAGAGGGGGAUAUACUUAGCUCCUUUACAUUUCUCUCACUCUCUCCAUUGAAACUUUCACCUCUUCCUCUCUCUUCCCUCUCUUUCUCUACAAUAUUUUCUAAACUCAUCUCCGAAGGUUGGUGGUAGUGGUUGCAAUCCAACGCACACACACACACACACAAAGGAGUUUCAAAAAAAUUUUUAAAAAAAUCACAAAGAGAGAGAAAGAGAAACAGCAAAAGAGUGGUAAAAAGAGAGAAAGUGAGAGAAUUGCUUUGCUUUCUAUCUUUUUUUCCUUUUUUUAAAUUAUUUUAAGUUGUUUUAGCACUUAGGGCGUGCUUAAAUUUUAUAUUUUUUUGGAUAAAAUCUUUCUCUAAAUUUAUUUUGAUUUUGUGAAAAAAAGAGUUUAUCAAAAUCCUGAGCGACGAUAAACCCAUUAUCGGUGGCGACAAGGGAGGUUCCAGAGGAAACGACUUGAUGAUGGCGCGUGGUGGAUGAUUUUUUUUUUUCUUUUCUUCGGGGUUAUAAUUCUAACUUUGAAAACUGAUAGGUAGAAAAUGAUAACUUGCACCGUUUUCUUUCCAAUUCAAACUAUUAAUUUGUAAAAAAAAUAUUGAGAAGCAAAAACUAUAAAAUGUAAGGUUUAACCCUAAAAAUCUGGUCACAAGCCUCAUUUGAUAAAAGCGCAUGUAGGGAUUGAAUCGGUGACCUUAUGAACAGCAACCUAGGUCAAAAAGCUAUGUUGUAUGUGUAACUGUUAUGGAGAGAAUUUACAUUCCAUGCAAUUUACAAUAUUUUGUUUUAUUUGAAAAGUGACACUUUGACAUAUUUUGUAAUUUUUCUUUUGUUUUGCCACAAGGACACGCCGCUGAAUAAAAUAGCAAAGUUCUAUAUUCUGCAAACUAGAAAUUGUAUAAUAUUUGCCACUUUAACAAACUAUUUCUAAUGCAAGUGACAAAAAGUUUAAUGGUUGGUAGAUAAGAUUCUAAGUUCGAAAUUUAGUUGCUUUAUAUUUCUAACUGAGUUCAUUGAAAAAUGGAAAAGAAUGAAAAUGGUAGCAUACUACUAUUCUCUCUCUACAAAAAAAAAAUUGCCACUCUGAUUUGCAUUUGAUCACUAUUUGAUUUGUAGGAUAUACAACUUUGCUAUCUUAUUUGAUGGCACAUUCUUUAGAUAAAACAAACAUAAUUUUAAAUUAACAAAAGGUGACUCCCCAGUAGUCUCAUAUUAGAUAAUGUGAGGGUUUUAUAUAUAACUAGCACACUAGAAUUAAUAAGUGGGUUCAAAUAUUUUGGACCAGUAAUUUGGUUCCUACGAGUUAUUAAUACUAGUAGGCUUGAUCCUUACAAAGCUAGACAGCCAGUUGGAAGUUUGAGAUGUAUCCCAUAUCAACUGAUCAUUUUGGACAAUGUAUGUAAUUGGAUUGAGUAGAAAGUUAGGAUCUGAAUAGAGAAAGUAUUUGACAUCCUAAUAGCCCUACAUCAGAUAAUGUAGCAGUGUAAGAGUACGUUCGAUAAUACGAGAGAGAGUGAGAGGCUUAUAUGUAACCGACAUAGCUAAAAUGUGGUUUGAACCUAUCGAGUUAUUAAUGCUAGUAAGAUGGACCAUUACACGAAAUUCCGAGUAUUUUAAACGCGAUCUCUAAAUUACAUCCCAUUCAAAAAAGGAUUUUAAUUUUAUGAUCACCUAACCUUUUGAUUUCAGUAUUUUUAGUAACAAAACUUGUUAUCUUUUUAACUUUGCCCAAUGUUUUUAACAUCCAUAUAUACUGACAAAUAGAUAUAUUAGAUUUAAUUCAGUCAUUCUCUACUAUGUGAAUUUGAUGAAGAAAUAGAUUUAUGCAUUAACCAAUACUGUCCUAUUGUCACAAACUUCGUGUAAAGUCCAUAUGACACCCGUGUAAAGUCCAUACGACGCCCAUCUUUUUCUGUGAAGAUGGGUAAGUCUUAUUCUCUAUUUGCUAGCCCAAAUCUACAUGCCACGAACCUACAUGCCCUACAACUAAAUGGAAAAGAGAGAAGCGAGAGAUGGAGAUUCUGCGAAAAAAAAAAAAAAAAAAAAAAAAAAAAAAACUAAGUACUUGUAUUGCUUAGAGAAUAGAGAAUACAAGUACAAUCUCUUGUAUAGGCCCAUUAAACUAUCUACAUUAAUAUAAAGAGAAUUUUUGAGUUGCUCAUGAACCUUGGGCUUCCAUAGGACCGUUUCUAAGACUAACUCUUGCUAAUUACGUGAUGUUUCGUCUCCCUCCAUAGAGACUUAGGGCCUGUUUGGUUCGUUGUAAAAUCACCUUGAAAGUUUUUUUUUUCAGUGGAGAAGUAAGAUUCCGAGCGUUUAUCUGCUCGUUAAAAUUUUUUUUCUAAAAACUUUUUUUACGAAUCUACAGAAAAGGGCGUUUUCAUUUAAGUGAGCAAAAAAAAUCUUCUACAGACGAUCAAACAACAGAAAAUAUUUUUUCAACGAAAAAACCUUUUUCAGAGCGGUUUUACGAUAAUCCAAACACGCCCUUAAGUUAAGAGCAAAAGAGGUAUUUUGAUGUUUUUUAAUUCUAGUAGAUAUUUAAUUCACGUUUAACUUAAGUUAACUUAACGGAUGGUAACUGCAGAGAUAUUUUGAAAUAAUGGAAGAACAUAUGAGAAUAUAUUAGAAAGAAAAAAAAAUAGAAAUAAAUGAGAUAUUUCUGAAAUUUUGAUGGGUUUAUAGGCAAUUAUCCCAAAAAUUGAAUGAUGUAAAAGAUGAAGUUCUCAAUUGUUAAUAUUUUAUUUUAUUUUCUCUUUUUUUUUUUCCAUAAUUAACUUAGGCUUGAGGUUGGUCGAAGUGAAUUACAAUAUAUUGAAAGUUUUGAGUUUCGACUGAAGGUGAAGUGGCUAUGAGCCAAACAACAAAAACUGACAUUUAUAGAAAAAAUCACUUUAUUUCUCUUCACUUUCAGUGAAACAAAUACAACCUAUGCCUUUUCGUCCUAAACGAAUUGAAUGUCGGCAAUCUCACCAUCUUUAAUAAGAAAAACAGAGCGCGUUUGGUCCAAAAUAGGAAUUGAUAUAGAAAAGGACCGAAAUGAAAACUAUAAAAUCUGCCAAUGGUUUAAAAUAUAAUCGUGCUCGGAAUAGUUAAUUCCUGCCUUCACUGUUUGGUUGAGAUAAAAAAAUAAUUAUCAUAAAAUAAUUAAAAUAAAUUAAAAUAUAAAUAUUAAAUUAAAUAUAAAAUUGAAUUUGCAAUUGAGGAAAUCAAAUUUAAUUUACAAUAUAAAUUCAAAGUAAAAAUUAAAUAUUAAAAAUUAACAUCAAAAUUGUAAAAUGAUAAAAAAAAAUAUAUUAAAAUGUAAAAUUUUCAAAAAAAAUUAAAAUCUAAAAUUGAAUUGACAAUUCAAAACAUAAAACUAAUUUACUGUUUGAUUCAAAUUCAAUCUUAAACAUUGCAAUUUAAUUCCAAUUUGAAUUCAUAAAUUAAAUUUAAAAUUAAAUAAAAUUUAAAAUUUAAAAAUAAAUAUAAAUUUAUAGAUUAUAUUCAAAUGCGUGAUUGAAUUUGAAUUUCAAUUUGAGUGAUUAGAAAUUUACCAUUCCACAUGGGAAUCAGAAUAAGAAAUGAACUCCUGCAUACCACAAACUCUCAAACUGAAUCGCCUAUUCUGAUUCCAAUUCUGAUUCCUCUAUGAAAAAAAGAGGAAUCAGGCACACCUUUAUAUACUAAAAGUGACAUUUUCAAACUUACCCAUCUAAAAUGUUAUCAACCCGUAAAAAGAUUAACAGGUAAAGGAGACGGCUAUACCUCUAUCUUCAAAAAAGAAAAAGAUAUUUUUACGGAGGCAAAGUAUCUUAUCCAGAAGAAUAUGAAUGGUGUUCUGCAGAAGUACGUAAUCAUUGUUUGAAAAAGAUUAACUAGAGAGCUAUCCACUUCGUUUAUUUUUUAAAAAAUAAAUUUAGCUGAAAAUGUAUAACAGUUAGAUUUCGGACCUCCGAUACCGGCCAUCAAAUCUUUUGCCACCUGUGCUAGGACGGUCGGUUAUACGACCUGUUACUGUUCACAAAAUUUCAGUCCUAUACAAAACCUAUAUAUGACAAAACAUGUGAUUUGCCUUUUUAAUUGCCUAGCACAGUCCAACUAAGUUCAACUUUUGGUGUGUGUACUCGAUUACUUUCUAAAUCAACAUCAACUUUUCUUAUUAGUUCUAUUUAAGAAUUCUUUCUCUUUUCUAUAAGUUUUUUAAAUUUACAAAUUAUAGUCAUGUUCUCACUUGAUGCAAUAAAAGAUCAUGUUUAUGUUUAUUAUGGUUUCCAGAAAAUUUAAAUGAUGUGGUAUUAUAUCACCUUUUGAUAUAAACUGUCUUAUUUAACCUUGUCUCACGAAUCAUCAGAGAAGGAAGCCUGAAGCCUCUCAAUUUUAUAGGAGUAACAGCAGUCAAUUAAAUUUGAAAUUUUCAAUAAAUUCAUCACUGAUUUUGUUAAAUUUAAUGGGCUUUCAGCAAAUAAAACUAAAACGAUUAAUGACUUACAAUAACUCAAAAGAGUCGUCAAAUUAAGUAAAACUUUUCACUUAAUAAACUAGAACAACACAAAUAAGGAAAAAUUGAAAUUCAAAGUAACGCCAAUCAAAUUAACAAAGUUAGAUUUAGAGGCCUAUUUCGAAACAGUCGACAGCGGAGGAGAGAUCUCUGUACAUUUUUACUGAUCUAAAUUACAGAGAUCCUUUCGACACUAAUUAAACUGGGUUUUAUGUCGAUGAAAAGGACAUCUUAAAUGAGCCGAGUUUAAGCUAGAUCAAUCACUUAACAACAAGUUAAACUGCAGCUGACUCUUAAUUAGCUGUUUCAGGCGGAAUCAAAACGAACUGAUCACCUCUACCUACUCAAGCAGAGCGUGCUUGCACCAGUAAUUAGAUAGACACAGCAUUCUCUAACUGUAAUGUAAUUUCCGAAAGCAACCUACGGCCUUAGCUUCGCUGCUAUAGAUAAUGAAUGAUGUGACAAAAUCGAAAUAAAAGCAUGCAGCUUCUGCAGAUGAUGAGAUGCAAGCACCAUGCAUUUCUGGUCCCAGUUCACAAUAACGAAAGCUGUGUACUUGUAGCUCGUCGAUCUCUUACCAAAAAAUAUAAGAAAUAAAUGAUCUUUUACGUUUAGAUACACUAAUCAAACUAGACACUAUACAGUAGCAGCAAUAUAGUAUCCAUGAAGAUACUACUGAGAAUUAAAAAGUCACAAUUAAACUUGCAAUGCCACGACGACUGAAAAUCAUAUAGAAAGGGGGAAAAAAUUUUGGUCUAUCCCUACCAGGCAUAUAGCCAUCAAAGAGUACAUGAUCAGAGAAGUAACUGAAAAUGAGAAAUUCAGUGAUAUUCCACCAAAACACUCACCAAGGAUAAGUUGUAGACCUCUGCAAGCAUACUGGUAACAGGAAGAAAUUGCAUUAUCAGGGAGAGUUGAAAGUUGCUCCACUAUACUACUUUUGGAUUAGGAACUCUCUUAGGGGCUGUUUGGUUGCAUGCAUUUUCAACUGCAUUGCAGUUGGAAAUGCAUGCAUCUAUUAAUUUUUUGUUUGAUUUGGUGUUGUUAGGCCCAACUGCUACAGUUGCAUCUGCAUGAGAAAGUCCAACUGCAGCAGUUGAGCCGGACUCGGCUCACCCAUUAAAAAAGUUAAACAAAAUGUGAUUUUUUUUUCAUGCGCUUCUUUUUUUAUUUUAUUUUUUCUAAAAAUACAUAUUAAUGAAAUGUGAUAGGAUUAAUAAUGUCUGUUAGGGUCAAUAAAUUUUUUUCAUACGCUUCUUAUUUUUAAGUUUGCUAGUUUAAUAAUAUCUUAAUUUUUAUUUUGACCAAAUUUAUAAUAUAUUUACAUUUAAAAUUUAUUAAAUUCAUACAUAAUUUUAUAAUAUAUAANUAGAUGUUCGUGAGUUUUGUCCUCGCUGCCCAGUUAGGGUAGGCGACUGGAUUAUGCCAGUGGAUCUUUUAACACUACACAAACUAGGUGAGUUUGAUGUAGUAUUGGGUAUGGAUUGGUUGACACGGUAUUAUGCCACCAUAGAUUGCACGAACAGGACGGUGACCUUUAGGGAACCAGGCCAGCAGGAGUUUGUUUUUAAAGGGUGUCAGAGUUCAUUGUUCGCAAUGACUAUUAGUUCUUCGCGAGCACGACAGUUGAUUCGAAGGGGCUGUGUAGCCUAUUUGGCUAGUAUUUCUGUGAGUGGUGGUGAAGCCAUCCAAAUUGAUGAUAUCCCAGUUGUGCGGGAGUUCGGGGAUGUGUUUCCAGCUGAGUUGCCGGGUAUGCCACCUGAUAGGGAAGUUGAGUUUGUGAUUGAUCUUGCCCCUGGGACAACUCCUAUCUCGAAAGCACCCUAUAGGAUGGCACCCGCUGAAUUGAAAGAGCUGAAGGCACAGUUACAAGAUCUUUUAGAUAAAGGCUUCAUUCGACCGAGUGUGUCACCUUGGGGAGCACCGGUGUUAUUUGUUAAGAAAAAGGAUGGAUCUCUUCGAUUGUGCGUGGAUUAUCGAGAAAUUAACAAAGUCACAAUCAAGAAUAAAUAUCCAUUACCCAGAAUCGACGAUUUAUUCCAUCAGUUGCAAGGAUUGAAGGUAUAUUCCAAGAUUGAUUUACAAUUGGGUUAUCAUCAGCUUAAGAUCAAACCUGAAGAUGUCUCUAAGACUGCUUUUAGGACACGGUAUGGGCAUUACGAAUUUACAGUUAUGCCAUUUGGGUUAACAAAUGCCCCAGCAGCCUUUAUGGAUUUAAUGAACCGUGUCUUUAAGCCCUAUCUGGACAGAUUUGUGGUCGUGUUCAUCGACGAUAUCUUGAUCUAUUCUCGAAGUGAUGAGGAGCAUGAAAGCCAUCUAAGAACGGUGUUGCAAGUACUUCGCGAAAAGAAAUUGUUUGCAAAGUUAAAGAAAUGUGAAUUUUGGCUUCGAGAAGUAGCAUUUCUGGGUCAUGUCAUUUCAGAAACUGGGAUAGCUGUAGAUCCAAAGAAGAUUGAAGCGAUUAAAGAUUGGCCCAGGCCGACCAGUGUGACAAAGAUUCGGAGUUUCCUUGGCUUGGCGGAAUACUACCGAAGAUUUGUUGAAGGGUUUGCGAAAUUGUCUACGCCUCUUACUCGGCUAACACACAAAGGAGCUAAGUUUUUGUGGAAUGAAGCCUGCGAAAGAAGCUUUCAAGAGCUAAAAGAACGUUUAACCACUACCCCGAUUUUAGCACUGCCUGUUACCGGAGUGGAUUAUGUGAUUUACAGCGAUGCGUCGUUAAAUGGAUUAGGAUGUGUUCUAAUGCAGAAUGGCAGAGUAAUUGCUCAUGCAUCUCGCCAAUUGAAAGAUUAUGAAAAGAACUACCCUACACAUGAUCUUGAGUUAGCCGCCGUGGUAUUUGCUCUAAAGCUUUGGCGCCACUAUCUCUACGGCGAGCGUUGCGAAGUGUAUACAGAUCAUAAAAGUUUAAAGUAUCUGUUUACUCAGAAGGAAUUAAACUUGAGACAACGUAGAUGGUUGGAGUUGCUCAAGGAUUAUGAUUUGACUAUUCUUUAUCAUCCAGGAAAGGCUAAUGUUGUAGCAGAUGCUUUAAGUCGAAAAUCGACGGAAAAUUUGGCAAUGUCAAUAACUAUGCAAUCACUAUUAGUAACGGAAAUGGAGCAGUUGAAUUUGGAAGUUGUAGAUCCUGACACGCCUUGGCGACUUAUGUCAUUAGUAGUGCAACCUACCCUGAUCGAUUGAAUUAAAGAAAAGCAAGCUCAAGAUGAGGCUCUGCAAAAGAUUCGAGCAAAGAUCACUGCUGAUCAUGAUGGUGGUGAUUUUCGAGUGGAUGAUCAGGGAUUGAUAAAAUUCGGCGAUAGGCUUUGUGUGCCAGCAGAUCUAGAUAUUAAAGAGGAGAUUCUAACUGAAGCACAUCGAGCCCCGUAUACUUUACACCCUGGGAGCACGAAAAUGUAUAAGGAUUUAAAGCUGACUUACUGGUGGCCUGGAAUGAAAAAGGAAGUUACAGAUUUUGUAACCAGAUGCUUAACCUGUCAGCAGGUUAAAGCUGAGUAUCGACUUCCUGCGGNUUUAUUUUGACCAAAUUUAUAAUAUAUUUACAUUUAAAAUUUAUUAAAUUCAUACAUAAUUUUAUAAUAUAUAAAUUAUAUAUAGAUAUAAAAGUUUUAAUUAAUAAUUAAAACAUGAUUACGUUAUGCUCAGAAGAGGUAAUCGCACCUUUCUAUCUAAAAAUUGACAGAAUUUACAAAUCCAAAUCUCAACUGCAGACUACCAAACAGAAAAAAUAUAACUGCAGCAGUUGCAACUGUAUAAAACCAAAUAAACUAGAUGUAGUUAUGACUGCAGCAUUUACAACUACAUGUACUUCCAACUACACUAAUUUUGUAACUACAUCCAACCAAACAACCCCUUCAAGUUAUAACCUGGUCAAGAGACUCCAACACUAUUAAUUUUAAGUUAUGUAAAAGUAAAUUUAAAAAUCUGAUGGAUGAAUGCUGUGUUGAGAUAAAAACAAAAAAAAAAUUGAAAUUCAAUCGAAAAUAUAGAAGGCAAUAAAAUAAAUAAGGAAGGAUUAGUAUUUGCCUUAGAUAACCAACCAUCAAAAAAAGAAAAGAAAUAAAAUUAUAUUAUUACUUUAUUUUUUUAAAAAAUUGAAUUAUUUUCCAAAAUGAAGAGGUCAUAGAAUCACUAUAAAUUAGACCAUGAGAAUCAGGAAAAAAAGAUUGGAAAAUUUGGAGAAAAAGAAAAAAAAAGGGUUUUAGAAAAAAAAAACAGAGAGAGAGAGAGGCGUCACUUGGAGGUAGGGCUGGCAAAUGANGGCUACUGACAGCUCAAAGUCGACAAAAGAGUUAUGCGGACAAACAUCGGCGAGAAUUGGAAUUUCAUGUUGGCGAUCAUGUAUUUCUGAAAGUUUCACCGACGAAAGGAGUUAAGAGAUUUGGUAUUCGAGGGAAGUUGAGUCCUCGAUUUAUUGGACCCUACGAGGUGUUGAAACGAAUAGGCCCCGUGGCAUACCAGCUUGCUUUGCCGCCGAAUCUAUCAGGAGUACAUAAUGUAUUUCAUAUAUCUACGCUCCGGAAAUAUAUUUUUGAUCCAACUCACAUAUUGGAGAGUACUCCAGUGGAUUUAUGGGAAGAUUUGAGCUUUGAGGAACAUCCAGUGAGAAUACUAGCUCGGGAAGUGAAAAGGCAUCGAAAUCGUGAGAUACCCUACAUGAAGAUCCUUUGGAGCAAUCACGAUGAACGGGAAGCCACUUGGGAAUUGGAGAGUGCAAUGCAAGACCACUACCCCUAUCUGUUCUCGAUAGAAUCUUGAGGUAAGUGAUUACAUGUUUCGCGGACGAAACUUCUUUGUAGGAAGGGUGAAUGUAGUAUCUUGAACUUUGCAAAAUUAUAGAAGUUGGAAGUGGGGUUGAGGAGUGGCAUGUAACCAUAGGUCCUAAUAUUUGUAAAGGUGUUGUGGGUCAAUUUUGAGAGCUAUUAGACUUCUGGAUGUAAGAAAGUGCGUCGUUGAAGCGACUCCUAACUUAUUGUAUUAUAGUAUACAGAACUUCAACAAAUUGCAAAAUUCGAGUGAGGAAUAACAUUUGGAACCUUUCCACAUGUUCUAAAGGGUUUAAAGAUGUUUACAAAUAAGUUUGAGAGUGAUCGGAAAGCUAGAAGUGAGAAAGUGCAUUGCAAUUGCGAAAUCUGCAAUUUCUGCAUUGGUGUACCGGUACAAGCCUAAUGCUGUACCGGUACAGCAAGCAGCAGAGUCAGCUGCUGCGGGACAGCAGGGUUUUUUUGGUCAUUUCACCUCCUGAUCCUUAUCUACCUGAUCCAGCUCGAGCACUGGAGCACCUUGGAAGGUAGUAGAGCUCAGAGAAGGGUUUCUUCACCUUCCUCACACUCUCUCUCUCUAGGGAUUUUCUCUCUCUACAAAGAAGUCACCGUUUUACACCGUCGUCGUCGCCGAGCUCGCUCUUCACUGUUUGGGAGUGUCGCUGAGCCUUGGUGGACGUGUGAGGGAGUGUUUUGAAGAGCUUUUCGCAGCCCUGGACCAGUAACUCACUGGUUGCAAGCUUGAGAAGGUAAUCGGCUCACUUUUUCAAUUUUCGGCAAUCUAUUGGACGAAUUAUGUAUAGUUUCGGGAUUGUUGCUUCUAGUUGCUUUAAUCUGAGAUUUCAGCAAUUAAAGUUGGAUUAAUUAGCUGUGAAUUAACCUCCUUAGACCAGGGUUAAGCUACUUUGAAGCUUAAUGGAAAUAUUUAGCUAAUUAUGAAGCUAGUUCGGAACUAUACGAAGUUACUCGGGUAUUUGAUGCAGUUUGGGAAUUGUAUCUUCGCAGCAGGUUUUCGAACCACGUGGAGCUUAUUUGGUGACCUGGGAGGCUGGUUUAGAAGGUGUUCUACCUCGAGGUAAGCAAGAAUUUCAGCUAGGAAGCUGAAAUUGCAAGAAUNNNNNNNNNNNNNNNNNNNNNNNNNNNNNNNNNNNNNNNNNNNNNNNNNNNNNNNNNNNNNNNNNNNNNNNNNNNNNNNNNNNNNNNNNNNNNNNNNNNNNNNNNNNNNNNNNNNNNNNNNNNNNNNNNNNNNNNNNNNNNNNNNNNNNNNNNNNNNNNNNNNNNNNNNNNNNNNNNNNNNNNNNNNNNNNNNNNNNNNNNNNNNNNNNNNNNNNNNNNNNNNNNNNNNNNNNNNNNNNNNNNNNNNNNNNNNNNNNNNNNNNNNNNNNNNNNNNNNNNNNNNNNNNNNNNNNNNNNNNNNNNNNNNNNNNNNNNNNNNNNNNNNNNNNNNNNNNNNNNNNNNNNNNNNNNNNNNNNNNNNNNNNNNNNNNNNNNNNNNNNNNNNNNNNNNNNNNNNNNNNNNNNNNNNNNNNNNNNNNNNNNNNNNNNNNNNNNNNNNNNNNNNNNNNNNNNNNNNNNNNNNNNNNNNNNNNNNNNNNNNNNNNNNNNNNNNNNNNNNNNNNNNNNNNNNNNNNNNNNNNNNNNNNNNNNNNNNNNNNNNNNNNNNNNNNNNNNNNNNNNNNNNNNNNNNNNNNNNNNNNNNNNNNNNNNNNNNNNNNNNNNNNNNNNNNNNNNNNNNNNNNNNNNNNNNNNNNNNNNNNNNNNNNNNNNNNNNNNNNNNNNNNNNNNNNNNNNNNNNNNNNNNNNNNNNNNNNNNNNNNNNNNNNNNNNNNNNNNNNNNNNNNNNNNNNNNNNNNNNNNNNNNNNNNNNNNNNNNNNNNNNNNNNNNNNNNNNNNNNNNNNNNNNNNNNNNNNNNNNNNNNNNNNNNNNNNNNNNNNNNNNNNNNNNNNNNNNNNNNNNNNNNNNNNGGCACCUAUUCAACAUAGGCACAAGCAUUCAUUGGUUGCACUUUAUCAAUCAAUAAGUCAACAAAUUCAUUGUUCAUUACAGUUUACUAGAGAUUCAUUUUCAAUCUAUAUAACAAACAUAUUAGUGACAUUUCGAAUUCAUUAGAACACCAUUCGCAUCCAAAUAUUCUAUAUCCGUAUUAAUAGCGAGAUCAUAUAACAUACUGAAAGAGUCUUCAACCUUGCUAUGUAUAGAGUCAACCCACCUAUACACUAAGCUCACAAGAAAGCUUCAAAAUAGAGAUUGCGCUCCCAAAAACGUAAACCAAUCAAAUGGUCACCUGAUCUGCCUGAAAAAUAAAACAUCAAACCCGUCGGAACGAUUGGACUAUAAUUCUAAUUUCGGCUUCAAUGCCAGCAUAAUACAAAGCAAUUAACUAAUUUCCCUGCUUUCGCUACGAUGUUGUAAUACUUCAAUCGAUCUUACCAGAGCUUCCACAGUAAGCCAUAAAUCACUGAUCAAGAGUCGAUUACCGACUCGCUGCGAACAAAUGUCAAAUACCGGAUUAAAUGCUAGAUGCUAAGCCUUCUAUUAUGUCGUUUACAUGUUGCUUACCUGCUCAUUACCUGUUAGCAUUGCCUAAUUAUAUAUCAUGCAAUUACUGCUUUCGCUUUCAUUUAGUACAUCAUAAGCCUAGUGGUGUAAUUCGCCGAGGCUGACGGCUUACCCACUGGGAACUAUUGUUUAUAGUUCUCACGCCCUUUUUGUGGUUGUUUUUACAAAGCCAUCUACAGGAGAGGCUAGGGACCGUGGCAAGGGAGUCGCGUCUAGCUAGACAUUGCUAGGAGCGUGCUAGUCGAUCACCUUGCUACUCGGGUUACAGCCGAGGGUGAUGUCCAGUUUAUAGAGAGACUACCAUUGUACAGACUUUUUGUAUACCAUGUGUUGUAUAUAUAUUUUGGAUUCAGAUGUGGCAGUUUUAGUACUUUCUUUUGUACCUAUAUUUUGGUUGGACACUCUCGUUCUUUUGUUGAUAGACUUUGUGACUUUUACUAUACUCUGAUAUCAGGAUAGGAUUAUGUUAUGUUUUUUUUCUCCUAUCGACUUGUUUCUUGUAGACGCCUUAUAUACUACAGGUGUAUGGCGGGUCUGUGCACGUACCGGGUAUGCUUCCGCUGGUACCCGGGCGUGACAGAGAGAGAGAGAGAGAGAGAGAGUCCGGCUACUAUACUCUUAUAAAUACGAUCGCAUUCGUACUCAUAAGUUGUUUCGAUGAUAGAGCUUCCGAAUCGACGAUCUAGACUGUUAAACAUUAUCUAGAGCAUUUAAAAUUUCUAGAAAUCAAAUUUUAUAAUUUUUCGAUAUCAUUUACCUUACGAUCAAUAGCUCACAAAAUUGACAAUUUUUAACAGCUGGUAUGUGAUACUUACUAGUUUAACGGUGUAAAAGAAUCGGAAUAGCUUGAAUUUUUGAUAGAAAAUUCUAUUCAUUACCUAAAUAAAGAUCAAUAACCCCGAUCUUAAAUUGAAGGAUCCGAUUAUCCAUUUUUAGGACGUCGUUCGAUUUUGACCGUUCAUUUUAUAUCCACUUGAUGGACUUUAUAAUGAUUUUGAAAAAUUACGAAAUUUAUUUUCUAAAAAUUUCAAAUACUCUAGAUCAUGUUUAACGGUGUGGAUCUUCGAUUCGGAAGCCCCAACAUUGAAAACAACUUAUAAGUACGAAGGGCUUUAUACUCAUAAGAGUAUAGUAGCCCUACUCUCUCUAUAUAUAUAGAGUAGGUCUUGUGUGCUAUUAGGAGCACGGAGGUGUAACACACUGGACCUUUGCAAAUUGCGAGGUUCGAGUGUUUGGACAGUGUCCUGAGCUUUUCCAGACUUUCUGGUGGGUCGUAGACAGUGUUCCGACCUAUGGUUCGAAUCCCGAGAAUUGUGGUUUAAAGCCUUGCACCAAAACCCGAAAAAUCGGAUUUUUGGUUAGCUCUCGGGUAGCCUUCAGAGGGCUGUGUACCGGUACGGGGUGAUGGCUGUACCAAUACAGCCAACAACAUUGGCAGCUUCUCAGCCAACUCGAGGCUCGGGUUUGGCUAUUUCGUGGGAUGUGUACCGGUACGUGGGCCCAUGUACCGGUACGCAGAGACAAAUUUUGAACAGUUUGAACUGCAGGGGGUUUUUCGCGAUUGUGGCACCCUUAUAUCAGCACCCACGCCCUUAGGACUCUCCCCUGAGCUGAGAAGAGUGGAAAACCAGGUAAGGGAGCUCCCCACACCAUCUCUUUGGAUUUGAUCUCCAUUUUUGCAUGAUUUUUUAUGGAUUUUCCCUCUCUUUUGCCCUUUGGUGCCAUUUCCACCAUGGAUGAAGCUUGGAACUAGGUCUUGGAGCUUUGUUGAGGAGAGAUCUCUGGAUUUGGAGGAUUUAGAGCUUAGAUUGAAGCUUCUAAGAGGUAAGCAACUUGUUCUCUCCCUCUAGAUUCGAGUUUUAUUGUCGGAUUUGAGAUGGAACCCUAGAAUGGAGAUUUAGGGCUUAUUUUGGGCAUUUUGAAUCUAGGGCUUUUGGAGCUAAAUUAGUUAGAUUUAGAAUCUCUCCCUUGGGGUUGGAUUGGAAGGACUCUAGCUCUUUUUUGGAGCUUGAGAGUUUUUCUAAACUUUAGGUAAGUUUUAGCCUCUUUGCCUUGUUUGUUAAUGUUUUGAUCUAAUGGUUGAUCCGUAAUGCCCUGUUAUCUCUUCGCUCACAUGCACUUUAGAGAUUUUGGAGAUUCGUGACAGACUUGCGUUCCAGCGAACCGAGGCACUUACGUGACGGUUGCGGUGGGCGUUUGAUCCUAAGCCACACAAUGAGAAAAUCUCCAUUUGUGUGUUUGAGUACGUUAAUCGAUAAAGCAUGCAUAAUCAGUUAAAUAUUUAUUAAUGAAUUUUAGAAUGCUUACAUGCAUAUAUGUACAAGUAAAUUCUUGACCUCUAGUGUUAGGGUGCAUGCAUGUGAGACAUCAUUCUAGUUGGGACUUGGACCCAUGAUUCCUAUUAUGAAAUGAUAUUGCUUUCAUGCAUUUUAACCAUAUGCCCAAUUGUGACAUAGGAAUCUUUGAAAGCCUAGAGGCUUGGGAACAUUAGACUAUUUGAGAAAGUUUGGGCAAAUGUCCUAAGAGGACAUUGCCCCGGGCANNNNNNNNNNNNNNNNNNNNNNNNNNNNNNNNNNNNNNNNNNNNNNNNNNNNNNNNNNNNNNNNNNNNNNNNNNNNNNNNNNNNNNNNNNNNNNNNNNNNNNNNNNNNNNNNNNNNNNNNNNNNNNNNNNNNNNNNNNNNNNNNNNNNNNNNNNNNNNNNNNNNNNNNNNNNNNNNNNNNNNNNNNNNNNNNNNNNNNNNNNNNNNNNNNNNNNNNNNNNNNNNNNNNNNNNNNNNNNNNNNNNNNNNNNNNNNNNNNNNNNNNNNNNNNNNNNNNNNNNNNNNNNNNNNNNNNNNNNNNNNNNNNNNNNNNNNNNNNNNNNNNNNNNNNNNNNNNNNNNNNNNNNNNNNNNNNNNNNNNNNNNNNNNNNNNNNNNNNNNNNNNNNNNNNNNNNNNNNNNNNNNNNNNNNNNNNNNNNNNNNNNNNNNNNNNNNNNNNNNNNNNNNNNNNNNNNNNNNNNNNNNNNNNNNNNNNNNNNNNNNNNNNNNNNNNNNNNNNNNNNNNNNNNNNNNNNNNNNNNNNNNNNNNNNNNNNNNNNNNNNNNNNNNNNNNNNNNNNNNNNNNNNNNNNNNNNNNNNNNNNNNNNNNNNNNNNNNNNNNNNNNNNNNNNNNNNNNNNNNNNNNNNNNNNNNNNNNNNNNNNNNNNNNNNNNNNNNNNNNNNNNNNNNNNNNNNNNNNNNNNNNNNNNNNNNNNNNNNNNNNNNNNNNNNNNNNNNNNNNNNNNNNNNNNNNNNNNNNNNNNNNNNNNNNNNNNNNNNNNNNNNNNNNNNNNNNNNNNNNNNNNNNNNNNNNNNNNNNNNNNNNNNNNNNNNNNNNNNNNNNNNNNNNNNNNNNNNNNNNNNNNNNNNNNNNNNNNNNNNNNNNNNNNNNNNNNNNNNNNNNNNNNNNNNNNNNNNNNNNNNNNNNNNNNNNNNNNNNNNNNNNNNNNNNNNNNNNNNNNNNNNNNNNNNNNNNNNNNNNNNNNNNNNNNNNNNNNNNNNNNNNNNNNNNNNNNNNNNNNNNNNNNNNNNNNNNNNNNNNNNNNNNNNNNNNNNNNNNNNNNNNNNNNNNNNNNNNNNNNNNNNNNNNNNNNNNNNNNNNNNNNNNNNNNNNNNNNNNNNNNNNNNNNNNNNNNNNNNNNNAGGUUGAGAGCUGUACCAGUGUACUAGAGACCACCCUUUUGUGUACUUUUUGGACAGAUAUUGUAUUACUUUAUAUUUCACUCUUAUUGUUAUAGUAUUACCCAUUUACCUUACUGUAGAUGAUAGAUCUUUUUAUGCUCUGAUAUCUCUAGAUAUAGAUUAUUUUAUACUUUUAUUUCCGCUGUUGAUGUAGACGCCUUAUAUGUGUUGACAUAUGGCGGGUCUGGGCACGCUACCGGGAGGGCCUCUGCCGGUCCGGGGGCGUGACAGGAGGCCUCCGUGCUCCUAAGCCGUUUUCGAUGAUGGAGCUUUCGAAUCGACGAUUGGCUCCAUUAAACUUGAUCUAGCGUAUUUAAAGUAUCUAGAAAACAAAUUUUGCGAUUUUUCGAGAUCAUUUACCUAGCGAACGAAAAUGUUCAAAAUCAACGACUGAAAAUAAAAAUCUCACAAAAAGUGGUGAUAUAGCACUAAAAUUUUCGAUCAGAGAUAUUAAUCUUGCUGUAAAUAGUAUAAAGAAUUUUCGAGCAAAAUUUCAUCUGAGUUGAAUAUUUUUACACCGUUAAACUUGCAAACUGUAUAUAUCAACCAUUAAAAAUUGUUGAUUUUAAACCCUUUCGAUCGCUAAGUAAAUGAUAUCGAAAAACAGCAAAAUUUAUUUUCUAGAUACUUCAAAUAUGCUAGAUAAAGUCUAACGGAGCCGAUCGUCGAUUCGAAAACUCCAGCAUCGAAAACGGCUUAUGAGCACGGAGACCUCCGUGCUCCUAAUAGCACACAAGGCCUACUAUAUCUAUAUAUAUAUANAGAGAGAGAGAGAGAGAGAGAGUCCAGCUAUGGUGCUUAUAAAAGCACCAUGCACUUGGUGCUUGUAAGUUUUUUACCGUUAGAUCUACUCCUCGAAUUAUUUUCAACCAUUAGAUUAUACCAUUCAACCAACCACCCACUCAACCCUAGGGGGCCCACAUCAUCCUAACUGCAUCUCUUAAUCCAAUGGCCAAAAACUUGGUAGCCACCGAUGCUUUGGUGCUAUUAAUCUGAGCAUUAAACGUAGCCUUAGUCUCUUCUCUCUCCUACUAUCCCAGAUAUCGGUCUCUCUCCGACCUCUCACUGCACGUAUCAGCCACAAGAAUCAAUCAUACUCCGGGUCAAUCAUCACCAUUAUAUACAGACCAUACCUCAGUUUCGCCAUAACAAUAGUAAUACUUUGGCUAACGGAGUGCUUUUCGUCAUUUUCUCGAAGAAAGCGCAAAACCUAGUUAUUAUUCAUUACGCCAGAGAGUGUAAAUUGGAACGAACGAUUCAUAACGCCCACAAGAACAAAAUACCGACACAACAUUAUAGACUACUUCAGUUGCGCCCUAACAGAUAUAUAUAACUUUGCAACGUAGUAACUUUUCUAAUUUUAUCGAGAAUAAGUGUAAAACCUAAUUAAACUUAUAAAGGCUUACGCCUUUCAUAUUACCCACGAAUCGAGGAUAGAUUCGAAAGCUUGGGAAUCAGUCGCUAUCCUCAUCCGGUCAUCCAGUAUCCAAUCACUUACACAUUUCGAAUCGAUUGAAUAGAAACCGAGCAUCCAGUUAGACUUAAUUCCAUUGAGCCUCUAACAGAUAUUAUGAAUAUCACUUACGUGCAACAGGAAACAAAUUUUCUCACUAUUUAUGAUUAAUAUCGCGAAAAAUCUUAAUUAUUAUGUGUCUGACCUUUAAGUUGAACCCAAUAGAGUAGAAAAGGUCUUCAACAACGAUCAUAACAGCCUGACUCAAUACAAAUCAUAUCAACAAAUAACGUAAUAAUAAUAUCGACAAUUUAUAAGACUACUUAUAAGAGCUUAGCGCACACUAAACAGGAUAUCAGUUUUAACAUAUGCAACGAGGGUAACUAUUUUAUUCCAUUAUAUAUCGAAAAAAAUGCGUAUACAUACAUUACAAAAAUUUAACGGUGAUUUGAAUAUUUUCUACACCGUUAAGCCUUGCACUAAUCGGUCACUACGCCAUGCCCAAGUAGAAGAUUGAUAGAAAUUUUUUGAUUACACAUUCUAUGUCCAACGCGCACUCACAAAACAGAAACCGCAUAACAACAUUAGUGCAAAUAAAUCAUACAAAAUUUAUUUCUUUGUACUUCAAACUUCAAGUAUUCGAAGUCUUAAAUACAGAUAAAGACCAAGAUCAGACAGCGAUUUGUCGAACGAGUACAGUCGCAACUCAUCAUCUGAUUACGAAACAGAACCAGUAUGAAACCGUAAAGUCUCAAAGAGCUCCGUGCUUUCCAACAUACACCUCACCACACCCAUAUAUUGGCAUAAUAUUACAUACAUUAUAUAUAUAAUAUAAUAUAAUAUAAUAUAAUAAUAUACUAUAAUUAUAUAAUAUAUAUAUAUAUAUAUAGCGAGAGAGAAGAGAGAAGAGAGAGAGAGAGAGAGAGAGUCCAGCUAUGGUGCUUAUAAAAGCACCAUGCACUUGGUGCUUGUAAGUUUUUUACCUUAGAUCUUACUCCCUCGAAUUAUUUUCAACAUUAGAUUUAUACAUUAACAACACCCACUCAACCCUAGGGGGCCCACAUCAUCCUAACUGCAUCUCUUAAUCCAAUGGCUAAAAAUCUACAAGCACCCAAUAACUUGGUACUUUUAAAGAAUAGAAGCUCAAUUCAUCUAUAUAUAUAGGAUAAGGGUUCCCAAUCCUAUUAACAGGAUAGUAGCCGGACCCUAUAUAGGCUAUGACUACUAUCCUAUUAAUUAGGAUAGGAGCACUUGUCCUAUCAAGUUGUUCUUGAUGAUCGAAAUUCCGAAUUGAUGAACGGAGCGUUGAAGUUGAUCUAGAGUAUUUGAAAUAUCUAGAAACUAAAUUUCAUAAUUUGAUAAUGGUUUACAUGGUGAUCAAAGUAUCGUAAAAUCGACAAUUUUUGACGGCCUAUAUGAGCCGUUUGCUUGUUUAACGGUGUAGAGCAAUCAAAUUGCUUGAAUUUUUUAUAGAAAAUGCUUUGUACUAUUUAGAUAAUGUUUAACAACUCUGAUUACGAACUGAGAAAGUCUAAACCUCUAUUUUAAGAAGGUAUUCAUUUAUGACCGUUCAUUUUUCAACUCUUAAGGAUGAACUUGAUAAUGAUUUUUAAAUAUUACAAAAUUGGUUUCUAAAACUUUUCUAAUUGUUGUAGAUCAACUUCAAGGUGUCGAUUUUCAAUUUGAAGUUCCGAUCAUUCAAAUUUGACUUGAUAGGACAAGGGUCCCGAUCCUAUUAACAGGAUAGUAGCCGGACCCUAUAUAGGCUAAUGCUACUAUCCUAUUAUAGGAUAGGAGCACUUGUCUAUCAAGUUGUGUCUGAUGAUCGAAAUCGAAUUGAUGAUCGGAGCGUUGAAGUUGAUCUAGAGUAUUGAAAUAUCUAGAAACUAAUUUAUAAUUUUGAUAAUGGUUUACAUGGUGAUCAAAGUGUCGUAAAAUCGACAAUUUUUGACGGCCUAUUAUGAGGUCCUUUGCUUGUUUAACGGUGUAAAGCAAUCCAAAUUGCCUUGAUUUUUGAUAGAAAUUCUUUAUACUAUUUAGAUAAUGUUUGACAACCUCUGAUUACGAACUGAGAAAGUCUAACUCUAUUUUUAAGAAGGUUAUUUCAUUAUGACGUUCAUUUUUUCAACUCUUAAGAUUAACUUGAUAAUGAUUUUUUAAUAUUACAAAAUUUGGUUUCUAAACAUUUCUAUUGUGUAGAUCAACUUCAACGGGUCGAUUUUCAAUUUGAAGUUCGAUCAUUCAAUUGCUUGAUAGGACAAGGGUCCCAAUCCUAUUAAUAGGAUAGUAGCGGACCCUACUAUCUAUAAUAGGAUAGGAGCACUUGUCCUAUCAAGUUGUUCUUGAUGAUCGAAAUUCGAAUUGAUGAUCGGAAGCGUUGAAGUUGAUCUAGAGUAUUUGAAAUAUCUAGAAACUAAAUUUCAUAAAUUUGAUAAUGGUUUACAUGGCUGAUCAAAGUGUCGUAAAUCGACAAUUUUUGCGGCCUAUAUGAGCCGUUUGCUUGUUUAACGGUGUAGAGCAAUCCAAAUUGCUGAAUUUUUGAUAGAAAAUGCUUUGUACUAUUUAGAUAAUGUUGACAACUCUGAUUACGAACUGAGAAGAUCUAACCUCUAUUUUAAGAAGGUUAUUCAUUUAUGACGUUUCAUUUUCAAUCUCUUAAGAUGAACUUAGAUAAUGAUUUUUAAAUAUUACAAAUUUGGUUUCUAAACAUUUCUAAUUGUGUAGAUCAACUUCACGGUGUCGAUUUUCAAUUUGAAGUUCCCGAUCAUUCAAAUUGACUUGAUAGGACAAGGUCCAAUCUAAUUAACAGGAUAGUAGCCGGAACCUAUAUAUAUAUAUAUGUAUAAUAUAGCUUAGAGAGAGAGAGAGAGAGAGAGAGAAGAGAGUUAGGGGAGCUGUGCUCCUCCGGCUCCUGAGCCGUUUUCGAUGAUGGAAUUUCGAAUCGACGAUCGGCUCGUUAGACUUGAUCUAGGUAUUUGAAGUUUUAGAAAAUAAUUUUUGCGAUUUUUUGAAUAUCAUUUACCUAGUGAUCGAAAGGAUUCAAAUCAAUAAUUUUAAUGGUUGAUAUCUGCCGUUUUCAAGUUUAACGGUGUAAAGUAUUCAAAUCAGAUGAAAUUUUGAUACAAAAUUCUUUAUACUACACUACAACAAGAUCAUAUUUCUGAAUCGAAAAUUUUAGUACUAUAUCACACUUUUUAUAGAAUUUUUAUUUCAGCCGUUAAAAAUUAUUGAUUUUGAAUCCUUUCGAUUGCUAGGUAAAUGAUAUCAAAAAAUCGCGAAAUUAUUUUCUAGAAACUUCAAAUACGUUAGAUCAAGUUAACGGUCGGAUCGUCGAUUCGGAAUUCCUAUCAUCGAAAACGCUCAGGAGCACGGAGGCCUCCGUGUCCUGAGAGCACAGCGCCUACUCUCUCUCUCUCUCUCUCUCUCUCUCCUCUCUCUCUCUCUCUCGUCUCUCUUCUCUCUAUAUAUAUAUAUAUAUAUAUAUAUAUAUAUAUAUAGAGUCCGGUACUAUACUAUCGAUAGUAUCAAUUCCUUGGGUACUAUUGAGUUUCUACCGUUAUAGAUCAACCUUUGAUCAUUUCCACCGUUAAUUAUACUAUUAAACAACCACCACUCAACCCUAGGGACCACUAUCAAUUUAAUCGGGGACCACUAUCAUUCUAACCGCACAUCUUUCAUCCAACGCCGAAAACUCAAUAGUACAAGGGCUUCGGUACUAUUGAUAGUAUAGUAGCAUAAUUCUAUGAUAUUAUAUAAUAAAUUUAAUAAAAAUUAACUAAUAUAAUCUAUAUAUGAUAUAUAUAUAUAGACUGGGUGAGUAAUUUGAGUUUAGUUAAAAUUAGGCCAAUAUUGCUGGGCCAUAAAAAUAAACCAAACAUGCCAAUAAAAAGACAAAAUCCAACUAAAUUUACACUCUCUUCCUCUCUUUUUUUUUUCACAGAGCCCUAAAUCUCUAAUAUCUCUCUCUUUUCUUUAUCUCUCACUUCAAGAGGCCAAAUCUGAAGCCCCCAAAGUUCUCUCUAUAUGGGUGUAUUUAAAUAUUUUGUAUUGUUGCUUUUAUGAUAUUUGUUAUUUGUUAUCGUUAUCGAUAUGAUCACUUAGUAUUUUUUUCUUAUUAUAUAUGUGUUGUUGUCUUAUUUUUAUAAAAUUUUGGCUUAGAUAUUGAUAUUAUUUCAUAAAUCUUGCACAUUUACUUUGAAAAUAUAUAUUGGAUCAAGUGAGUAAAAAAAUUCAAAAAUACGUUAUUUAUCUAAAUAUGCUUAGCUAAUUUUCUUAAAAAAUUAUAGUUUGAUAUGAUUUUGUUACAUUAUAGUAAAAAGGAAUGUCAUUAAUUGUGUGCUUGAGAAAAUAUACAAAAUAUUUUUAAAAUAAAAAAUUAUUAUUUAUACAAAAUUUUAAUUUUAGUUAUAUAUGAUUAGAUAGUUUAAUCCAAUAUUUGACUAUAUAAUUUAUUCAUUUUUUGACCUCAUAGAUGAAAAAAAUAAUAUGGAGAUUGAAAACAAAAGAGAAGACAUGCGAGGCUGAAAAGAUUAAAUAUUCAACUCAUAAGUUAUUUUUUUUAUAUUAUAAUAUCGUAUUUUAUAUAAUUAUUCUGUAUUUUGAAUUAUUAGACAUGCUUUUGCAUCAAAUUAUAAGUAAUGUUCUAUACAAAUUAAACUAUUGAUCGUACGAUAUUGAGAAUUUCAAGCGGCUCGUUUAGGGCUCGAGCUCGCUCAACUCGAAAUUAGGCUCACUCGAGCUCGGCUCGAAUUAAUUUCAAGCUGAGCUUGAGCCUAAAUUUAGGCUCGAAAUUAAUUUCAAGCCGAAUUUGAGCCGGGGUAAGCUCGCUCGAGCUCGGCUCGUUUCCACCCCUACUUGGAGGGUCCCCGCCUCACCCUCUCUCCCAGUUCAUACAGAGAGAGAGAGGGUUUGGUCCCUUCCCCUUUGAAAAGAAAAAAAAGAAAAGCAUAAAAAAAAAGGAAAAAAAAGGUGAAGGCAUGGCGACGAUGGUGGCGAUCGCGACGAAGAUAAUCACGGCGACCUCCCCGACAGCGAAGCAUGACGCAUGCAUAUAAACGGUGUAAAAAUGAUUCCUUUGUCAAUUUGAUCAACACGACAAUCUUCGUGAUAGGCUCGACCGAUCAAAUAUGACAUUAAAUCGUUAUUUUUAUCGUGCGUAUGUAGUGUUCCAGAGCUUUGGAUAGGAUUGACUUCAGUGUUAGUGACUAGUUGACACAUCUGGAUCGUGUCGGACUGAGUCGGAGUCGUUCAUGCGCGAAACGGAUGCAAAAAUGGACUCGGCGCACUCAAAUAAGCAAAACUGGAGUUUUGCUAGAUUCGGGCGCCCAGAACAGGUUUUGGGUCGCCCAGAAGUUGAGUGCAGAUUUGAUCAGAACUGGAAGCCAAUUCGGGUCCAUGUUUCGGGCGCCCGAAAAUGGGUCCGAAAAUUUCACAUCGUGAAUAUCGUUUGUGUUGACACGUGGCUGAUGGUAGGUGAUGUAGUGUUCCUGAGCUUUGGAUAGGAUUGGCUUCAGUAUUAGUGACUGGUCGACAUCUCUGGAGAGUGUCGGACUGAGUCGGAGUCAAUUCUGCACGAAUUGGAUGCAAAAUUGGACUCGGCGCACUCAAAUAAGCAAAACUGGAGUUUUGCCAGAUCCGGGCGCCCAGAACAUGGUUUAGAUCGCCCAGAACUGAGUGUUAAAAUUUAACUGAAACUGGAGCCAAUUCGGAUCCUAUGUUCCGAGCGCCCAUAAGUAGGUCCGGAAAUUCUACAUCGUGAAUAUCGUUUGCUUCGACGCGUGGCGGGUGGUAGGUGAGGUCCGCCGGAGCCGUUUACGGGCGCAGCACACCGCGAGCCGAGAAUCCGAGGAGGAUGAUUUAUGCAGCCUGGAUGUUUCGGUCGCCCAGAACAUGGUUCCGGGCGCCCAGAAAUCCCCAUUUCAACAGGGACACCGGAUUGCAGCUAUUUCUCUUGGGGCUUAUUUUAUCCCUCCAGCACCCUAUAAAUACCUGGUAUACGUCCCCUUUGAGCUCUUUUAACCUGUUCUUCACAGAGAACUUAGAUUUUGCUCCUUAAUCCCUCCAAUCUUUCCAAAUUGCAUCAAGAUCCACAUCUCCAAGAGUUGCAAAGUGCUGAUUCUGUAGUUUUCCCAGCCACGACCUUCAGUGUUUUGGCUCAUGCGCGACGUAGGGAUAUCGGAUUUCGACGAAACUUGGUUUGCUAGAUUCCAGACUUUCAGAGGAAUCCACGAAGCCCUGACUUGCAGAAUUUGGUGAAGGUUAGCUCAGUCGAACUCAGGUUUUCCUCUGCUGCUGUUGAUAUGGACAGAAUUGCAAGUUUUUGAGUUUUCUUGGGGUGAACUUUGGAAGCAGGGGCUUUGUGGAGUUGAGUCACAUCCCCUACCAACUAGUACUGGAAUUGGGACCAUCUUCACCUAAUUUGGAGAUUGUUAGGUGAGUUUUGACAUUGGAAUUGGAUAAAUCGUAAGCUUAAGUACUGAAAUUGACGAAUUGUAAUGGAUUUUGGGUGAAUUGUAAUGUCCAGGUUUUGAGGGGAUUGUUGCUGGUUUGGAGGUGUUUCCAGCUAUGCUACUUGUGAUCCGAGACCGUGUUGCUGCCAGAGGAAUCGCGCUUGAGGUGGGUUUGCAUCAGAUUACUCCUAAGUAAUGAGUAGAUGUUUAGUCGACAUGUAUGUUUUGUUGUUCGGUUUACAAUGUGAUUAGAUUAAAUUCAGUGAUAAGCUGUGGCUGUAACCUAAAUUUAAGCAUACUAAAUAAGUGACAUUUACACAUGUCGGACUUGAAAAAUUGACUUAGGAGAAAACCUGCGUUUUGACCCGUCAUAUGCUUAAACUACCAGAUUUAGCUCUAGGAGCCGUGGGUUGACUGUAUCGUUGCAAUAUCAAUGCGAUGGAUACCUGGGGUAGUUUAGAAGGCAUUUACGCUCGUGCUGGGGUGCCGAGCUUAUUUUUCAGCAGAGUCUAGGCUGUUUCGGAUCGUUGGGUGCCGUCCGGGUUGGCGGACCCAGAUUCUUGUUUUGGUUCCAGAUUGUGCCGAGGGCACGUGGGUUUGGUUUGUAGACCUGUUUUGACCCUGUUUACAUGACUUUGGCUAGUUGGAGUCUGAUUGAGCUCGACAGAGAUACGCUGCAUACUCGAUUGGGUAGCUCCCACGAGUGCCACUCCGGAGACGGGCGCUGUGCUUUCGCGUUGAUAUCGCUCAUACCGGUUGGACUUGCUCUCCACGGACUAGUAGUGUGGAGGUAGCUGGACAGUCACAACUGGGCAGGGACGGGGGUGUU
rnacentral:lncRNA from 1 species